rnacentral:lncRNA from 1 species
UUUUUUUUGAUCUAUACUUUAUUUUAGUUGAAGAUGAUAUUUUUCUUAGGUAUAUUCUAAUAUAUUUACUAUAGGGAGUCAUCAAAAAUAUAAAACAUAUCCUAACCUGUAAUUUGAAUUAGUUGAUUAUCUCUAUGGAUUUAAUUAAUAUAUUUUAUGCAAUUCACGUAAUUGUAAAUUCAUUAUAGUAAGCAAUUAACCUAAAUUUUGCAUAAGAAGAGUCAUCAAAUGAAUUAAAUUAAACAAAUUGAAAUGUUGAGUGCUAAAAUCAAAAUUUUCAAAGUUUAGGUAGUCUAAUCAUUUUGGUAAGUUUUAUACAUUUUUACCAUAUAUAUAUAUAUAUAUAUAUAUAUAUAUAUAUAUUAUGCGGCAGAAGAGUAGCCUCAUCAACUUCUUUUAUGGUCAUUGUCAUUAUAUUUUUCUAUUGUUUUAAUACUCUCAAGUUUUCUAUUUGGACAGGUAACCUUUAGUUACUUCGCAGUUCGCAAUAUGAGAGUUUGUUAGCAGUUCAAAAUAGAGAUGUUGGAAGCUCAUGUUUUGCUGUACGCGGCCGUUCUGGUCGCACUAUCUCCUUACCUUUUGCGCGAUUCUGCAGCACAUAAAACUACCGAUCCAUCUGAAGGUGAUCGUAUUGCGCUUAUUCCCAUUAAUUUCUGCAAAACUAUCUAUUUACACAUAUGCCAAACAUAUGCAGUUUCUUACAUAAAAAGAACCCUUAUUUUAAAUUUGGGCGCGGUCCCUUUCUGUAGAAACAAAUUUUCUGAAACAGGUGUAAAUGAAGUUUUUAAAGAGCAUAUAUGAAAAUUAACAUAUUGCAAGGCUAUGUAGAUCGAUAUUGCUAUUAGUUUUGCUGUGUCUCCUUGUCAGACGUGUCAUUGUUUUUGUAAAUGAAGUUUUUGAAGAGCAUAUAUGAAAAUUAACACAUUGCAAGGUUAUGUAGAUCGAUAUUGCUAUUAAUUUUGCUGUGUGUUUCCUUGUUAGACAUGUGUCAUUGUUUUCUUUUGUGAUGCAGUCAAUGCAUUAAGCGCUGUUAGAAGCCGCUUAAUUGAUCCGACGAACAGCCUUAAAACUUGGAACAGUGGGGAUCCGUGUUCGUCAAAUUGGAGAGGAGUAUUUUGUUAUAAUACUACAAAUGAUGGCUAUCUGCAUAUACAAAAAUUGUAUGACUAAACCUCCCAGCUUUAUUCUUCAUUCCUCAUGUCUCUCUCUUACAUUUUCUUUUCUGCCUGAAUUUUGCAUUUCUUUAAAAAAAAAAAACUGUAAGCAUACUACUGGAAUCUCAUCUUAUAUAGCCAUAACUUAUAGUUUAGUUCUCUUCUUUGUUGCUGAUACUUGAAUUCUUUUGCCCUGCUUAGACAGUUGCUGAAGUUGAAUCUUUCUGGAAGUUUGGCACCUGAGCUUGGUCUACUGUCUCACUUGAAAAUACUGUAAGUUACAAUACUUUGACUCCCAUGCAUUUAGCUAAUUUUGCUAGUUUUUCAUUAGAUUCCAAAAGUUCCUCAAAUUAAUAUGCCGAUGGCCACGAUAUUAUAUCUUAUGUUUUCAGUCUUUUUCAUCUUUUUCCCCAUAAUUUUUGUAUAUGCUACUUUAGUGAUCAUUGAAUCCAAUUUUAUCCUUUGAAGGGAUUUUAUGUGGAAUAACUUAACUGGAAGCAUCCCGAAGGAGAUAGGCAACAUCACAUCUCUGCAUCUUUUGUAAGUUAUUUCUUCUAUAGGUGCCCAACUUCUGCUUUAUUUUUUGCUUCUUUUAAGUUCAAAUGGUUGAUAACACAAUGCAUUCAUUUUAGGAUCAGUAUGUUCAAAUGUUACGCCCUUAUUUUAUACGUACAUUUUGCAAUUGAUAUAUUCUUUCUUCAUCCCCUGUAAAGUUUGUUGUUCCUUGGCAAUAUUUUACUUGCUACUUUUAUAUGCAGACUUUUGAAUGGUAAUCAGCUAUCUGGUUUCUUACCUGAAGAGAUCGGCAACCUUUCAAACUUAAAUAGGUUACAAAUCGACGAGAACCAAAUAUCAGGACCUAUUCCUAAAUCAUUUGCUAACUUAAGGAGUGUUAAACAUCUGUAAGUAUCUCUUAUUGUCCUUUUCCUUUAGCUUUUGCUUUUAAGAAGCAUCUUUUUAAACUCUCCGCAUUUUGUUCUUUUCAGCCACAUGAACAACAACUCACUAAGUGGGCAAAUCCCCCCGGAGUUGUCUGUAUUACCAGUUUUCCAUUUGUAAGCAGAUUUCAACUUCCAUGUCCUGCUAUUUGUAAAACUGAAUUAUUCAUUCGAUUUCGUUUUCUUAUUCUGGUGCUUUUUUCGUGGACUUUGUACAGGCUAGUGGACAACAAUAAUUUAUCUGGAAAUCUUCCUCUGGAAUUCUCGGAGAUGCCAAAUCUGAAAAUUCUGUAUGUUCCUACAAUCAUGAAUACUUUGAAAACUACAUUAUUUAUGAGUUGUAGUAGCUUUUCCGUUAGUUUAAAUUUAUACGAUUGAUGCUUCUGCAGCUGAAAUAGUCCAUAUUAUUACCUAACUUAGCUCUUAUGGCACUGCGUGUCCACAUUAAUUCUGGCGUGAAAUGACACACAAGAUUGCCUUGAUUGGAAAAUCCAUUUGCUUUGUGAUUUGGCAUUUAGAUUUUCAAUUAAGAGUUAUAUAAAUCUAUAUUGCCUUUGCAUUUUGCAGUCAGCUGGAUAAUAAUAACUUCAGCGGUACCUCCAUCCCUACUUCAUAUGGCAACAUAUCCUCACUUCUGAAAUUGUGAGUGCCCUGUACUUUCUUUACAGGUUCACUUUACAUUUAUGAGUAACUAUGAUGCCUACCACUUGAUGAUAUUGUUGCUCAUUCUUUUUUUUCCCCUCAAAUUUUCUUUUUGAUUAGAAAAUGAUAGAAUCGCCUAUUUCCUUGUACCAGGAGUCUUAGGAACUGCAGCUUGCAAGGAAGUGUUCCUGACCUCAGUCGGGUACCUCAACUUGGAUAUUUGUAAGGAUUCCUUCCUAAAUGUUACUCAUGUGAAUGAGAAAAAUGCUUAAGUACUUGCUUCAAAUAUGAUGAUAUCUCUUUGCUCUCCUUUUAUUUCAAUUUAUGGUUCUUUCACGCAUGGCUGUGCUGACAAGUGAAAUGCUAUACUCUUCUGUAGAAGAACACCUAUCUAGUUUUAUAAUUUUUUCUUUUCAUUAUUUAUAACUUCUGUUGAUAAAAGCAAACAUGUUCAAGGUGGAUUACCGAUCAUUCUCCUUGUACAACAUGGAACAACUCUUGGAAUUAUUUGUAUAUACAGGAUAAAUGUUUUAUGUCAAUUUCUUGGAAAAUUAUUGAUUAAAGGAUGUUGUGUGUUUCAGAGAUCUUAGUCGGAAUCAGCUGAACGGACCCAUACCAACUAAUAAGCUUUCCACGAAUAUCACAACCAUGUAUGGUUUUCCUAACUCCCUUUGCUUUCGUUUUUCUUUUUUACUUUUUGAUUUCCUCAUGGCUUACUAAGUUAAACUUUCUAUGACCUGUUUAAUGCAAGCAGAUUAAUGUUAUAUAUUCUUUUGCCCAUACUAUGAUUUAGCCAUAGAUUCUUAUGUUCUGAUAUUUGAGCAGUAUCUUGUCACACAACUCGCUUAAUGGAACUAUUCCUGCAAACUUCUCAGGUCUUCCUAACCUGCAAAUUUUGUAAGUUUUUCAUCUAUCGAGCAGAGUCUUUAUUAAUAUGCCAUUAUAUAUCAUUAUAUGCCUUAACCUAGCUAUACUUUCCCUUACACUGGAAAAACAGUUUAAAAAGAAACUGUACACUGAUAUAUUUGGCUUGGCUUCUAGAACAACUUUUCUACUCAGAGAAGUCAUAGCUAGGUAUUUAGCAAACCAAAAGUCUGGAGCUUUGCUAUUGCGGGAAAGCUAAAAUGAGCUUUUAAAGGCCAAGAGUAGAUGCUCCAAUAUGAAGGAUCUGCUUCUGCUGUAGCUUGAAGCGGCUAGAGAGGAUAUCAAUGAAAAAGCUACCAGUGCUUUUCUAAACAGCCACUUAAUAGCACUUGUGCAAAAUCUCCAAAUGGGCUAAAUGGGCCGGAACGAGUAAUCAAUUAUCUGUGGCAAAAACAAUGAAGAUCCAUGCACAUUAACAAGUUUGAUAUACUAUAGUAAGUGAAAAUAAUAAUCUCUGUUGCUUUUUUGCAGGUCUCUCGAUAACAAUCGCCUCGAUGGCAGUGUUCCGUCCACUAUAUGGAAUGAUAUGACUUUUGUUGGAAACAAGAGUCUUACACUGUACGAGCAUCAUACCAGAAAAUUACUGUUUUAUGAAACUUUUCUGAGUAGCUAAAUACUUAUAUUGAUAAUGCAGGGAUUUCCAAAAUAAUUCUCUCGCAAAUAUCCCGAAUGCUUUCAAUCCUCCUGCGAAUGUUACCGUCUUGUAUGUCUUCCUUUCACAUUCUGUCCUUUUAUUUAUCAAUUAAUCAUUUUAUAGUUUUAAAAUUGCUAUACUCGUCUGCAGUUAAAAUGCACAACUCUUGAAGUCCUAAUAUGACUUUAAAUAGUUAUUUCGAUAAAAUGGAUACCAUUAAAAUAUAUGCUCUGAUAGUGUAAGUUUCUCCAAAUAUUGAUGAGAUGCUACUAGUAUAUGAACAUUAUAGUUGAUUAAAUACUUAUGCACUGCAGUUAUAAGUUUGAGCUCUAAUUGCACUGGUAAACACAGUGGACAUUAUUGACCUUGUCAAGGGGGAAGAAAAUCAUAGAGCCCUACUUUGUUUCUAUGCUUGUAUUACGGCUUCCGCUAACAUUUAGUGUUAAGUUGGAAUAUGUUGGGGCCCUAUCUGAAUCUUUCAAUUCAAUUUGAAGCUCUGGGAAGUGUCAUUAAUCUUCUAGUAAAAAUUAGACUGAAGAGUAACAAAUAAUCGCAUAUGACCAUAAAACCAUUAGAUGGGUUCCUAUUCUCAUUCUUGCAAAAAGAGAUUGUUUCAUCAGUGCCUGAUCUGAGUUCUAGUAAUCUUUAGUAUAUUCAUGCCUUUUUUUUUUAUCCAAACUAAGCUUUAUGAGGGGUCAUCAUGAAUAAGUAAUAAUAACACUAUUUGUGCUUUUUAAAAAAAUUACUUUUAGGUCUAUUAAUGACGUAGUAUACCAACGUAAGCUGCUUCCCUUUUCCUUUUUCUUUUUUUUUUUUUGUCAAACAGGCUAUAUGGAAACCCGGUAUGCACAAAUGCACAGGAAUCCAUCAUCCAGUUUUGUCAGCCCCAGAAUGUGGAGCAAGCAUCUGAAUCCCCAACUAACUCCACCAGAAGCUGUCCUUCAUGCCCGACAGAUAGAGAUUAUGAACGUAACCCUAAUUCUCCCAUGCCUUGUUCAUGUGCUGUCCCACUUGGAGUUGGGUUUCGGCUAAAAAGUCCUGGAAUUUCAGAUUUCCCUCCUUAUAUCAAGGCCUUUGAGAUAGACUUAACAUCUUUACUAGACCUGUUUCUGUAUCAGUUGUACAUUGAGCAGUAUAUGUGGGAAAGCGGUCCUAGGCUAAAUAUGCACUUGAAGUUAUUCCCAAGCAAUACUAGUCUAUUUAAUGAAACUGAGGUUAUGCGGCUCCAAGGCGUUCUUGCUGCAUGGGAGAUUACACUUUCAGAUGUUUUUGGACCAUACGAACUUCUUAACUUCACUCUGGGCUCUUAUGGUAUGUCCUAUGAACCAUCAACAUCUAAAGACAUUUAGAUUGUCUUUACAUGAAACUAUAUUUCUCUUAAGUGCUCGUGUGGCCAUCACAAUUAUUCACGCUAGUGAAUUAUUCAAACAAACGAUAGUCAUGCCUAUUCAAACAAUCUUUUUUUUUAAUUCACUUUUCUUUCUCUACCUGAUUAUUAAUAUUAUAUGGACCUUCGCCAUGUUGGUCUGCUAACAGUGGUUGCUGGCUUUUUAUUGCUAACACAGAGAUUCCAGGCUCUUCAGCAUCGGGGUUAAGCAAGGGUGCGCUAGUGGGUAUUUUGAUGGGUGCAAUUGCUGGUGCGAUUAUUCUGUCUGCAACUGUUACUGUUCUUAUUGUGAGAAGGAACUGGAAAUAUCGGACAAUUUCAAAAAGAAGCUCAUGUAUGUCCUUCUCUUUUCCUUGUUAAGAACCUCGCCUGCUAAGUACUGCUUAAUUAGAUGGUUUUCUCUUGAAAACAGCCAUAUUACUCAAAUAGGAAAUCUGCCCUCGCAUUCUUCUCUGUGUUUAGUCUUUAAUAUCUUUGCAUUUCUUUCACUUCUCCUUUGCUCAGGAUUAACAUUAGUUUCUAGUAAUUACAUACAAACAGGUCACAAUUCAUGUAGAAUCUUCAGUUUUAUCUCUUUUUUUAAAAUAAAAGCAGCCAAUUGCCAUAAUUGUCGAUACAUUCUUAAAGGAUUACAUUCAGCUUAGAACUGCUGAACUUUCUUAGUAGUUCUUUAACCACGGAGCUAAUAGCUGAACUCAUUUUCCACUGGCAGUAUCGAAAUUUUCCAUCAAAAUUGAUGGUGUAAAACGCUUCACGUUCGAAGAAAUGGCAACGGCAACAAACAAUUUCAGCGACUCAACUCAAGUUGGCCAGGGCGGUUAUGGGAAGGUAUAUAAAGGUGUGUUAGCAGAUCGUACACUUGUAGCAAUCAAACGAGCAGAAGAAGGAUCGCUGCAAGGUUCAAAAGAGUUCUGCACGGAAAUAGAGCUGCUUUCGAGGCUGCACCAUCGUAACUUGGUCUCUUUGGUGGGAUAUUGUGAUGACUCAGAUGAACAGGUAAUCAUAUCUUAAGACUUCCUAAUGAUUUAGAGCAAGAGAAAAGUUUCUAGGUUCUUUACUUCGAUUAAUUUUAAAGUUUUAGAUUUGGGUGUUUUCGUUGUUUAGACCAAUUAAGUACAAAAAGUUCUCCAUGAACUAAUUCACUUCAGAGUGUCCUUCACAGGGCAAUCCUAACUGCUUAGAAUCAAUUGCCCCUCUAUCCAUUUGCAUCUAUUCGCCGACUGGUCGUCCUUCUCAAACAAUAUAAAUAGCACUGAAUGUUUAGAAUAUGUAAAGCCUCUUGCAUCCAUAUAUUUAACUUUGCACUAUCACGAUAAAUAAAUGCUCGAGGAACAUGCGGUUUUAGAAUUGUAUUUAUUGUUUUCUAUAUUUGUUUUGAUGUCAUUGUAUGCGUCGCAGAUGUUGGUGUACGAGUUCCUGCCAAAUGGUAGUUUGCGUGAUCAUCUUUCAGGUAAGGUUAUCAGCUUGGUUUCAUUUCAUUCUUUUUCCCGCAAGUUUAUCGCCCUUUGCAUACGAAGCGCAUUUUGUCUCGAGAUAAAAGAAUACUGUGAUUAACCUAAAAUCAUAAGGAAUUGAUUUUGUGCUGCAACAAUUAGUAAAAUCUUUAUUCUUUAUUUGCAGCAAAAGCGACCGAGCCUUUGAAUUUCGCUAUGAGAUUACACAUCGCAUUGGGUUCGGCUAAGGGUAUCCUCUAUCUACACACCGAAGCAGAUCCUCCGAUAUUCCACCGUGAUAUUAAAGCCAGCAACAUAUUGCUGGACUCGAAGUUUGUUGCUAAGGUCGCCGAUUUUGGUCUAUCGAGGCUCGCACCGGUCCCAGAUGUUGAAGGAGUAUUACCUGGUUAUGUAUCCACUGUUGUCAAGGGCACCCCUGUAAGUGUGGCUUAUAGCUGUAAUUACUUAAGCUGAUUAAAUGUUGACUUAAACCUCGGAGAUUGAUCUUCGGCUCACAAUAAUCCUCUUUCGCAGGGUUACCUCGAUCCGGAAUAUUUCCUAACUCAUAAGUUAACCGACAAGAGCGACGUUUAUAGCCUUGGCGUCGUGUUUCUGGAAUUAUUGACGGGGAUGAAACCAAUUGUGCACGGCAAAAACAUUGUUAGAGAGGUUGAGAACUUGAUUUCGCAUACUCCCUUCUUAAAAAAACCUCAAUGUUACAUAUAUUUAUAUACAUAACCCUACUUACCCUUCUUACGACCGAAACAAUAAUGAUCACUCCUAACAAUAACUACUGUAUUCUCUACUUGUAGGUGACCAUGGCCUGCCAAUCCGGUAAAAUGUUCGAAAUCAUCGACAGCAACAUGAGCUUCUACCCUUCAGAAUGCGUCGAGAAGUUCUUGUCGCUCGCACUCAAAUGCUGUCGGGAGGAGACCGACUCGAGGCCUUCAAUGUCGGAGGUGGUGAGAGAACUAGAAUCUAUAUGGAGGAUGGUGCCUGACGCCAACGUUUAUCCGUCAGAGUAUUCAGAAAUCAGUUCGAAUAAGAUGUCCAAAUCCUCUUCGACAUCUUUGAUGAUUGAAAAUCCUUUUACCUCGUCGGAUCCCUCUGGUAGCGACCAUGUGGAUAAUAAUAUACCUAGCGCGACAGUCGCUCCGCGAUGACGAAGAUAGCUCGUUUCUUGCGUGAUUGUGUAAACAUGUUACGAUCUGUACAUUCUGAAGAUGAGAUAACCCUAAUUGGCAUUCUUAUGUGGAGAUAACCAUGCAUAAAUAUAAUCUAACAUGAGGUUCUGCAUUUACAAUCUAGGUCAUCUGUUAAAGGAAGCAGGAAGAUGUCAAAAUUAUGAGCUUUUAUUUUCUGCGUCACCGCACUGGAUCCAAACACAAAUCUGAGAAGCCUCCUGGUAUCCAUUUUAUCUGAACUUCAGACCAUUGAUUCACAUUACUCUGCAUACAUUAUUUUGUGAGAGAAAAAAACUGACCAAAGAAUGAAUAAUGGCAAAGUGAAAAAGUGCUACAAGGUGGAAAAACAACCAUAUAUGUGGCUUUGCAGCUUAAGCCUAACAUAGCUCGGAAUUGUCGACAUCUGUUAGAAUCAUGAUUUUAUCAACAUAUUUGCUGAAUUUUGUAUAGUUUCUAUGUCUUAUAGACUCAGAUACCGACCGCAGUAUCGGAUUAGCAUUAAGAAAACCACGCAUACACAUCAAAUGCUAUUGAUAUUGGUGUUGCUCUUCAAUUUUCUGCACCUCUUUAAGGAAGUGCCCAAAAUGCCGAAAAACAGGGCGGCAGAUCAAUCACUGUAGGGAACUUCGACAAUUCAUCUUUUGCCAAAACGGAAAAAGAAAAAGCAAUCUGAAUCUCGUUCUGUGAUAUGAAGCUCAAGUGGUUUCUGGGCCAAAAAACAGAAGCUCAAAUUUUUUUUUAAAAAAAAAUUAACAAGAAACUGUUCUCCAUACCAGGUCUAGUCAAUUUGUGUUCCUAAGAGAAAGAAUGACCAAAUUAGGCUCGCAAGCCGCAACAUCAACACCACCACAUACUAAACAAGGCACGGAAAUCAUUACAUAAGCAAAGCAAAUACUCGCAAUUAGCUAAGUAGUCAAUUGUCCAGAAGUUACACUCUAACAUACAUAAAGUCGAUUAAAUAACAAAAAAAAAAAAAGGCAGUAACUCUCAGUGUUGUUCAUAUUUGUCAGAAGAUCUCCUAUCCAUAACAUAUAGAUAGUAGUCUCUCUUUUUCUUUUCUUUUCUUUUUUUUCCUUUUUUUUUUAUUUUUGAAAGUUCAUGUAGAUCAUAGUUAACAGUAGAAAACGAAUAGAAUGAAUGUUGUAGGAUUACAAGAACACUACCAGGACUCAUGAAACCAUGAAGAUUUCGACCCCGUCAAGAAAAGAUUUCCACUACUCACCUUAGCUAGUUAUGGAGUCCCACUCCAUGCAUUCUUUAGUAUCAAGAAGCUCAACGAUCCGCAUGCAUGGAUUUGCACAGGUAGAUUCUUGAAGAUUUCCAGGUAAGGAAAGGUGACUCUCUACCGCCCCGUCUUUGCCCGUUUCAUGCCGCUGUUGCCGAACGGAGAAACACUGCCGCUCGGGUGGGGGCUCUCCUCGCGCAUACUCGAGUUUAGCAUAGCCAGUUCUCGCAGCUGCUGCUUCUUGUAGUAAUCCUGUGAUUCAUCCUGUAAAAGAAUUUGUCGAGAAUUUCAGAAAAAAGCUAAAGCAGAUGCGUGAAACCGAGACGGUGACAUCACAAGCAAGAAGGUAGAAACAAAGUAAGAUCAAAUAGGAAGGGCCAAUGAAAAAGAGAAGUUAUUGAAGCAAGGGCCAAUAAAAAGGCUCAUUUUACUAUUCAGCACUUACUAGGAUAGUAGAUUUAUCGCAGAAAUAUUCACCAUUGUUCUUUUCUCAAUCUGAAAGUAUGCGAAAGAUGUAAAGCCUUUUUGUAAAAGGUAAUGCAUCAUUCAAUCUGUUUCAAAAAUAUAACAAAGAAUCUGAGGUUUGCGAUGCGCAAAGUUUCUUAAACCAAUCUCUACCAACUAAACAGUUUUCUCGUAGGCAAGUAUCUGAACAUUUUCCCUCAAUUUUUUUUUUUUUUUUCUGACACAGUGCUAAAGCACACAAAGUGUAUUCAUUUUACAUUCUCAGGCUAAUAGGCAAACAUUAGAACAAGUUGCCGUUCUCGAAGAUCGAACAAGAGUAUAGGUCAGAGUACAAAGCAAAGAAAUAAAAAAAGGUGAAAGGAUAUUUGGAUCACAAAACUGUUACCACUGGUUUUAGCAGCUCUUCUAUAAUUUCUUGUGCUUGUCUCAACCUUGCAUCAAUAACAUUGGCAGGUAACUCGGCCUCAAUCAAAAUAUGCAGUGGAUCAUUCAAGUGUUCAUAACCAGGUCUACCCCUUAGUUUAUCCUCCUUCAAUACAGAGAAAGAGAGAGAGAGAGAGAGAGAGAGAGAGAGAAUGACAACAAAAUUUUCAGCCACAUGCUGAAAAGAAGUAAAAUAAGCACAUAAUAUUACAAAAAAUUAUACGAGAAAAUCAUGUAGUGCUUUAAGAUUCCUAAAAUACAAGGCAGAACACUAACCUGAUCAAGCAGUUCAAAAGAUCGACCCAGCAAUGACAUACUUAACUAGUAAUUUAAAUGCUAGGAACAAGAAACCUUUGUUCAAAGCAUAUAUACAAAAUACUAGCGGAGAUCAUGGCAUGUGCACCUAUCGUCCCUUCUUUCUGUUUCUUAUUAUCUUCAACAUAGUCAGUUUUGGAUGCUUUCAAACCUCAUAAUCUCUCUUCUUCUUCUUCUUUUUUACAAGAAAUCUUUUUUAAUAGCAUGGCGCGGAUGAGGAGAACAAUAUGUGAUAAUGACUAGAGUUGGUUUUCGUUAGUAAAACAACUAAAUAUGAAGAGUGCCCUGAAAGGGCCAUCGGAGCUUACAUAUGUGAAAGGAACUAGUGUUUUUAUUAAUAAAAAGGCAGGAUAAUCCCACAUAUAUAAGUUUUUCUAUGUAAGGAGUAUGCUUUUACUUAAACUGCUGCCAAAGUGAAUAUUUGACUCCAAAAACCAAUAUCAUCUGAAUAGAAAAUAGAAAAUUUCAGUCACCUUGCCAGGAUCUUUUAUCGAGCCCUUUCCUCUAAUGUAAACGCGACAACCGGUAGAGGCUUCGACUCUCUUCAGCGAGUUUCCCCUUGGCCCGAGAAGCCGUCCGACAAAAUUGAACUGGAUCGCAAUAUAAACAAAGUAAGAAGAAGAUUGAAACCAAUAUCAUAACUGGUCUCUUUUCGGAACAAAAAGGCGUACAUUUGGGUAAGCGUCCACCGGAAUUUCUAAUCGGAGAAUCUUCUUCACAAUGUAGGAACUCGGGCUUGGCGGUGCUCCUCCUUGCCAUUCCAUAUUCAUUCCUUGAGGAAAACCUAGCCUCUGAUAAACAAUUAAGAAAAUGGUCUUUGUUACGGGAAGAAUCAUUGUAAUCUAGUUAAGAGGACAACUUUUAACACAUGUAUGAAGUGCACUAGAACAUGCGAGCUAACUAGUCAUUUUGAAAAUAAAAUGGCAAAAGAAAAUUAAGAAAAGACAUAUCCAAAGUGGAGAUAGUAAAGGUAAAAAAAGUAAAUAUGAGGUAGCUUAUUAAUAAGAGAUCAAAUUUUUUAGGCAUCGAGAGCAAUUAGGGACUAAUUAGGAAAUUAACCUCAACAUUUUAUAGAUCUAUUUUAUUGCAUUAAAUUGAUUUUACAGUUCACAAGAGGCAAUUCUUCUGAUGAUAACAUGCAUUUUUACAUUGUACCCAAAAAGAGAAAAACAUAAAGUAAUGAGAAUUGUCGAAAAUUUAUAAUUACCUCCUGGGGGAGGCCGCUCCAAUCAGAAAAACCGUUCCCAUUAAGAUUCGACAUAUGAUUCGAUGAAGACAACGGACUCGGGCUUCCCCGUUGCAGCCUGUCGUAGUCCCCAAAUCCAUGGUUUGGGGUCAUUCCCGAGACUCUCAUGAUCUCUGCUAGCACAUAAUGUAACAUGGAAAAAUAUAUCAUAUAUUGGAUAUUUUAGGAGAUUGAACAAUGCAGAUUCAAGAUAAAGCUCUAAAGAUCUACAUCCGAUACAAAGUGUUAGCUAUAAAUAUAAUUUGCCGAAAUCAACAUAAGAAUCACGCAAGCCAAAGAUCGUAGAAUGUAAAUGCCCAAAUAGUUAAACUGACGAAUGUCCAUCACAUAGAAUUGGAAAUUUAACAAAACAGUUUCUUCAGCUAUCCCUACUAGACCACAACAGCUAAACCAAACUAAAACCUGUAAAUAGAAAAGAUCGAAAUAAAAAUAAGCUGACUCGCAACUCAUACCAGUAUCUUACCUGCUAGCUAGAAAUGCGAAAGCAUCUUCGAUACGGUAGAAUUAAAGCAUGCUCACUUUUUGUAGUCCAUGGACUACACUAAUGAGAGUAAGAAUAAAAAAAAAAAACAACUAUGAAGGACUAAACACAGCCAAUAUACAGCUCGAAUAAAGAACCGGAAACAAUCAGCGAUAAGCAUUUGCUGCACUUGUUUCCGACUUGUUUUUUUUUCUUUAUAUUUCCAGUUAAAUAUUCCAUGCUUAUUUGAUAUUGGGAGCCAUAGUGAGUUUCCAACCUGUUUGUAUGAGCUUACCACAAUGAAUCAAGGGAUUCGCAAAAAUAUUAGAUGAAUCCUUUUCUCAAGAAAAUUUUCUUACAAUGUUAUAUUUAACAUAGCUGUUACUCCAUGAUCUACACAAGGCAAGCUCGGUAAGGGCGCAUGGUCAGUCGACAGCAACCAUUGCAAAGCAUUUCUAUGAGACCAUUUUCUGCCGAAACCAUUCUCUGAAAAGCCUUCAAAGUUGUAAGUUCUAUGAGUAAUGACACAUUACUCCAAUGAAAGGCCAUGUUUCCAUCAUCCAAAUCAAUCUUACACUAUUCUGAACUGAUAAUUAAGAUCAAAAUGAAUCAGAUUCAAAAGCAAUAGUUAGAUACUAAAGCAAAGGAAGAGGAGAAAAGGUUGAAUGCCCACUUUAUCCAAGUUGAAGAAUAUACUAGAAUCAAAACAUCACACCAACAAAUUAAGAUCAUAAAAAGUGAAAAAGAAGGCAAAAAAGAACUACAAAGCAUAAAUAGAUAAAGAAAAGAAUGGUCAACACAGAGAGUGUGGACAUCUCAGGUCUCUCAGGAGCAAAAGUAAAACAACUACAAUGAUCAAAUAGGAAUCCCAAUUCUCAAACUUGAUGCAAGAAGAUACACUCUUUGAAUGAAAUCAAACAAACAGAAACAAAAAUUACAGCAAAAAUCAAGUAGUAGAAGAAGCAAAAAAGUAACAAAAUAAGAAGGGGAAAAAAAAAAAGAAGAGAAAAACCCAAGUACAAAGAAUGAUCAACUACUCAAAACAACAAUUCUAAGCAAAACCAGAUAGAAAUCAAAGUAAAGCUCCCACCUUGAUUCAACAAGCGGCUACAUAUUGGAAGAACCUGCAUGAAAGGCCCAAGCUUUUGAUGCUCUGCUAAUAGCUCAGCCAAGUAUUGACUACAAACCAAUAAAAAAUUAAUAAUAAUAAGAAAAACCCAAGAUUCAGGAUCACCAAACAGCAUCUAAAUCACAAAAAAGUGAUGGAAAAAGGAGCUAUUUUUGAUGCUCCCAAUACAUCUUCAUCUACCUGCCUAUAUCUUGUGUGCUCCUUAUCUGUGGGGAGAGAACUCUUGCAGGGGAGAAGUUGUGGUUGUAUAAACCAGCCAUGGUUGUAGAAAAAGGGAGAUGAGAAGAGAAAAAGGAGUGGGGAAGAAGAGGAGGAUGGAGGUGAGGUAGUAGGAACCCAAAAAAAAAAAANGAAAAAAAAAAAAAAAAAAAAGGUGCUGUUUUUAGGUGCAGGGGAGGAGGAGGCUUACAGCUCCCUUUCUCAAUGUGGGCAACCUAGCAACCCCAUAUUAAUUUGCUCUUUUGUUUUCUUUUGUUUUUCUUUUUUUAACCCCAAAAAAAAAAAAAGAAAAAAAGAAAAAAAGAAAAAGGAAACCCAUGUUAACUUGUUGUUAUGCUAAAUGGGAACAGUAAAAAAUUAAUGGGUUUCACCAAAUUAUGUGGCUCUGUGUGUUUUUGUUCAGCUGCUUGAGUUUAAGGGGGGAUCUCUUGUGUCCUCAUGUGACUUUUCACAGCAUGAGAGAGAAAAAUGCACACCAUGUAAAUUGCUAUGGACUUGUGUUUAGUACUCUCUAUUAUUACUUAAGAUGUGCUCAUUUGUACUUUACAGGUAAAUCUAUGCGCGGUAUAUUAGUAGCUUAAAAUAAUAGUAUUUGGGUAUCCUCGAUUCCUCGUAUCAAUACUCUUUUUCGUAUUCAAAAAGAUUAGGAGUUGAAUUUUUAGAAAAUAAAUCUUUUAUAACUCAAUGCGUAGAAUUUUAUAGUAUAAAUAAUCUGCGUCAUCCGAUAUAGAUGGCACGGAUUAAUCCCACUAAAAUCUAGCAACAGGGUCAAUGCUACGCAUGGGAGUUGUACACAAUUGGAGCCUGAAUUUCUACAUAUCUUGUUGUACUUAAAAAGUUUGUGAGAGGUCUUUUCCCUCAUCAAAGUAAUCUUGCUGGCAUUUUUAAAGAUGAAAGGCUUUUUUCCUAACAAUUGACUGCAAAAAGAGAAAAAAAAAGUAAGAAGUGAUAUCAAUACAAAUACAACAGAUGCUCAAUUAGUAGAUCUUGUUACGCACGAGCGCACAAACAAAAACAAAAAUAAUAAAUAUAAAAUAAAUAAAUUAUAAAUAAAAAAUAAAAAAAUAUACAGAUUUACGUGAAAAAAUUUUUACUGGAAAAAUCACGGGCGAGUAAAGAGAAAAUUUUAUUAUCGAAAAAAAAGGAAUACAAUGUUCGGAGUACAACCAAUAUCUAUCUGUCGCCUCGAGGGCAAAAAAAGAAAAAAAAAAAACUCUUAAUGGAUUGUGAUCCGAUCCAUACUGUGGGAAACGGAGCCGCCCGCUACCCACCACAGACAUUCAUUUUUCUUUCGCAAAUUUAUUUUCAAAUGUCGCACCGCGAAAUUAUCAGUGAGUCGAAGUUUCAAACUGAAGUCGAUUAUCAAUUUCGAGCCACAUCUAACAUAUCUCUUUCUUAGGUUUGGUGUUGGCUAAUGUAUUAAGAAAAUUAAGUCAUAUAUAUGACCUUCAAAAUAUAAACAUAAGGAAUUAUUGUCCACGAACGGUGGUGAUCUAUAGAUGUUUUCAUCGACUUCUUGUACUGCAAUACUCAUCAUCCGUUCGACCAGUAGAUUGAAUUGGUACGAUGGUGCAAACAACCAUUUCAUCGUAAAAGGUUUACUUCAAAAUAAUAUACUAACUUUAAUGCAUAUAUAUAUAUAUAUAUAGAGUCCGGCUACUAUACUAUUGAUAGUAUCAAGCCCUUGGUACUAUUAAGUUUUCUGCCGUUAGAUCUACCCUUUGAUCAUUUCCACCCGUUAGAUUACACUAUUAAACCAACCACCCACUCAACCCUAGGGGACCACUAUCAAUUUAACCGGGGACGACUAUCAUCCUAACCGCACAUCCUUUCAUCCAACGGCCGAAAACUCAAUAGUAACAAGGGCUUGGUACUAUUGAUAGUAUAGUAGCAUAAUUCUAUAUAUAUAUAUAUAUAUAUAUAUAUAGUUGAGCUAGAAGACUAUCGAUAGUAAACGAGCUGUUUUACUACCUAUUUGUUUUCGAUGAUAGAGCUUCCAAAUUGACGAUCGGCUCCAUUGAACAUGAUCUAUACCACUUGAAGUGUUUAGAAAUCAAAUUUCAAAUCUUUUCGACAUCAUUUGCCUAAUGAUCAAAGGGUUUCAAAAUUUGUAAUUUUAAUGGUCGAUAAGAGGCGUUUUCUCGUUUAACGGCGUAAAGAUAUCCAAAUCAAUUGAAUUUUUGUUAGAAAAUUCUUUAAACUAUUUAAAACAAGAUCUAUACUCUUGAUCUUGAUUACAAGACUCCUAUCAUCAUUUUUUAAAGAAUAUUCAUUUUCAGCCAUUCAUUUUUCUGUUCACUUGAUGGAUAAAAGAACAAUAUCGAAAGUGCGUGAAAUUUGAUUUCUAGGUAGUUUAAAUGGUUUAGAUCAUAUUUAACGGAGCCGAUCGUCAAUUUGGAAGCUCUAUCAUCGAAAACAAAUCGGUAGUAAAACGGCUCGUUUACUACCGAUAGUAUUCUAGCUCAACUCUAUAUAUAUAUAUAUAUAUAUAUAUAUAUAUAUAAGAACUAAGCUGAAGUACUAUCAAUAACACUAAGUUAUUGAUGCUAUUAGUUUUUUAGUUCUUGGAUUGAGAAAUGUGCGAUUAGGAUAAUAUAGGCUCCCUAGGGUUGAGUGGGUGGUUGGUUGAAUAGUAUAAUCUAACGGGUAAAAAUAAUCAAAAGGAUUAAUCUAACGGUAAAAAACUUGAUAACACCAAGUAUUUGGUGCUAUCGAUAGCAGAGCAGCCGGACUCUAUAUAUAUAUAAAAAGACAUCUUGUAUACUUAGGUCUACAUUUUUGCGAAAUUAUAACAUACACCUCACUAAUUUUAACCUGUGAGAGGUUUAGUUAGGGUAUAAUGUGGAGAAUUAGGGUUCUAGAGGCAUGCAUUGCGAUGAUUUGUGUCUUCUUCAUGCACUCUUUGAGGAGACAACUGUACAAAAGGGAUGAAUGGUUGAGGAGCAAAGGGCCAUAUGCAAUUGCUUGUUGUAUCUUGGGCAUUAAAUGUCCUCACAUGAAAUAUUUGGAAAAAGGCUCAAGCUACAAAAAAAGAAAACCUACACUUUCCCCUCCCUUAGUUUCAUGAGUUUCUUCAAAAUUGUCACAAUUAAGUUAACCUUUAGUUAGUUUCAACUAUUUGAAAUGUUCUUUCUUUUUCUUUUUCUUUUUUUUUCCCUCCUUUCAAAGAAGAUCAAUUUCUAGGUGAAAAAAGGCAUUGAAGAGAGAGUUAAUAUUGAGGGAAAAAAAAUAAUCAUGAAAUGAAGGGAAAUUUCUAUCAAUCANAAAAAAAAAAAAAAAAAAAAAAAAAAAAAAAAUCUUUACCACUUGCAAUCCUUCAAUGUAGAGGGAAUAAUCACUUUUAAUGACUAAUCUUUUGCGUUACAUACAUACCAUUAAGCGAGAUAUCAUGGGGUUCGAUUUUGAGUUUGUCAUGACAAAGACGGACAAGAUCUAGUUCAUCGGGCGUGAAAAUAUCAAAAAAUUUCGAAAAAGAGAGAAGAAAAAUAAAACACACUAUUUACGUGGUUCGGUCACUGACUUAUGAAGACGUAGCAGAGAUUUUCAUUAUAAUUAAAAUGAUGUACAAAAUAUGUCUCUCUUGCAAAAUCCUAAUUUCAAAAAUAUAUUCAUAUUGGCGCACCAAAUUAAAAAAAUAAAGGGUAUACUUAUAAUAGUAGCUAUCAAAAUGGUGUACAAAAUAUGUCACUCUUGCAAAAUCCUAAUUUCAAAAAUAUAUUCAUAUUCUUUCUCAUCUGGCACACCAAAUUAAUGAAAUAAAUGGUAUACUUAUAAUAGUAACUAAAUCCUAAUACGAUUAGGAAUACAAAUCCAUUAAAAUUAAGAAUAUCUUAAUUAAAUUAGAUAUAAUCUAAACUUAAUAAGAUAACCAAAACAUAAUAGGGUUAGAAAAUCUUGCAGUUCUAAAAUUCGAAACAUAUCUAACAAAGUUGAAUCUCUAUCCAUUAAUUCGUUUCUCCCUAUUAAAUAAAUUGAAAUACCAAUAUAUAUGCAUGAUAUAUAUAUUAUAUGAUAUAAUGAAUUAUAAACAAUAGCUUAAUUUGUGUUACAUUCUUAAUAUUAAAUACAUUCCUAAAUCAUUUCAUAUCGAAUCUAUCUUCUUAAGUUCUGUGAUAUCAGAGUCAAUUCCAAACCUACUCGACUCCCUAGAUCAUUUAUCUAGCGAUCGAAAGAGUUCAAAAUCAACGGCUGAAAAUAAAAAUCUCACAGAAAGUGAUGAUAUAAUACUAAAAUUUUCAAUCAGAAAUACUAAUUUUGCAGUAAAUAGCAUAAAGGAUUUUCUAUCAAAAUUUUAUCUGAUUUGAAUACUUCUACACCGUUAAACUUGCAAACAAUAUAUAUCAACCAUUAAAAUUGUAGAUUUUGAACCAUUUUGAUCGUUAGAUAAAUGAUAUCGAAAAAUCGCAAUAUUUAUUUUCUAAAUACUUUAAAUAUACUGGAUCAAAUCUAACAGAGCCGAUCGUCGAUUCGGAAGCUCCAUUGUCGAAAACGGCUUAGGAGCAUGUAAGCCUCUGUCCUCCUAAUAGCACACAAAACCUACUCCAAAUUCCUGUAUUAAAAUCUUACCCCAUUAACUAUCCCUGUCUCGUUCAUCAUCUAUCAAAUUUCCGUACGUUUAGUCCAAACGGGUUCCAAACUCAUGACAAAAUGCCAAAAUAACAUAAUGAGAAUGUGAAAGGUAUAUACAAGUGCAAAAAAAGAAAAAGAGAAAGAAAAUGUUGGAUUGAAAACCAGUUUUGGAAAUGAAAUGGAGAGCCAUGGGGAACAUGAUGCAGCAACAUUUUCUUUUUUUUCCUCUCAACACCCACCAUUGAAUUGUUUAAUUUGUGCACUGUGAGUAGCUAAGUUCCAAAAGAGUAUCACCACCAUAUACUCCUCAACAUAUAUAGAGGCAACAUUAGUACAAUGAGAGUAAAACAAGACUCAGAUAUCAAUUGUUUUUAGCACCACAUAGUAACCAGCCACACUGUCAAACACAUGGGGGUAGAGAGAGAGAGAGAGAGAGGAGAGAGAGGAGAAACUAUUAAUUUCUCGUAUCGAGUGCAAAAGUACACAUCUCAUACACUGCACUCGUAAAUUCUAUUAUAAAUGUGCUACCACUAUUUAGAAUAGUUGGCAUGUAUUCUCUAUAUACCUCAAAAGUUAUGUCCUUAACAUUUCUAACUUUAGAAUAUGUGUGGCCAAUGAGUUAGAAUCUAACUUAUUCGAUACAUUUUACGGUUCCUAAAAAAUAUGAAUGUAGAUUUCUUUACAAAUCAAAUAAUGACUUUUUUUGUGCUAUUAAUUCUUCGGAUGACUCGAUUCUUUAUAUAUAGCUUCUUUCGAUGUUGCAGAUCACGACUGUCGAACUACAGGGUGCGGCGCAUGAAAAUGUACAUAUACACCGGGUGCAAACAAUAAUUUCCACACAGAGAGAGAGAGAGAGAGAGAGAGAGAGAGAGAGAGAGAGAGAGAGAGGUGAAACUAAAGAGCAUAGGAUUCUCUUUGUGGUGUAAUAGAAAAGUAUACGGCAGUGCACGUUGGAGGAGGGGGGCAGGGGACAGAAAAUGUGAAGGAGAUUGCCACAAUGGGCCACUGCUUCCCCCAACUAAGAACUUUAUUGAUUCACACACACACACACACACACACACACACACACACACACAUAAACACACACACAUCAUCUACACCUCAAACAUAAUAACUGGAUCCUAUGUGACUCUCUCCCUCCUUUUGUUGGAGCUUGUUUGGCCCUUAUUCUCAUGAUUCAGCUUCUGACUACUUACCAUACAGCAAUUUACCACUGUAGCACUCAAAGUAGUUGAAAUUUUUAGAGUUCAAGUUGGAGAGAAAUAGAAAUGAGAUUCUGAGGUCGAAAAGUAUAUGCUGCUGUAGGGUAUAGAUUCCAGAUGGAUUUUCUUUUAGUGUUUAAUCUUUUAAAAAUACUCAAUUAUUCAAUUAUUGGAAAAUACUGAUCAUAACACCAAAUGAAAUUUGACAAUAUUCAAUUAUUUGCGAAGGCUCCAAAUAAGUGAUAUAAACAGUGCACAGUCAACUUCCUUCUUAUUAACUAACAAUGCCCUGGUAAAAUUUGUUUUAGACGCCAUUAAACUUAAUCUAAACUAUUUAAACUUCUUAAAACCAGAAUUUUAUAAUUUUUCGAUAUUAUUUAUCUAUUAUUUAAGUGGACCUAAAAUUGACUAUUUUCAAUGACUAACGUAAGGUGAAUUUGGAAAGACUUGAUCACUAGGCAAAUAAUGUUAGAAAAUUUUAAAAUUCAAGUCGAUUGAAGUUUCAAUACUGUAGAUUAUGUUUAACAAUGCUGAUUGUUGCUUAGGAUACAUCUUUAUUGCAAAUAAUGCAGAAGUAAAUGCAUCUAUUUACUUCUAGAAGUAUUAUGUAUAUAUACAGAGAGAAAUAGGCUACUGUAUUAUUAAUAGCACAAGUCACCGGUGCUUGUGGGCUUUCGGCCCUUAGAUCAAGGGAUGUGCGGUUGGGAUAAUAGUGGUUCUUUGGGGUUAAGUGGCUGGUUCAUUAAAUAGUAUGAUCUAAUGGAUGGAAAUAGUCAAAGGGAUAAGCUUCACUACUGAUUUGGUUGCAAGAACGGGAACGCACCCCUGGAGGAAGCGCUGGAAAGCCGCAUCUUAUAUCCUGCUAAGCUAGUAAUAGAUAUGACGACAGAAAAUCCUAUAGCAGAAAACGGUUAGGGUUAUCAAUAGUAUAAUAGCCGGACUAUAUAUGGUACAACACAUAAAAUAAAUAAUUAAUAAAAUAAACCAUUAUUGAGCACGAAUGUAGGAGCACUUGUCACACUACCUACCACCCCUCCCAAAGCUUUAUUUAGAGCUCAAAAAUAGUGUGAGUGUUUCCUCACCGGUCACUGCCUUGUGUGAGCAGUAGUGAGAAUGGCCAAGGAAUGGGAACUCCCUAUUGCAACAGGUUGUAGAAUCUUUCCACAACCUAGACACGUGGCAAUGUUCCAUUGCUUCUUGUAGUGGCGAAAAGUGUUUUGUACACUUCCCCUUACUUGCAUGCUAUUGGUCGGUUCACUUGAUUGAUUGAUUCGAACUAUACAUCGAGUCCACAUGACUAGCGGUUAAAAUUAGUCUCUUACUUUUACCAUUUAUUUUUUUAUCCAUUCGUAACAAGUAAAUUAUACUCCUAAAAAUAAAUAAUAGCUGGAUCUGAAUAAUAAAAAUUACGUGCUCUGUAUAAAGAAUUUAAUCAAUUCAUAUAAAUAUCUAGACAGGGCACGAGUGUCACCAUUUCAUGAUUCGUGUAAAUCUCUUGAUAUUAUAUUUGUACCUGUUAAAUUUUAUAUGUAUUCAUAUUCGUUUAUUUUUAUCAUUCCAAUAGUUUUUAGAAUAUAAAUUUAGUGAGAAUAUGGCAUCAAUUGCCGCAUGAAAGAUUGAUGAGACCAGGGUGAUCGCACCGUCACAAUCAUUUUUUUUUUAUUCGUUCUUUUUUUUUUUCCCUGCUAGGGAUUUUGGCGUGAAAACUAUGUGGUCUCCAACGACGAUCUGCCACGUGUCGGCGUCGCAGUAAAUUCUUGUACAGCUUCGGGUGCAGCGGAUCCUGCGCGUCGGAUCAAGCGCUGCCCCUCCAAUUCUUCCCAUCUCCUGCGGCGAUUACGAGGAGGGCGCACGUGCGGCCUUGGCCGGGAGCGGGGGCCGCGCGCACGAGCGGGCUCGAGCCGCUCGAGAUGGGCCACGUUCGCCCUUAAUGGGCCGUUAAUGGGCCGAUAAUAGGCCGUUAAGUGGUAAAUGCUGUGGGGAAAAGGCCCGUUGGAUUUUAUAGGAUACAAUGAAUGGGCCCAAAUUGUACGGGAUAGUCCCGGUACUAUCCCAAAAUUGCAAUGGGGCCUCUAAUAACUUUCCACUUUCAUUUGUAUUAUUAUUAUUAUUAUUAUUAUUAUUAUACUUUAGUCCCUAACUUUUGUAUGCUAAAAAGUGUAGCAAAUUGAUAAUUUUUUAUUUUACAAUUUAGUUGCACUAUUUGGCUUAUCGGACUUGGUUGAAAUAUCUUAUGAUUAAUUGUUAGAUAAAUAAGAGACAUUGCACAGUUUUUUGGAAUAAAAAAAAUGAAAGGUUCGUUUGAAUAAUUAUAUUAAAAUAAUUUAUGUUUCAGAUAAUUUUCGUACUUUUUUACCAAAAAAAAAUCAUUAUCCGAAUUGGGAUUUGCAAAAACAAAAAGUGAUAGGGACUAACGUGCAUAAUCUCCUUCUACCAAAGCGAAUAGCCAAAAGCGAGAGCCCGAUCGAUCGAAACCCUACCGGAGAAUCCCGAUCCCUUCUUCUUCUUCUUCCUCCUCUUCCUCUCGUUGACGAUGGCGAAGCUCUUUUGGUUGGAGGCGGUUCUUCCGCUGGGGAUCAUCGCGGGGAUGCUGUGCGUGAUGGGGAACGCCCAAUACUACAUUCACAAAGCCGCUCAUGGACGGGUUAGAUCCCCUUUUCUCCCCCUUUUUUUUUUUCCAUUUUUCCGGAUUUUUCUGCUGAAUUUUUGGUCUUGGAUUCUAUCCGGUGAUUUUGAGUCCGAAAUGUGAAAAAAGCUGAGAUUUUGGGCCAAAUUUGCAGCCGAAGCAUGUUGGGAACGAUGUUUGGGAUGUGGCGAUGGAGAGGAGGGAUAAGAAGCUCAUGGAGGAGUACUCCUCUGCUGGAAACUAGGUUGGUCGAUGCAAAUUUGUUUCCUCUUGCAUUUGUAAUCGCAUUUUUAUGUGCAAUUUGAUGUGAAAUGGGUUCUAGGGUUAGGGAGAAAUUGAUGUGUUCUAAUGGAGUUUCUGUAACUAUGAAUAAGCUAAAUACAAUCCAGAGGCCCUUGUUUGUUUAAAGUGGCAAUUUUUCGGGUAACUUAGGGCUCAUUCCACGUAGAUUUUGAUUUGAUUUUGAUUUAUUUCCAUUGAAACAAUGCCUUUUUCCCUUUACUGUAGGUUCAGUUUACUUCAGAAUUAUGUUUGGGCAUUGAUCGCAUUGUCAACUUCAGAAUUAUGUUUGGACAACAUUGAAGCCCUAGGUAGAGGAGAGAAAAUAAUCAGAAAAUGAGAGAAAUGACUUUUUUUUUUUGGUGUCCUCCCAGUAAGUUCAAAUAUUUGAGUAGGAAUUACAAGAAGUUAUGGGAAAAAAAUAUCAUCAUAUACUUGACACUGAAGUUCAUCAGCUAUAAGUUCAGUAAAACUGAAGAUGUGUUUAUGAUUGUGUUCAUCGCGUAAUUUGCAAUGUUAUGACCAGGAUGCAGAGCUAAUCUACAGGCUUAUUCAUGUCAUCGUAUACUUGACACCAUUACAUGUUGAAAUUUUGUGAAUGAACUAGAUAACGGUAGAGAAGAAUGGCAUGCUUUCGCUUAAGCAAGAAUAAUGUGAGGUUCAAAGGAUAUUGUGAGCCAAUCUUUGAAGGAUAUUACCUUUCGAGGCCAUGUUUGGUUAUAGUUAAUUUCUAACAGAAAUGGUCCAUCUGGGGUAAAGCUUCAUAACUUAGAUUAUACAUAGGUCAAGCAUGUCUAGAAGGUUCGAUGGUCCUAAGAUUGAAAACCCAUGAAUUUUAAGAUACAAGAAGAAGUUUCGAGGUCCAAAUGAGACAUAUUGUUAUCACCUUGUUUCCUCCAAACUAAAUGAAUUGCUCUGUGCUUUUCUUGACUAUAUUAAUUUCAAGAUUAAUCUCAUUUCCUCUCUUGCUCUGUGUUACUUUUCUCAUUUAGUAAAAGCAAAACUAUAUGCGGUGUAACGUCUGUUCCUUUUUUUUUUGGCAGGAUUUGAAGCAUGGAAAUGUUUAUGUUGGCAAUAAAGCUCCUUGGAGAACUCACCGAGAAGUGUAUGAGCUUUAACGUCCUCCUUUUGUUAUGUUACUUUGUGUUUUUUUUUUUUCUUCCUGCUUUUACGUGUUCGACAACUCCAAGAAUAAUACUGAUGGCAGAUUGGAUGGAUAUAUUUAACCAAGCUUUUGCUUACUCAUUGUUAAACAGUUGGUCCCUUAUGAACUACUUUUAAAGGAUCAAGUUAUUUGCUUGUUAAACACUAUUUUAAUCUUGUUGCAGUUGCCCGGUAUGUAAUGAAAAAGUUGCUAGUUUUUAAAAUGGCUUUACUCAAACAACCUGCUCGCUAAAGCUAAUAUUCUGUUCAAAUUUUGUUCUGUUGUAAACUUUAUGUGUUCAAUUGUUGGGUAUGACCUAUUAUAUCAUUAAACAUCCAACAAAUUUGAUAAUAUCGGUUUGGACUUAGUGCACAUUUGGCUGAAUCCACUUGGAUAAUAUAUCUACAUGAAAUCAAUGAAAACUGAACCUAAGUAGUUAUUUGUUCACCAGAAACUAAAUCAGAUUAUGAACUUGAUGAAUACAAGGCCAGCAAAAUAAAUCAGUAUUUAUUAUAAUAGUUAUUGUUGAAGAAUCAGACAACGAAUUACAAACAGUUUUACAAUGAAUACAACUUCCCAUGCACAAACAAAUCAAUCAUGCCAGUUUGAGAAGGGUGUUAAUAAAGAGUCAUAGCAAAUUCAAGCAAGCCUUUGAAUUGUAUAAAAGAUUCCUCAUUGAAUCACCUUUGUUUCUUCUGGUGGAGUCUCUAAGCCAUGUUGUUUCGGAGAGUGAGGGCUAAUCGGACUCCCAGACCGAACACUGGGAUUUGGAGAUGAUUGUCCAUUAGGAUUAGAGGUUGGAGACGGAGGGCUCGGUAUGGCGGAAGAGUGCACAUCAUGAGCUGUAUGAAUUGGUGAGAGAUUGGGUAGCAUUUCGAUCGGGUCAACGUCGUCGACCUCUUCGAUGUCCUCCUCGUCAAAAUGGACGACAUCCUGCAUGGUAAGUUGAUGGAACUCCACGAUCUCGCGGAGGAAUCGGUUCUCCCGUGCAUAUAAAGAGUUCUCGUGCGCCAGCCUCGCCUUCUCGGCUAACAGUGUUUCCAACUGGAGUCUUAUCUGGUUGGAGAUCGAAAAGAAGGGAAAAGGUAACUAAGAAGCAAAAUGUGGAACGAGCUAUAGCAUCACUUAAGGGCUUUGUUUGGCUGUUCGAAGUAGCACUUUCAAAACAUGUCUCCUUCGGAAAAGUAAGUUUAACAUCAAAGAUAGAAUGAUGAAGCUGAUCAAGUGAUAACUGCUAAGGAGGAGAAGAAUAUGAAUGAUACCAGAUCAUCAUCUUCACUGUUGUUACCCUUUUGGCGAUUCUCCCGCAACAUCUUGUUCUCCUCUUCGAGCUGAGCACAGCGCUCUUUUGCGAAAGCAAGGUCGGCUUUCACCGUUUUCAGUUGCCGCAAAUGAAGUUUGGCUUUCGCAGCCAUCGCAUAAGCAGCCUGCAAAUAGGGAAGAACCAUAGGUAUUUUUUACCCUAAGAAGAUUAGAAUCUUUCAUAUCCUAAAGAGUAAACAUUGGAAGAAUGUUUCUAAAAGAGUUCAACUAAAGAACAAACACUAAGGAUUGUAAUUUUUCAUGUCCAAAAAAUCAUUAAUCCUAGUAAUCAAAGUACUUUGCUAAACCAAAAUGUCUGGAAAAAAAACAAGAAACAGAUUAUCUAAUGCAAUCAUUCUUUGUAACUAAGCGACACAUGGUUGCCACCUUACGUCGCGAGAAGCUUUUAGUUGAGUCUCUUGUUCGCUUUGAUUCGAAGAGAGAUUCGGCGAAUCGACAUCCAGAUUCUGUAAGUUGGAACUGCUGUUCUUUCUUCCGAUCUGUAGCUUUCUUGUUUCCUGAAUAAUAUCAGCAGUCCUGUUCUCCACCAUUGUCAAACCCUCCUGAUAUAAGUAAAAAAGAGGGUGAUUUUUCACUUGGGAUAUGAAAACAAGUUAUGAAACUCAUAAAGAUAUGAUAAUUUAGUGAUUAAGAUUAGUAAAAUUACUGGCAUAUUGAAGAAAUAAACUAGCUUUUACAGAUUUCUGAAAGAAAUUACUUCGAAGGCAUUUCGGAUUCGCCCCCCGAUAUCUUUUAUUGCUUCUGAGCCUCUCUGGAAUGCAGGGCUUUCCGGCUUUCGGUAACUUUCAGAGGAUGAGUUGGAUUGCAGAUUCUGUAAUAGAAGCCAUAAGAGCGAAAAAAAACACCCCAGUAACAGGUUAAUCGAUCGUGAUUUCACUAUUUUUGAGAUUUGAACUAUUCGUCGAGUUAAAUACAUGAUGUUUCUCACCUGAAAACUUGUCGGUGAGGUACGUGUUUGAGGCUGAUCUGUGCCAUAAUCUCCAGAUUUAUUCGGAACACCAUUGUCAUUAUCGUCUUCGAGGAUUGCUUUAGCUUUCCUUGCCAAAACACCCCAGAAUCCAUGCUUUGGCUCGGUUAAGCUUUUCAUUGAUGUGUACUCAACGGUGUUAGACUCCUGCGCAUCAACACACGGGCAAAACAAUCCAGUUUCAUGUUAAAAGCAAUCUUCUACAAAUCCAUUUUCAUAUGAAAGCAGUUCAUAAUUUCCUUUCUAUGAUCAAUCAAAAUUGAUUCAUCACUCACAAAAUUCAUUUUUUUUAAAAAAAAUAGAAAUUAACAUUCAAAGUUAUAUGUAUAAUAGAGAUUGUCUCAACCGUGUAGGAAAUUGAACCUUCGUGCUCUUGAAGCUUAUUACCAAUAGAUCGAUUUGAUUAAAAAUGUUCCGAUAGACCAGAUUUUGCCAGAUCGUGAUGAGAGGGUCGGAGAAUUGGAGGGAUUGAGCCUGCACCUGGGAUAGCCUACGGCGGCCGGAGGCGGCGGCGACGGAGGUGGAGUUGCCGUAGGCAGAGGAGAACGAAGCGGAGUGGCGGUGCGCCGCGGAGGCACGAAUGGCCUGGGCUGCGAGCGAGGGUGACGACAAUGAGUCGCCGUCGGGAUCGGGGAAGGAUCGGCAGUCCUCGACGAAGGUGGCGGACCGAGUCAUGACGUGCUUCCUCCGGUACGCCAUGGCCGGCGUCGCGGUGGCAGAGCAGCCCGGAGGCGGCGAGGCCGAGCCCUCUUUCUCUCUGGAAUGGGAAAGAAAUUUCCGUUUAUGACAAUAAAAUCGUUAGGGACGGUUUAUUUUAUUUUAUUUAUUUUUCUGAUCUUAACGAAUUCUUCCUCUUCUUUGAACUACGACUUGCCCGCGUUUUUUGGGCGAGGAGGCCGGAUCAAUGCUCACUUCGCUCUCUAAACGAUCGGACAGAUCAGAGCCGUUGAUCGCUAAUUUGGGCCGAUACGGCCCAAAGGCCGAGAACAUAUGGGCCAAAAUUGGCGACAAUUUCAAGUGUAAAAAAGUACGACACAACGCAACUGCAGUGUGCGCUCCUUUCAAAAUCAUGGUGUAGAGCAACUAAUUGUUAGCAUUGUGGUAAUAAAAGGUGCAUGAGUUGCUGAUGCUCACCUAAAAUGAUCGCCGCCGCGGCCCUUCUCCUCCACCGCCGCUGCACGGACGCGGCCGCGCGAGGCCCGGGCGGUGCAUGCGCUGCUCGUGACCUCCGGCGCGCUCCGCUCGUCCCCCUCCGCCCUGACCGCGCUCAUCUCCGCCUACUCCGCGCUCUCCCUCCCCGCGCUCGCCCUCCGCGCCCUCGUCGCCUCCCCUCUCCCCCCCAACCUCGUCUCCUUCAACGCCGCGAUCACCGCGCUCGCCUCCCACUCCCUCCCCUCCGCCGCCCUCGACCUCUUCCGCCGCCUCCGCCGCGCCCUCCCCGACGAACCCCCCGACGCCUUCUCCUUCCCCCCCGUCCUCCGCGCCUGCGCCGACCUCCCCGCGCCCCACGCCCACCUCCACCUCCGCGCCCUCCACGCGCUCCUCCUCAAGUCCCGACUCCACCGCGACCUCUUCGUCGCCAGCGCCCUCGUCCGCUCCUACCUCCGCCUCCGCCUCCCCGACGACGCCGCCCACCUGUUCGACGAAUGCGGCGGCGAGGCGGGCGCGCUGGGACCGGAGCGAGUCGGGGACGUCGUCCUCUGGAACGCCCUGCUCAACGGGCUCGCCCAGCUGGGCCGCUUCGGGCCCGCCCUGGAGUGCUUCCGCCGGAUGCUCGGCGCGGGCGUCGCCCCGAGCAAGUUCACCGUCACCGGGAUCCUCUCCGUCUUCACCGCCACGGCCGAUUUGGGGAGCGGGCGAAAGGUCCACGCUUUCGCCGUGAAAGCCGCGCACGACCGCGAGGCCUCGGUCGCCAACGCGCUCGUGGACCUCUACGGCAAGUGCCAUGAGUUGGGGGACGCCACAGAGGUCUUCGCCUCGAUAGCCGACGACGACAGGGACCUCUUCUCGUGGAACUCCAUGCUCUGCGCUCUGCACUAUUCAGCGGACAACGUCGGCGUCCUGCGGCUCCUCGCGCACAUGCGGCGCUCCGCCAUUUGGCCCGACGCCGUCACGAUGGCCGCCGUCCUCCUGACGAGCGGCAUGUUCGGCAACAACGGCGGCGGCUCGUUGGACGUGUUUGCCGCCAAUGCGCUGGAGGACAUGUACGCGAAGAGCGGCGCGCUGGAGGACGCGCGGCGCGUGUUCGACCGGAUGCCCGAACACGACUCUGCAUCGUGGAACAUCAUGAUCGACGGGUACGCGUCGCACGGGCGCGGCGGCGAAGCACUACGGCUGUUCGAUCGGAUGACGGCCGUCGAGAAGCUGGCGCCCGACGCGGUGACGCUGCUGGGGGCGCUGACAGCGUGCAGCCAUGCAGGGAUGGUGGAGGAGGGGCGCGCAUUGCUGCGGCGGAUGCGGGAGGAAUUCGCGGUGGAGCCCGAGGCAGAGCACUAUGCGUGCGCGGCGGACAUGCUGGGCCGGGCGGGGAGGCUGGAGGAGGCGAAGCAGGUGGCGGAGAAAGCCGGCGAGGCGGGGGCGUGGCGGGCGUAUUUGGCGGCGUGCAGGAUGCAUGGGGAGGCAGGGAUGGCGGAGGAGGCGGCGAGGCGGAUGCUGGAGUUCGAGGGGGCGGGGAGUGGGGGGUGGGUGUUGCUGGCAAACGCCUACGGCUCGGCGGGGAGCUUUGAGGGGUUGGAGGAGGUGCGAGGAGAAAUGAGGAGGAGAGGCGUGCGGAAGGCGGCGCCGGGGUGUAGUUGGGUGGAGGUGGGGGCCGUCGGCGUCGGCGUCGACGGCGCGGCGGCGGGGGAGGGGAGAACGGUGCAUGUGUUUGUGAGUGGGGAUAGGGAGCACCCGGAGAUGGAGAGGAUAUAUCAGAUGCUGCAUGGGCUUGUAGGGAGGAUGAGAGAGUGUGGCUACGUCCCCGAUUUAAAUAUUUAAACUAAACUUUACAAAAUUUAANGAUGCUGCAUGGGCUUGUAGGGAAGAUGAGAGAGUGUGGCUACGUCCCCGAUUUAAAUAUUUGAACUAAACUUUACAAAAUUUAAAAUUUGAUUCGUUUCUUACUCAAAAUUUAAUUUAUUUUUUUCAAGUAAAUCAUAAAAAUAUUUAGUUAUUUUAAUUAUAACAAUUUGCAUUAAUAACGCGCAUCCGACUUCAUCUAUUAUCUUCUUAUAUCCAUUCCCUCCCCCGCCCUCACCUUCCCGCCUCAAUUAUUCUAACCACCUCUCCCUCUCCAUGUCCCCCGAAAAAAUGUUCAUCCCUACCCCCCACUCCCCCCUCCUCUCCCCCAAACCCUAUUCACCCAAUCCACCCUCUUCACCUCCUCUCCUUCCCCCUACAAUUCUCAUUCCCUUUCUCCGAUCCCCGCCCCGUAUGAGCCUCCGAUUCAUCUGCAAAGCCGCCGCCUCUGUUAGCGGCUCCGGCGCCGAGUACCCCGGUAAAGCUCUCAAUUUUGCUUCCUUUAUCACUUCUUCCUGUACAAGAGUGACAAGAGUGAUGCUUAACUCUAGUUCUCUUCAGUGGGACAAUCCGCCGAACAGUUGGCAGGCGAAAGCCACGCGAAGCCGAAGAUGCGACGGAAAGUCGCAGGGGCCGAUCAGGAGGAGUUGCUGGAGCCGGAGGCGUUGGCCGAUCCCGAUAGCUGCUUCUAUGAGUUCAAUGGUGUUAAGAUCCACCACAAGGUUUGCCACAAUGGGGCCAAAGAAGAGGAGGCGGAUGCUGGGAAGAUUGGAUUGCCCCUGAUUCUGUUGCAUGGCUUUGGGGCCUCGGUGUUCUCGUGGGACCGUGUGAUGAAGCCGUUAGCGAGGGUGGUCGGUUCGAAGGUUCUCGCCUUCGAUCGGCCGGCGUUUGGGCUCACCUCGAGGCUGAGCUAUUUUGGGCAGUCGGGUAUUGGCGGAGGCGAUGCGAUGCCUUUGAAUCCUUACUCGAUGGCUUUCUCUGUUCUUGCGACGCUCUCUUUUAUUGAUUUAUUGGGUGCCCAAAAGGCCAUUUUGAUGGGGUAUGAUGCAUUGUUCUUUGUUAGUAUGAAUCUAUUAUUUUCCUUAUACGCAAGUUAUGCAGAUCUUACCUGAACUCUAACCCAUGUUAAAGUUUUGAUUUUUACUUAACACUAUGUUUGACCUGAAGUACUUCUGUAUCAAAUCUUGCUACUUAAUAGGAUGUUUAUAUCGUAUUUGACGGAAACUAUUAAGUUCUAACAAAACUUGAUGGAAUUUUUCGAAAUCUAACAUGUUGUAGGGUUAGGAUGUAAGAAUCAUAAGUCUUAAAUGCACAAAAGUUCAGAUAAGGUCUGGGAUUUGUUUAGUUUUUGUAUUAUAGAAUUUGGCUGCCCUGCUUUUUGAAUCUCUAUAAAUUGAAAGGUGAAUUGGGGUCUCAGGCAUUCAGCCGGUUGCCUCGUAGCAGUUAACACAUACUUCGAAGCGCCUGAGAGGGUUGCCGCACUUAUUCUUGUUGCCCCAGCCAUUGUUGCUCCCUUUCUCAUGCGAAAGGAGAAUCAGGUGGACAAGGGAGAGAAAAGAAAAGAUGAGAAUUCAAACUUGGAUUCGCGUGAGAACCCGUUUGUGAGGAUUUGGAGUGCCUUUUGCCAGUUAUGUAUGAAUCUUGUGGGGCUUGCUCUAAAAAUGGUGAAACGGAUGAGAGAUAUGGUUAAAACACUUUACGCUAGAGCUUUGUCGGUGGUUCUGCGAUCAACAUUCGCUGUAAUGCUGGUAAGCAGAAGAAAUAGAAAGACACUUGAUGUUUUGAAUUCAUAAAGCAUAGAUCCCAUGUAACAUCAAUUCUUUGUUUCACCACCAUUAGAUACUGUGAGGUAGAAAGAUUCAGUUUCUGUUUGGGAAAUUAUUGUGUGCCUGAUUUCCCAUUCACUUGGUGGUUUAAUUGAUGCAAUCUUUCCUAGUAUGGCAUGAGCAUAUACUUUUGCUUUAAUUUGUGCAAUUUUUUGCCUAUAACUGCAGUGGAAUUAUGAUGGCUUUUUUGGUGUGUCACAGAUAAGAAUGAUCAUUGAUAAGUUUGGUAUUGUGGCGAUUCGAAAUGCAUGGUUUGAUGCAAACCAAGUAAACGACCAUGUCCUACAAGGUUAUACAAAGGUGAGCUCUCUCAUUGAGAAAUCAGUAGGGCUUGACUUUGAAGAGAGAUUUAGGUAAAAUAGGAGUUUUCAUUUGGAACAAAUUCUAUUGUGCAGCCAUUGAGAGCCAAGGGUUGGGAAACGGCUCUUUUGGAGUAUACUUUAGCUAUGAUUUUGGAUUCGGGAUCGAAACCACCAAUUUCUAAAAGGCUAUCUGAGAUCUUAUGCCCUGGUAAAAGUUACAAGCCUUUUGCAACUAAUUUACUUUGUUUAUUUGUUAAUAUCUACUUAUCCUGAGUUUCUUACAUGUGAAUAAAUAUGAAAGCCAUCCUAUAUGGCUAUCAAUGCUAAAAGUCUGUUAAACAGGAAGUUUCGUUCAUACACGUGAAUAAACAAGUAUGCUAUUGUUGCUCAUAGCUGAUUAAUACUACAUUUAUCCAAUUCAGUGCUGAUAGUGACCGGCGACACUGACCGACUUGUUCCUUCAUGGAAUGCCGAGCGUCUGUCACGGGCUAUACCAAACUCCACCUUUGAAGUAAUCAAGAAUUGCGGCCACUUGCCUCACGAAGAAAAAGUCGAUGAAUUCUUGUCAGUUGUUGAAAGGUUCCUACAAAGGGUUUUUGGUGUGCGAAAUGAAGAACUCUUUGAAGCAGCAGCGUGAAUAGAAUCUAUACCUAGGAAACCAGGUUUCCGGAAAUAUAUUAUGAUUAUCCUAUUUGGAGAAUAAAGAUAUUGCUCAAAGUUCAUCCAUUAAUCAAUUCGUUAUCCUGUAAUAUCGAAUUGAGCCGCCAAAGAUGGAUUGGCGAGCAUAAGUUGUAAAACAGGUGUUUUAAUACUCAGAAGUAGCUACCAAAUUAUGUAUUGUAAGUAGAAUAUCUGCCAAAGAAUUAUACGAACGCAAUUAUACUGUAUUCACAUUUUCUUGCUAAUGGAAAAUCACCAAUUUACAGUGCAUCCCGUAUUUGGAUGCAAUGUAUAGAUGAUUCCUGUACCAGUGAAAUAUUCGAACUAGUCCCUGAACUUCCCUGAGCAUUUCACUUGUAACUUUCAGCCCCUCAACUUUGCUACGAUUUUUAGACUGCAUUCAGCACUCCCUCUGCCAUCCAACCUCUGACAACACAUGCUCUGCACAUGAUCCUUCUUAUGUAAAAUGACUAUUGUAUCCCUUUUUAACAUGUAAAAUGGCCUUUUCUUUUAGUUUAUUUGAUAUUGGGGUUAAAAAUGGCCGUUUUACAUGAUGGGUGUCACGUGCAAAGCACAUGACGAUGCUCGAUGGCAAUGGAGCCAGAGAUGUAAUUGCAGAAUAUAGAAAAGUUCAGUGAUUGAAGAUGUUUAAGUGAAAAGUUUAAGGACUAUAUUUCACGAAACUACAAGGCUAUUGGUAAGUUUACUCUUUUUUUCUUUUUCAUAAGCUAUUGCUUAAUUGCUGUAAUAUUUACAAGAAAGCAUAUGUUUUCUUGUUACUGAGAAGCCACAAUUGAAAUCAUCCUCUGAAGCAUCUUACAGUUAAAAGAUCAGAAUGGAGGAUCAGUGGAGACAGUGAGGCUUCCACCCCCAAGAUCAGCAGGGAAACUCGGGCCUGAUAAGAAAUCGUCGCCAAAUAUCAUAGCACCUGCAGCCAAUGCUCCAGCGCCGAGGCCCAUAGUAAAGCCUGGUCCGGUGGGCCCAGAGCUUUGGCCUGCAGGUCUACUUGAUGGCAUAUUUAUGUAACUCUCCGGCAACCGAGCCGUUGGUGGGAAAGGAGCUGGGAGGAAGCCGGUAUAUGAGGGCGGCGGUGGCGGCGGUGGAGUCGGAGGCCGGCCGUAUAAGCUCGCAUCUGAUGCCGAUGAUGGACUCGGGCGAUUUAAAGGGUUGGUAUAUGGAUAAUUGCGUUGGCUGAAGCCCCCAUGUUGGCCUAAGGCCGGCGGAUGCGGUUGUGUGGGGUAAGUGUAUACUGGCCCAUCUUCUAUUGCUAGUGUGAUUCCAGUCUUGUGAUCUGAGUAUGUGAAGCCCUCUUGUGGACCUGCAAAUUUGAAUUAGUUAUCUGAAAGAGAAUAACUUAUCUAGAGGCAUGAAUCAUGUUUUAACUACUAAUGUGACAAUUGAGUGAACUGAGUUUGAAACUUAGAGAUUAUAACAGAAAAAUCAGUAUUACUAUUUUUAUGUAUGUUUCUUUGUUAUCUCAGGUAAUCACGCUUGCUCUAAUUUGUAGUUUAGAAAUUUAAACCUGUGUUUGGCAUCGUUUCUUCUUUUAUGUUUUUUCUUCAGUAGAAAUUGGUACUAAAAUUCUGUCUAGUUGCUACAUUUCUGAUCUCUGAUGUUGUUGGUUUCUUUGCAAUGUUGCCAUAGUUCUUUCAGAGAAAGAAGUAACUAUUAUCUCUUGUUUUCCACGCUAAUAACGUAAAGGAAAGCAUUGUAACCUGUUAACAGAUCGGAAAUGAAAUGAUGCAAAACAUGCUCUAAGUUGAUCGAAUUUUACUAGUGGGGCAAGACAUUAUGAGAUUUGAUCACUCUUUUUUCUUCUGCAACGCACUUUUAACAGAAAAAGAAAAGGGAAGGGUGUUUUCAGACUCAUGAUGAGUACCAAACAUCGCUGCUGUUGUUAGUAAACUAUUUGAUUGCGUAACUCUGUCGAAAUUUUCAUAUUGAAUUAACUGAUCUUUGAUAUUUGUUAUUAGGGCUAAAAGUACCAGAAUUGGAGGCAAACCUUCUCUUUCCUCAGAGAUCGAAAUCGAUACAUCAACCAACCCUUUCGGCUUUCCUGAGCUCCUCUUCCUCAACUGGAAACUCCCCGUUUCCUCGACCAGCGAUCUCGAGCCUUCGUCAUCGCGCACAAACUUCGCUAUGAAUUCCUUCAAUGGAACAACUGCAACUCCUUGAAGAUGCUCCCUUAAGAAUAUGGGCUCUCUUCUAUGCACCUCCACAGUUAAUGACAACUCUUUUAGUUUGGGAUCUCCUCCAUCAAUCAACACCGAGAACUUGGUUUUCCAUGUGGGGUUCGGAGAGCCCGACGUGUCGAUUUUGGUGCAGUAUUUGUUGUUGGGAUCGAUCCAGCCGACAGCGAACCAUUGAGGCUUCAAGAGAGAGGAUUUGCGCCGGAGGCCGCGGGCGGAUAUGAUGCAGAUUUCAAUGCAGAUUUUUACCAUAUUUUUUAGUUGUUUUUGAUCAGUUAUUUGGAAUGGAGAAAGAGUUUGCAGUGGGAACAAAAGAAGAGAACUUUUUUGCAUUGUAUGAAGACUCCUUUGCCUCAUAAGGAAGUGAUUCUUUUCCACCUCAGGAUAAAAUGAGAGGAAUAUGUGUAGCUCUUUCUAAGAACAAGAAUCUGAUGCUGAUCUUAAUGGAGCAUUAGAAACAGGAGUUAAAUUAAAGUGUAUUUUUAAAUGAAAAAUGUUUGAGGACAAUUAUUUAUGCCAUAUGUUUGUCACAGCUUAACAUGUGGUUGCGAUUGUAUUGAAUUUGUCUCACUGCAUGUUAUGAGUAGGUGUUGAAAAUAAUAUUUAAAUAAAUGUCAGAUACCAGGAAGAGAAAAAAUUAUGGUGAUAUAGAGGGUUUAUCUAUUAGUUUAAACUUUUUGAGUUGGUUCGAGCUUUUUAUUAGCGAGAACGAUUCAACAUUGUAAAAUUUCUUAAAGCUUGUUUUGGCUAGAACAAUGUAUUUAGUCAUUUUUAUUGCAAUUUAGGAUUAUAAUUUUAAGUAAAGGAAUUUUGAUUUUUUUUUUUCAAAAAAUGAUCUUUUAUAUGUGAAUUAUAUUUGAAAUAAGUAAUUUAUUUCAGAGUUGGAAAAAGAUCAUUUUUGGGACAAAAAGUAAGUAAAAGUACAAGGACGAAAUUGCAAUAUCGCCAUAGUACAGGGACUAUUCAUACAUAGCUACCGAGAAAAUUUAAUUUCUCGUGUGCUAGGGUUUUCGCACUCUUUGAUCCUCAAAAGCGACCCCCUUUCCCCCUCAAAUUCUCGCUUUAGAGGUUGUGGGAGAGCGAUCUCAGCGAUCGAUUCGACGAGGGAGAUGCGUUUCUCCUCGCAAAUUCCCCUUUUCCGAUCCAUUUCUCGCAUUUCAAUUGCAGGAAUUGGGUCUUUUGCUAGGUUUCGAUCCCAAAAUCGCUUCUUCAUCGGUUGCUUCAGAGAAAGGAGCUCUUUGGGAUCUCAAAAUCGUAAUGGGUCUCGCACUUGUUCCCUUUCUCGGGUAAUUAAUUCUCUUCAGUUUCUUUCUUUUUUUCAUUAUUUGAUGGUAAAAUUAUUGGUUAUGAUUUUGAUUAAAGUAAGAAAAAAACUAAUUUUUUGUGCCCAAGGUGACAUUUUGGAUUCAGUAAUACUUGUGUUCCAUUGGGUAAUGUUCUCCACAAGCGCCAAUUUGAUGUAUCAACGAUUUAGAAGGAAAAAAAAAAAAGGCAAAUUCCAAUUUAGUAUUUCAUUCAUUACUUAUGUUUUACUUAUAAUCACCCAGGAAUUCGCUAGAACCCACUAUUUUACUAAGCGAAGCAACUCGGUUUUAGGAUAGUUUGGAUUAAUUGGCUAUUGAGAAUCCAGCACUGAUACUCUUUUGUAUUAUUUCAAUCAAAGCUUACAUUCACGGCAUAAUUCUUCGUGUUUGAAACUCGACAUUUCCUGUCGAGGUUCGACUUUUUGAGCUAAAAAUCGAUAGCAAAUCCGAGAUUCUAACACGCCAAAUUGACUUCUUGUGAAUCUGAUUGCCAUCUGACACCUGCUGGUUGUAAAUCUGUCCUGCUUUUGAGCAACUGAGUGUGUAAAUCUAUUUUGAUUCAUGCAUAGAUGUUAUGUCUUUUCACUUUCUCUUCAUACCUGCAGAGAAGUAUCAUGUGUGCCGACCUUGUUGAUAAUGGUCUUUUACCGUUCGCUGCAGCUGCGCAUGAUAUUUUCAAUAUGCGCACCAAUCGGCGAUCGAUGGUGACAUGGGAUUCUGAUGAUGAUGGAGAGAUUACUAACAAUUUUGAUCUUUUCUAUUCUACUUCAAAAGGUAAGAACAUUUCGGACAAAGAUAUAUGUAGUGCUUAUAUCGAGAUGCUCUGUAGCUCUGGUAAUCUAGCAGAAGCUGUUUCUUUGCUGAGACAUUUGCAAAAUAGACAGACCCAUGUCAGUCUUAAUGUUUAUAACAUCCUUCUUAGCUUGGCAGCUGAGGCCAACAAUUUCAGUUUGUUCUCCAAGAUAUUCAAGUAUUUGCUAACUUCGAAAGUGCCCCCUGAUUUUACUUCUUACUGCAAUGUUGCAAAGGCUUUUCAGAAGGUUGAUGACUCGGAACUACUGCUCAAAUUUAUCAGGGAUGUAUCGGAAAUAACUUGUGAUAGAGAACCUACUGUCGUGAACAGGAUCGUGUUUGCGGUUGGUGAUUCUGGACAAAUUGACAAAAGCUUGAUGAUAUUCGAAGAGCUGAAGAAGAUUCAAUUUGACGUCAAUGUGGUCACAUUCAACACAGUUUUGGGAAUAUUGGGAAGAUCAGGUCAGGUGGAUCGAAUGCUUUCUGAGUUCACGCAAAUGAAAGAUUUGGGUUAUUCUCCCGAUUUAGUUACAUACAAUACGGUUAUUAAUUGCCUACGCAGAAUGGGGAAGUUUGGUCUCUGCAAAGAUUUUGCAAGAGAGAUGUUUGAGAAAGGUAUCAAUAUGGAUCUAAGGACUUAUACUGCAGUAAUUGAUGGUCUUGGACGGGCCGGCCAUGUUGAAGAGGCGCUCAAUAUGUUUUCGGAGAUGAAAAAGUCUCAACAGCCUUCAAUAUAUAUCUACCGUGCUCUAAUUAGCGACUUAAAACGGGCUGGGAAGUUCGAACUGGCAUUGAAUUUGUCCGAGGAGAUGAACUCAACAAGUUCGAAACUUAUCGGUCCUAAAGAUUUCAAGCCAAAACAAAAGGUCAAAAUGAGUUGAGAGGCAAGGUGAUUGAGGAGCUUCUUACGAAUCCAGGUUUACAUUUCAUCCCCUUUCACUCUGAGCUUAGUCAGAAAGAUCUUGAGGAGAAAGUUGCCUCUUGAUAGGAUCUAUGGAAAGGAGCAUAGCUCAGAUGAUAUUUAUCAGUUCUCGAUAGAUCGAUGCCAUGUUACAUAAAAUACACAUAGAAGAUUAAAGAAGGUUUUGUUUCUUCGAGGCGAAAAUGUCAUACACUAUCACAUGGAAAGUGACUUGAUUUACUGGAAAGGCUUGAAGCCGCUUGGUCUUUAAUGUGUGGUGACAUGAAUUUUGGAACUAAGUUUGAUGUUUCUAAUUGCCAAGUACAAAACUGUAGCAUGGGGAGUUAUGCAGCUGUUCCUGCUGUGGAACAUCUUUCUCAACUUCGCUACUACUCGCUCGGAUUCUGGAAAUUGUUCGGGCCUGAAGAUUACCAUCGAAAGUUUCCUUCUUAGUCUAGCUCUUCUUAAUUCGGCGGUAUUUCACUAAGAUUACCAUCGAAAGUUUCCUUCUUAGUCUAGCUCUUCUUAAUUCGGCGGUAUUUCACUUAGCAAUGCAUCGCAAUUCGGCAUGAAAGGUCCGAGAACUGCUUUACAGAGUGGAUUUUAUCUUGAUAUAGUGUAGUCACCAAGUAGGUAACCUAUACAUAUUGCAGUAGCCAAUAUUUUUUUAUUUUCAAUUGUUAUAUAUUUGAGAAAUUUUUUUUUUACAGCUCCAAAGUGGGAUUGUAGGAUGCCAUUUUUUUUUGCUGUUCAUUGCAUCUUUUGCAUGAAACAACAUUCGAAAGCACCUCUGAGAUUUCAAUUUCGAUUGUUGUAUUAUUUAAGGGUGGAAAUAAAUGCAAUUUGGAUGUUUAACAAAAUUCAUUGAACAAAUUCUGUGUGGGCACAAACUAUGUUAACUUAUACCACUACUGUUAACAAUUCCAUAUGUUGCUAAACAAAAAGGAAUAACAAAGUUCCUCUUAUUUCAAAUCUCACAAAUUAGGAUCAAACUAAAUCAGCUCAAACGGGAGAAUUAUCUAUUUGAGACUGAUAUAUCUUCUUAAGAAGGUAAGUUAAUGCAGCCCAAUAUAGUGCAGAAAGAGACUCAUACAGUUGAUUAAUGAGAUAAAAUACAGGACAUUAUUUACAUUAUUCUGGUUCCUGUUAUGUACUCAUCAGAGCAUGCGACUCGCAAAAAUAGAACUUAAAAACACUGGUGAGAAAGAAGGAAAGAAACAUUCUAAUACAAACACAGAGGAAUGGCGACAUAUAGGAUGAGCGAGCGAGCGAGCGAGCUAGCUCAUCUCUCUUAAGUCUAUAUACACUAAUCAGUAAUCGACAUACGAGCAUAACAUCCAAAUCGAACAUCAUCUUAAUGUGGAAAAAAGUCUCCAGCUCUGCAUAUGCAUCAGCUCCUCUGUGAUUACAUUCAUCAGAGGUGCCAUUAUACACGCUCAACCAAGUAUAUGAGAAGCCACUUGGUUGCGCAGGUAUUAAAGCAGUAUACCUCAAUAUAUAGAGGUUGCUAUCUAGAUUCUAAACCAUACUAGGCGAUAUCUCAAAGCACGAAUUCGUCUUCCUAUACAAAACAAUACCUGCACAUAGCAGAGAAAUAUACAAAAUUUGUCAGGAAAAAUAGAAAUGCCAAGGUUCGAUUUUCUUUGAUCAGAAUUAAGUAGCAUACGAUUCUAUCAUAAAUUUUGUUCUUAAUAAUUUUAUGAAGUGGUGGUUAGCUGGAAAGAAUCAAUAGCAAAAUUUGAACCAGUAGAGUAUACACCUACCAGCUCAAUGAUGAAGUCCUUCAGAAAAGCAUGGACAGGUACAGAGUGAUCCAUCCAGUCAUUGAGAUGAUCGCACAAAGAUGUACCCAAAACAAAAUAGCUGCUGACUCCUUUCCACACCCUCGUAGAUUCGCAAUCACACCUGAGAGUAGUAGUUAGAUAAAGGUUAGCUAUUUUAAACAAUCGUAUACCCAUUUAGAAAAAAUGUGCCUGCACAAUGGCCUCGGUCAUGAUGUUUCUCUAUCACCUUUGAAGAUAAAGCUAAAAAAAAUUACAGAAAAAAAAAAUCCUUAAAAAAGUUAUGUACUUUUAUACGGCGUAUGGCCGUAUCAUGUUACUUUACCAGAAAGCACAGAAGUGGGCAUUGCGUACUGGAGGAGGAGGAUGAAUCUGAACAUUUUGUCACCCUCUGGGUAGAAGCCAAGUUUAUCACCUAAGAAGUAAAUUCCAAGCCCUACUGGAGGAACCAAGACCAACCGUGCAAAUAUAAUAGCUACAAUAGUUCGGAACCCAAGUCUUUUGCUUCCUGGACCUGGACCUGAAAAUGAAAAAAAUAUUGUUUCAUUAAUUUUUUUGUCUGUAACUCAUGCAGAUCAUGCUUAUAUAAUGAAAAAGAAAAAAAAAAACUUUUUUAAUUUUUUUUUUCCUUUACCCUAUUUUUUUUUCUCAUGGCAAUAUGCUCUCUCUUUAUUCUUCUGAUGCUAUUUGGAUUGAUGUCUGAACAUAUAACUAAUGCCAGCUACCAACUCAUUCUUAUUAAGUUUCAUGUUCAAAUUUAACGGUCAUCUUAAAAAUUUGGAAUUAAAUGUACACUAAGAAUAAAAUUGCAAGGAUGGCGUUGCACCAAUUAAAGUGGCAUCGAUAAUACUUCCCCAAUUUCUUACCACUCAUAAGUAGAUGGAUAAUUUUUGCUAGAUAAGUUGAAAAGUGACAAUAAAAAAAAGGUAAUCAGCCACGAACACAAAAAUAUAGUUGGAAAAAAGAUCUUACCUUCAACAAGGUUACCUCCCAAGGCGAGCAAAAUACAUGGAAUCAUGGCCUCUCUGUGAACAGGAUAAUAGUACUUGUUAUUGAUGGUAGAAGAAAAAAAGAAGUGCACCAUUAUAAUUCAACCAGAUAAAAUGCUUCAAAAAUAAUAAAAGAAAAAGAACACAAGAAGACAAAAAUAUACCCGAGAAUAAGGCAGCUAUCUGUGAAAAAGAACAAUGGAGCAUCAUCCGUGAGGAUAAAAUUCUUUAAGAAUGGAACACAACCAAUAAAAAUUGCUAAAAUCUGUUGCAAGCAUACAAAGAAUUAGUUAUGAAGUUUAUUGCACCAAUCAAAUGAAAGGUUUUUGUCUUUUGUCUUAAAUCAUCCAAUGAGCGACUUCAGGAGAAAAACACUUACAGCAGCAGUAAUUGGGGGCUGGAAAAUCUGCUUAAGUUUUAGUUUCUGAACAAGAAGAUGUAGCUGGUCCAUAAUCUGAAUCAAGAAAGAAAAUCAUUAGGUUUCUGUUUAAAUCAUCCAAUCUAAAAUCAAAAGCAACAAAUACAUGCAACAAUCAUCGUUGUGAUCCUAGUUUGUUCCCCACAAUAAAAUCAACAACAAUAACUGAAGUAAACAAUCUGAUUCAAUGCCAUUUCUACAGUAGUCACAAUCAAGAUUCUGUGUUACUUUUGUUUGAGUGGAGGUGAUACAAUCUUAAUUUCCAACAACUGCUGCAUAUACAGAAACCUAUCUUAAAUGAAGUCAGAGCCAAUAUGCAGAUUAGAAACCAUCAAUAUCAGAAUUGUAGUUUUCAAAAGAGAUCCACUUUAAAAAUUAUUUAGAAUAUGUAACAAGAAAGGAAACCCUCAGAUUUUUGAAGGUGAGAUCUUUUCUUCCAAAGCAUGAAGGUAGGGGCGCGCAUCAGUAGGUUUAGUUCGGGUUGAAGGAUUUUUUGGGUAAACCAAACUGAAUCAAAGUUUCGGGGAUGAUUCAAACAGAGCUGCACAAAAAUAAUUCAGUUUGAUUCAGUUGCUUUAUUUGGUUUGAUUAUGAAACUUUUCUCAGGCUAAUAUAUAUUAAACUAUUAGAUGACAGGUAUAAGUAUGGUGGUUGUUGUCCUUUUAAUCUUCGAUCUGAAGUGGUGGUUGAGCACCCCAAUUGUUUCAUCAUCAGUGAAUGCUACUUUGUGUCACACAUUCAAACUACUAUAAAUUUGAUUAAUAUGGUAGAUUCAGAUUAUUCAGCUUUCAGUUUCAAACCAAAAACCUCACUGAAUUACUAAUAAAACGAAUAGAAUCAACUGAAAUCACUUGGUUCCGUCUUAGUUCAUUUGGUUUGGACCAAAAAAAGCACCCCCCCUACGUUAUGUAAUAACAUAUCACAAAAAGAUUUCUUACUUUUACUCUUUUCGAAGACAACGGACCAAUUUUCUGGGCCUCCUCAAGAGCUAGCAGGGGCACUUGCUCGGGCACUUGCUCGGGCACAGUAGUGCUGAUUGGGAGCUUAGUUGGAAGUUUAUCAUGCUCAGGCACUAAACUGUCAACAAAAGUCCUCGUUGGUAGUUUCGCCUCGUCGGUGCUAUCAAAUGUUUCUCCUGGUGGCGGCGCUAGCAUCUGAAACACAUAUGUGUAUAGAAUAAUUGCGCCAACCUGCCAUAAACAAAAUUUUGGUUAUGAACAGACUGCUACAUAAAAUAGGAAAGUUCCAUUUUAGUCACCAUAAUCUACGCACCAGACCGAGUUACACACUAGCAUCAACAAGGAAAGAGAGGGCAUGGGAGGGGGGUAAAAAAGAAGCAGAAAAAAUCAGUGGUACAUUCUACAGCAAAAAAAAAUUAACGGUAAAUAUUAUGUCCUUGCGAUGUAUAAUCAGAACAAGUGUUAUAAUGAGAGGGAACUCUUUUCUUUUUCUAUUUUAAUUCUAACCUCAGUCAAGAGUGUUACAGAAACCAUUUCAUGCUCUCCGAAAUAUAAAAUAUAUUAACAAGGAACAGCAAAGUUGCAGUGAUCUGCCAAACUAUUUAACAAGAGCAUAGUGUUGAGGUUGCAAAUUAAGGACCAAGGUGAACCAUACUAUAGAUCUCAUUUGGCUUGACAACUAAAACUGAGAAAAUAGUCAGAACUAAUGAUCUGGCGUAAUUAUUUUAUUAUUAGUUUCAACAAGUUUAUUUCUUUCUGUUCAACUGUGCAGUAAAAAUUUCGACAACAUCACACGCACAAACUACAAGCAAACACUCAUGCCUGGAGAGGUAUUUGACUUCAUAUAAAUGACGGCCGGAAAAACAAUACAUCCAAUCCUUACGAAGAAACAGUGCCAAGACAUACCCAUUGACCAAAUGAGAUAUAUGCAUUUCCCUGUUGACUGCACAUAGCAGUGUCACCAAAGGGAUUGGAUUGGUCACGACAUAGUGCUGCUAUAAGGACGAGAGGUACAUUCCCAGUGUUCCCUGCAUUCAAUAUUAAACAACUCAGAUUUUUAUCAAAUGCAUGCAAUCAGGGUCGUAAAACCGAAAUUUAAACACAUUAGCCACUUCUAACUAUUGAACUUGCUAUGUUAGUUACUACUACUAGAAUUGUAGGUAUUUAAGCAGAAAAGAAACAAUUAUCAACUUUCUGGUAAUAGUAGUACCCAAAUAAAAAGAAAUUAGGUUUUCAGUGGAGAGAGAGAGAGAGAGAGAGAGAGAGAGAGAGAGAGAGAGGAAACCACUCUCUUUUCGGCCUCCUCAAAAAGAAGAUAACUUACCAAUUCCUAUAUGGAUAAUGGUGAACUUGAAAUAGGGAUAAGGGGGUCGGAUAAUGGAUGCCACUAUAAGACCAAUCAAGGAGCCAGAUAUUGUAGCCAUAAUGACAUUGACUGGAAGAAACCACCUACAAACAUAAAGUUUCAGAUACAUGGGAAGAAAAUUAUUAAGGACAAGCAUCUAGACUGAAAAAGGAUCAUCCCACAGAGCCAGCAUAUAGAUCAGAACAUAUGAAGAUUAAGGAAGAACAAAUAGCUUCUUAAGACAUCAUUUAUGAUAUGGGCAUUGCAAAAUUCAACAUACAUCAGGUCACACCGUUGUACAAUUUUGGCAGGAAUAAGAUAAAGUAUAGCCUGAACAACAGUGUACACAUACAUGUAGAUGAAAAUUAACAAGAGAAUUCAGCAUACCAAAAAAAAAAAAAGAAGAAGUCAUAUGAAAUGCUUUAAACUCAAAACUAUGUAUGCAUGAAUCAAACUUGACUGUUAAACGAUAACUCGUGAAUUUGAAUCAUCAAUAAAAGGGUACAAACAUACUUGAUUGAUAAGUAUACACAACCAUAAAUAAACUAAGAUAUAGGCUAGAUCACAAAUUAGAUAGCUUAAUAUCUGCUCACUCUAGAAGAAUAUUUGAGGGGAAAAGCUAAGAGUCAUUCUUACCACCGCAACAAGUUUUGCAGAGUAACUGCUCUUCCAAGAUCAGAAAAUAUAAGACAAGGGAGAAGAAGAGAAAAGACAAGCUGCAAAAUUAUUAACAAAGAGUUUAGAAGCAGCCUGAGUGGGUGAUUAACAAAAAGUAUAAUGGAAGAAUGCAACACAUAAAUACUAUUACUUAUUUUCAAAUUAUCUACAAUCUAAUAAGCAUAAACUAUGGAACGACGGGACCAUAAUUGUAAAACUCUUCUUAACUGUUGAAAUCAAAACCACCAUGUUCCCAGGCGUCUCAGUUGCUCGCUUUCUUAUCCAUAUUAAGCAUGAUUUGUGACUGUGGCUGAAAAACAUUAUGAAAAAAGCACUAGUUCUGUUUAUGCUUGAUACCACUUCUUCAUAACAAACGAGUACUGCCCACAUAGAGAUGCAAACAAAGUACAAGCAUCACAAGUGAUCUGGAGACACUAGAAUCAUGCAUUCCAGGUGCUUUUGCUCCCAAAUAUAAACAUCUAGUCAAUCUAGAUCUGUGGCCCCAAUGCGUCCGCCAGAUUAGCACGAAAAGUUUGGGUAAAAAAGGGUUAAUUAUCAAAAGGGUUAAUUAUCACCAUCAGUAUCUAGCACAGUUAACUAAGAGUUUGAUGAUUGGUACUCGAGGUCACAAAUUCGAAGCCUAAUUGUUUCACAUCUUUAACUGAGUUCAUUUCUAGAAAAUGAACGAAGCGGGUAGCUUGCUAUCUUUCUCUCCAAAAAAAAAUUAAAGAUUAAUUAUCAGUAGCACAUAACUAUCACCCAUAAGCCUUAAUAAAGUAUAAGUCCUACCCCUCUUUGAGUCUUUUCCCUGCUGCCUAAAUAAGUCUACCUCCCUGCCCUCUUCGGAUUUGCAACUAAGGGCAUGCUUGUUUCGUCGAAACUGAACUUUGAAUUGAAGUGGACUUUGGGUUGAAGUGAAGCUUGGCGAAAACUACUUUUUUCCCGUUGUUUGUUUCGUAGUUAUGAAAGUGAAGUUUUAUUAGUUCUUCUGUUUAUUUAAUAGGAAGUGUAUAAUGUAAAACUAUAAUUUAUGUAUAAAUAAUAAAUAAUUAAAAAUAAUAUAAUUAUAUUUUUUAUAUAAAUAAAAUUUAAUUUAAAAUAAAUAAAUUAUUUUUUUAUACAUAAAUUAUAGUAAUACGACAAUAAAAUUAUAAAGUAAAAAAAAUAACACUUAAUUAAUCAAUUUUUAUCAUAUUUUAAAUAUGUCAACUGAAUAAAAGAGUAAUUAGUACCAUAAUUAAAUAUAUUUAUAUAUAACUAUCUUUACUUAGUAUAUUAUUUUAUUAUUUUUCCUUCACCUUUUUUCAUCGUAAAUUGACUUCGGCCUACGAUAGGCCGAAGUCAAUUACAUCGUUUGAGGUUGAUUCGAGUUUCGAUCGUAACUUUUUUACGGCAAAUCAAACAACGAAAGUAAUCGUUUAUGACAAAAACGACUUUCUUCCUCUCCACUUCCACCCCACUCCCAUCCAAGCAAAUAUGCCCUGUCUUGCAUAUCAGUGUCGACACAAUUAAGUACAAAAGCUUUGUGAAACCGUAAAAGUUAAAAGGUACCACUACCAUAUUUCCCAUCACGGGUUACAUGCAACAGCCACAAGUUAAAAACUCCUCCUACCCAAAAAAACCAAACUUUACCAAAACCCACGAACAUCUAAAAGCUGAAAACGUACUAAAAAAUUGAAUCAAAAACCAACACACUUUCCCCAACCUUUCUUAAUCCCAUAAUGAUAACAAGGUAAUCUCAAAAGAGGAGAACUCACCCCAUUAAGAAGCUUCCGACCGUUAGCAGGGAGGACGUUAACGUACUUAGACGCCAUGAGAAACCCCAUGAAGCACAUCGUGAACACCUUAGCGAUGGGUAGUAUAGAGUACGUGAGAAUGGACAACAGGGACUCUCCCCCACCUCCCUGGGCCUCCUUCAUCACCUCCCAUAGCGACAUCUUCAUCGCCAUCCUCUUCUCCUAAAUCCCAAUUCCCAAAUCGAGAUAAUCGUAUCUGUAAAGGGAAAUUUGCCUCUAAAUUUUGAUACCAAAAUAAUCAAAUCACUCUGAUUGGUAACAGGUUGCUCAGAAACAGGAAAAAAAGGGACUGUUCAGCAAAAGAAAAAAGAACAGAGAAAAAAAAAAAAGCUGAAAAUGCGGUAGAAAUUGAAAACCCAGAAAAAAUUAUCGCAUCCACGUGGUAUAAUAAUUGAAGAAAAUUACCGAAUCACGUCGCCAUAUGUACCAUAAAUAGCAAAAAAUUAGCUAUGUUACGUGAAAUUACCAACAAAUUCUGAGACAACCCAAUGGAAAUCAUGAUAUUUAUCAAGGUAAAUCAAGUACCUCUCGUUUUCUAGUCAAUAAAUUCGCUCAAACAAAAACACAACGCCCGUAUAAAAAGAUCAUAGCUCUCGAAACUCCCCAAUACCAAAUUCUAAAAACCUCAGCAGGAGGAAAAAAAAAAAAAAAGAGCAAAAAAUAGGUAACAAAUCGUUAGCUGCAACAACGAAAUCUAACCAAAAACCCUAAAUACCCCAAAAUCUCUUCAAACCACGGAACUAAGAGCUACAACUCACCGAAAUCGACGGAUCCCUUCAAUCGGAACCAAAUCCGCGCGGAGCAAACCACCUCCGAGCUCCAAUCGAGCUCUUUUCUCCCUCGAUUUCACAAUCUCCCCCAAUAAUCUCCAAUGACGAGUAAGAGGAUGCUACAAUGCGAGAGCUUUUGCGCGACUCGUGAGAGGAUUCGCUCGCUUCGGGGAAGUUCCCGUUACUGGCUUCGUAUAUAUAUAUAUAUAUAUAUAUAUAUAUAAAAUAAAAAGAGAGAGCCUUUGUAAACUCUAGAGGCGUCGAGAUAUAACAUGAACCCGCGCGUAAAAGUUACGCUGUAGCCCCUGUACUGUCCCAAAAUUUCAAUGCACUCCUCUGCGUGCAAUCAACGUUGGUAAAACAAUGUAUAGGUAGCCCCUCAGUUAUAUUCUAUUUUGAUACAGGCCCUAUGUCGUCAAAUACUUAAUGGUAAUUUCAGUAAAUUUAAUUAUUUUAAUUCUUUUAGUGAAUAAAAUUUGAUUAAUUAGUAAAAAAUUCCAAAUAAAAUAAAAUUGGAAGUUGAGGGAGUCUCAAUCCCACAAAAUAUAAGUUGCAUAUAUGUCUACAUAGUGUAAACUGUUUAAUCUUUAAAUUUUUUAAAAUUGAAGGGACCAAAGUGCAGUAUAUGGAAGUCCAAGGGACAUAAUUGCAACGAGCGGAUUGGAGUUGGAGAUAAUUACGAUUAUGCCAUUGAGCUGACGUGGGCCACGUGGCCCCGACGGGUAUCGUACGAAGCGCAGUGUGGGGACCGCUAACGCGGCGCUUCGUGNAAGAAUAUAUAGAUUUCUUACUCUUUUUUUUUUUUUUUUUUUUUUUUUUUUUUUGGGAGUUUUACGCGGGGAAGGAGCGACGCAACGCCCGAUCCCACCGUCAAAUUUCGUGCGAGCUUUUUGCGUCCGUAUGAUUUGGCCUUUGUUAUUCUCACCCCCCCCUUUUUUUUCGGAGAGUACGGCUUUUGGAUUUUUAAUUAGCUUUAAAGGACGAAAAGGUUAUAUAAUCAUAUCAAAAUAUUUUAUCGAAAUAAAUAUCUGUUUAAUUUAAUUUAGUGGAUAUUUUAUUCCACAUCUAUAUAUUUACCGAUCGAAAAUUAUUAUCCAAAAAUUAAUUUUAAUUUUAUAAUUUUUUUAUAAAUUAUUGUGAAUAUCAGAUAAUUCAUAAUACCUGAUAAGUACAAGAUAUUUGCCCAUAUGUAUGGUUGCUAAAAUCUUCUUAUAAAUUUUUAUUUUUUUAUUUUUUCUUCCUAACUUUCAAAAAUCUAUAUUUUACCCAUCAAUAUUUCAAGUUGUUGCAUUUAGCCUUCCACCAUCAGGAUUUUAUCACUAUUCCGUCAAUUUUUUAUAAUUUAUACCGAAAAUAUUCUUCAAAAUAAUAGAAAUAUAUUAAAAAACUAUUUUUUCUUAUAAAAAAAGUAAGGGUAAUUUAGUCAUUUUGCCUCUACAUUAACAUCGUACCUUCGUGAAAAUAUUUUUAAAAUUUUUAGAGGACAAAAUAUAUAUUUGUGAAAGUCAGAGAGGGAAAGUAAAAAGACGGAUAUUUAUAAGGAUGUUUUCUUUAAUUUUACUAAAAAAAAAUUGUAUAUAACAAUAUUUUUAAAUGUCGGUAUAUGUCAAAAAAAGUAUUGAUGGUUAAAUUAGCAACAUUUUUUGAAAAUAUUGCUUUAUGUGGGGUCGUUAUAAGUAGGGCCGCCUUGAUAUUUGGCACCCACUCCUCCAGCGACCUGUGCCGGAGGGAUACGCGGCGAUCAUAGUCCUCUACGGUACCUGCGAUAUCCUCAUGGCCCAACUCCAACCGCAGGAACCCUGCCUUAUUGGUUGCGGCGGCGGAGGAGGAGAAUGGGAGAUAGUGAUCAAAUUUUCUUUCUUUUUUUAUUUGUAAUCGGACCGAAUGGGUUAGAUGUGGUUAGUUGAAUAGAGGAACUUUUUAAUUUUUAUUGGAUUAGGUUUUAUAUUUAAACUUUAGUAGAUUUUUUAAAAAACAAUUUGGCAUAAAUGAAACACUUAUAUAAAAAUAUUCUAAAAAUGUGUCCCUAUAAUUUAAUUCUGUUGUAGCUNGAUUUUUUAAAAAACAAUUUGGCAUAAAUGAAACACUUAUAUAAAAAUAUUCUAAAAAUGUGUCCCUAUAAUUUAAUUCUGUUGUAGCUAUCAACAUAUAAAAUAUCAAUUUAUGAGUGGCAAAGAGCUCAGGACCAUUUUAAUUGGAUGAAAAUGCCCUAUUAUAAUAAGUACAAAAGACAUUUAAAAAGAAAAAGAAAAAGAAAAAGGAAAAGAAAGAAAAAGACAUUUUGCAUGAAAAUGACUAUAGAUUUUUUUUUCCAAUUUUGCGACUUUAUCAUAUUUUUUUUUUGUUCUUUUUUGUAUUUUACUUUAAUACAUUGUGCAUUAAAUUUGUUCUCUAGUUUGCAAAUUUCUCAUGUCGCGUAUUAGUAAUUAAGUACAUUUCCUAAUAGAGUCCAAAUGUGCGAAAAGAAAAAAGAAAAGAAAAACUUUGUGAAAUGUUAACACAAAAAAAGUUUUCUUUGUACAGCGAUAUUCUUAAUGAAUUUCAUGAUUAAUUUAAUUAAACAUUGCCAUACAACUAAUAAAUAAUAUUUUCCUAUCAUUUUCUUUGCUCAAAUAUUUGUACUAUUGAUUAAUUACAUGUAUAUAGAAUAAAAUUACAUAGAAUUAUCAUCAUAUAAUGAAUUACUGCAUACAAAUAAGAUUUUUCUCCUUAUUUUGAGGCCAAUUUUUAGUUUUCUACUAGCUUUGAAAAGUUAUAAUUAAUAAGUAUUUGACAUCAAAUAUAAAAUAAUUAUUCGGUUGUUUUCGUAAAUAUUUUCGGCCAACAUUAGCAAAUGUUAAGGCACCAUGCUUUGAGAGAAAUUUUCAUUUUCAUUUUCAUUUUCUUUUGAUAGUUGAAUUAUGUUCUUAGCUUGAUUGGCUCGAAUCAUUUUUUGACUAAAUAUGAACAUUUAUUUCAAACUUUAUUAAUAAUUGAUCGCAAAUUUCCGAGGGUAUUAAAUUAUAAAUAGAGAAACAAAAAGUUAAUAUACUAUUUGUCCCUUUUCAAAUUAUAAAGCUACAUUAGUUUUUUAACCCCUUAAAUUCUAAUGCCAAUAUUUACUCUAAAUAGUUUUUUUAAAUGGUUGAAGUUAGAAUUAAAAAAUGAACAAAUGGUUUAAAUUUGUAUGUUAAUCCCUACCUGCUUUGGAAAAAAUAAAUUGUUGCAAUGUUAUGCACUUUUUAUCUUAAUUUCUCUUUUUGUUUUAUAAAACCAAUUUGGGGUGUUUAGAGCCAAAUCUUUUAAGAUAACAGUAUUUUUAAUAUUUAUGUUCAAAAUAACUUUUUGACGGGAUCAAGAGACCUCCUACUCUGAUACCAUAUUAAUUUAUGUGAAACAAUUAUUGUUCUCCAAAAACUCAAGCUAUUGAAGAGCUUUGUUUCUAAUAUUCAUAUUCAAUACUAACUAAUUAAUCAAACAACUUAAUUCAAAUGCAAUUAGAUCACAUCAUUCCUAAUAUGAAUUAAAAAUUAUUGUUGGGUUAAGUUAACAGUAUUGUUGGGUUAAGUUAAUCCUAAACCUACUUUUAUAUAUUAGAAUAAUAAUUAAGCCAAUUAUUAGAUCACAUCAUUCCUAAUUUGACUUUUAUCCUUUCAUGCAUGAAUAAAAUCUGGUUUCUUUAAUUCUUUGAUCUUUGAGCCUAAUUUCAUUGUCAUUUUCAAUUGUUUCGCAUGAUCCUUACAUUUGUUUCCAUAAAUAGGGUUCCAAAAACGACUUAAACUUUGUGCGAGAAUUAUUCUUUUGUAAACUCUUGUUGAUAAAGUAAUUAAUUUCUAUUCCUUAAUAAAUCCUUAAUAAUUCUACCAUAAUGGCUUUGUCAUUAUCUUUAUAUUUAUUGGCUUGAAUAUAUAAUAAAAUACAGCUAUAUGUUCUUUGUCUCUCUCUCUCUCUCUCUCUUUCAAUGUAGACAAGCACAUAUAAAAAAGCCAAAGCGUUAUAAUGGAACAUGAUCGAGAGGUUACACAAAAGUUUCACGUUAAUUUCACACCAUUGGCAUGUCGCAUUCAUAUGAAGUUUCAUGUGAUAUUUCUCAUGUUUAUAGUUAUAUAUAUUCCCCUAUAAUUAUAGAAGAAGCAGUGGCCUUUUCGAUGUAACCUUACAUAGGUACGUGCAUGGUUCUGAGGCCCCCACGUACAUGUGGGUCAUAAAAUGUUACACGUAUAAGAUUCCCAUAUGGAUUAAAAAUUUUCUUAAUUAUCAGGUGAUCAAAUUAGGUUCAACCAGUGCAAGUCAUAUAUGCAAAUGAUUUGAUAAGGAUUAUUAUAAUUGAUUUACUACUUCCCAUAAAGUAAGCUCUUUUUUAAAAACAAUGCACAAUGCAAAAGCAGUUCCAUUGAUAUAUAUAUAUAUGCUAGCUUGAUUAAAAAAAAAAAAUUAUUUAUGGAUAUGAAUGAUGUUGUUCAUAGUGCCUAUUUGAUAUUUCUAAAUAUAUUUAUCAAAACUUUUUAUUAUUUACUUAUAGAAUUUAAGCAAAUUAAUCUAAUAAAUUUGAUUAACUACUAUCGACGCAACAUAUGUUAGUAACAUUUGUCCAAGUAAGAGAUAAAAAGUUCAACUCGAUCUCUGCUAGUGUAUUUAUUAAUUAAUACAACGCUACAAACUUUUUGAGAAAAAAGUUUAAGUGACAGUGCUUAAAAAAGCAUGCACAAGCAUUACUGUUCUCUUUUCGUUGCUUAUUUAGGGCUUAUUUUGGAAGUAUUAUUAUUAUUUUGGUAUGAGCUCGUUUUUCCCGUUUCCCCGUACGUGACUCAUCCGUAAGGAGAAUUUAAUUAAGUUCCCCCACGUAAUUCCCUUGCACUUAAUUUUAGUAUUAUGAUAAUGAUGGGGGGAUUAACUUAACCCAACACAAGUCAAUUACGGAUACCACGAAAUAUAUCUCAAAAUAUAGUUGAUGAUCAAGUUCGACUAUCAAUAUAUGGUUUUGACGCUUACGUGUGUUGUAAAUAUGAAAAGUAUGCAGAUUAACAUAUAAGGUAAGAAAAGGCUGAUUAUACCGACCGUAUCUAACGUAGUUGACUAAGUGCUUGAUAGUUGGUACACGUGAUUUUGAGUUUUGAAACCUAAUAGCUAAGUUCAAUUUUAAGAACCGGCUGAUUAUGAUGAGCAGAUUGAGGGGGUUUGAAGUCGACUUUAAUACCAUAUUACUUGAAAGAUCAAUUAAAUAGUAAACUUUUCAAAUGGAUAUAAUAUGUACUGUUAAGUGUCGAUCUCUUCGGUCGUCGAGACUAUCUAUUGUUGUUACACUAAAACUACGGAGAGUUGAGCUAGUAUACUAUUAGAUCGAAGUAUUCACUAUUCACUUGCUAUCGACAAUUCGUAGCUCUUGCAUUCAUAAUAAUACCACCAUUAAAUAUAUAGUAAAUCCUAUGCAUGCAUUUAACGAUGAAAAGUUGAUAGCAGAUGAAUAGUGGAUACUUGAUAAGUUGAUAUGGAGAAAUGUGCUUUUACUUUUUUUUGUUUAGUAAAACUACAAAUCACAUAUCAACGGUCUUGUCCGACUUACGCGCAGAGGGACAAUUUAAUCUAUGGAAAUAAAUAAAAUAUGUUCGUUUAUACUUCUCUACUACAGGUUAUGUACUUUUUGCAAUUCCAAAAGAAAUCUAACAACGGUUAUAUAUGUGCGUAAACGACUAAUUUUUAUACAAAUAAAAUUGAAUUAUCUACUGCAGUUUAGAGAGCGGAAAAAGGACAUGUUUAAAAGGAAAUAAGAUGGAUAUUUCGAUAGUGAAUAGCGACAAUUAAUUGCGAGUGCUAUGCAGCGUGUACAACUACAUGGCCUAAUUGAGGGGCCACGCAUGCUUUCUAGUACAUGCAUAUCAAUUUAAUACGUAUAUGUGAUAAUAUAUAUUUUGUCUUUAAUCAUAUAUAUAUAUAUAUAUGUGAUAAUAUAUAUUUUGUCUUUAAUUUGAAAAGAAUAGGUAAUUAUACUCACAACUCGCACAAAUUAUUGUUAAUAGAGUAGAUUCAUUAAAUAUAUUUAGCAUAUACAUUUAUUUAAUGAAAAGUUUGUUGGUUGUGUAUGUUUGAUUAGAGAACCAAAUAAACAUAAUGUUAUCGACUGUUCCUAGUGCAGAUGGUAAAGAAACUUAAUAGUUGGUAUUCAAAGUCCCAGAUUCGAAGGCUAGUUCCUGUACAUUUUCAGCUAAAUUUAUUUUCAUAAAAAAUAAACGAAGCGGUAGCAUGCAUAUAUGGUACCAUAUUUCUACUAUUUUCAAAUUAUUUGUCAACUGCUCAGUUACAAUCUAUGACAAUUUAGAGGCGUUGUGAGAAUUAGAUUACACUUUUGGUUCCCAAUCAAAAUAUGAUUCCGAAUAUAUUAAUUAACCUAACCCACUGUUACUAACUAUUUGUUGCAUUCGAGUUAUCAUCGCCCUGAAAUACUUAAACCAAAUUAUAAGCACUAAAACAUUUUAUUUUUAUAUACCGACACAUUCGAAAGUUUCUUUUCUAUUCAAUAUGGAACUAUUGAAUUGUCACAAAUUCCAAUUUCUCCGAGCAAAAUCCCAAAUAUGAAUUGAGAAUACUAUAACCUAUUUCCAUUCAAGAAUUUAUAGUCAAAAUUCAUGUUUCUAAAUAGUUCAUGUCAUUGUCCUAUUAGAAAGUAAAUAGUGCACAUUAUUUUCCUUAAUUGUGAGUCAUUGUCUAAUUAGUUUAUUGACUAUACCUUUCACAUCAUUUUCUUUUAAGCAAAUUCUUAUAGUCCAAACUUAAAUGGAUUAAUUUCUUUCACAACGACCUUAUUAUCUUAAACGAUGUACGAUAAGGUACAGGGGAAAAUUCUAUAUAUGGUUAUGAAUAAUUCAAUAAUUUUCAACAAAAGAAAAAGGUAAAAAAAAAAUAGAACUUUUGAAAAAGGGGGUGAGAUUUUGAAUCCGAUGUUAAAAUAUAUAUAUAGGGUCCGGCUACUGUAUUAUUAUGAGUACGAUCGCCUCCGUACUCAUAAGUUGUUUUCGAUGAUAGAGCUUCCGAAUCGACGAUCCACACCGUUAAACGUUAUUUAUAGCAUUUAAAACUUCUAGAAAUCAAAUUUCAUAAUUUUUCGACAUCAUUUACCUUACGAUCAAUAGGUCGCAAAUUUGACAAUUUUUAACGGCCGGUAUGGGAUACUUGCUAGUUUAACGGUGUAAAAGAAUCAGAAUUUAUUAAAUUUUUGAUAGAAAAUUCUAUUCACUACAUAGAUAAAGAUCAAUUCUAUUCACUACAUGGACUUUAUUAUGAUUUUGAAAAUUUACCUAAAGUUCCUUGCUUGCUUGGUGCUCCUACUUUCAAUUAAUAUUCCACAACAUCAGGAAACAAGAGGUGAUGUGAAGAGUGAUAGAUGUGGAUGGUUGUACUAUAAUGCAAAAUGCCCACACAUAAGUCAAAUUUGGAAGCAAAAUCACCAGUGAGCUCCUAUACGCAACUUUCCUUUCUUGUUAUUGAGAUAUUUAAAAAACUUGUGACUCGUGAGUAGUGUUGAUGUAAGCAUAAUCCAAAUUAUUAUGAUAUCUGAUGGCUAAGUGAUAUAGAUUAUAUAGUGUUAUUAUCUACCUUUGCUACUCCUUCUAAGUCUUUUUUUCUAAUAUUAUUCUACUAUAAUAUUUUAUAAUCAUUCGCGCGAGUUAAACAAAUGGUACCAGAAUAAAUAACAGUUUCAACUUCGGGAGGAUUCUUUUAGGACAACUCAUAUUGAUUUUUCGGUACACGAUAUCUCAGCUCAAAACCUUCCGAUAUAUUUAAAAUUCAAAUUAAAAAAUCUAGCUAAUAGAACUGAAAAAAAAAAAAAAAAAAAAAAGUAAAAGUCUAAUUUUGCACCUCCUCCUAUAUCUUUUCUUUAUAUUAUUCUGCUAUAAUUUUUUAUUUUCUGAGAAAACUAGUAUAAUAUUUUAGUUGUUGAUAAUCAAUCAAGUUGGUUGAUUUGAUUGCACAUGUGUGGGGGGUGUUUUAUACAAAGGGAGCCCAGCAUAAGAUGCAUCCGGGUGUGAAGAGAAAUUAUUAUUUUUAAAAUAUUAUAUUUUUUAGGUUUUUCUCCUCUAUUAUCACAUUGUUAUAUUAUUAUUCUAUAUUAAUGUUUAUGAUGAUUGUGGGUUAGAUAAUGGAUACAGGGACAAAUGCCGAUUUCUAUAAUUAGUAUUGAGUUAAGCUAUAAUACUUUUGAAAGUAUUACUAUUCAGAUACUUCUAACUUUUCAUCAGUAUCAAAGCAAAAAAAUCGCUUCUAACGAGUGUUCUCAGAGCAAAUAUCGCUUCCAACAUAUAAGACCUUGUAAUAAUGAUUUUAUAUAUUGGUUAGUUUAUCCACCCAGCCCGAAGAGAUGUACCCAUUUGGCAACAGUUUAUGUAAUUAGGGGCCACUUUGUUUGGAUGUGUUGGUAAAUAUAUAUGCAGUCUAAAUAGAGAUGUAUGCAGUAGUUAUAACUAUAUAAAUUUUAUUUGGCUGGAUACAGUAGAAAGUUGUGCAACUAUAAAUAAAUUGUUUGAUUGCGUAUAGUCGAGAAUUUGCAUUUUACAAAAAUUUUUAUUACCUUUAUUUUAUUUAAAUAAUUUCGUAAUUAGGUAACUACAAAUUCAGUGUCAGGAUGGCCGAGUGGUCUAAGGCGCCAGACUCAAGUUCUGGUCCUCGUGAGAGGGCGUGGGUUCAAAUCCCACUUCUGACAUUUUUCCAUUUUAUUAUUAAUAAUAAUAAUAUUUUAUUAAUUAUUAAUAUAUUUAUUUUUUACUUACAUGUAAAUGAGGCAUUUAUUUAUAAUUAUUUAAGUUUCGUAUGCUGUAUUACUGUAUAGAACGAUUGCAUUAUGACUGGCAUUUCGGUUUCGAUUUUUAUCUUCGCUUGAAACUAAGUAACACUAUUUGGUUUGGAUUAUCUGGAUUUUAGUUUGGUUCGGUUACGAAAACAACUAGGGUUUGAAUCUGUUUCCAGUUGAAAACAAAUUUUCCUGAACAUGCAACUUAUCCAAUGUUUUUCUACGCGAGAAGGAGAAGGUCAAGAGUUUCCUAAUGAUAUUAAGAAGUAGGGAUAUGCAAGCUUCUGAACCAUAAACAAAUAACAAGCAGAAAUUUCAAUUUAGAGCUUUGGAUUUUAGUUAAAAGCUUAACCCAGAGAGCUCAACUUAAUCAAGCAGGUGCCCAAAAGCUUUGUCUAGAAGCUGCAGCUUUACAAGGCCAAAAGCUCAAGGAAUUGAUAUAUAAAGCCAUAUUUUGAUCACACCAAUGCACUAUCAAAGUUGCAUAUUAAUCAGCUAAUAACAGAACAGAGUUACAGUUAUUUUCAGUUUCUGUUACAAGAGGGCGAAAUCCCCCGACAAAAAUAAAACAUCGAGUCGCAGGUUUGGUAACCGGUGACUUGGAUUGUUUACUUGUGCUCGUAACCACGAGCAAUUCGUCUUUACCAAAAAAAAUAAUAGUGCUUUUAUUUAAUGCUCCUGCCUCUUUAACUCUCAGGGGCAGGACAUAAAACUGUCUCAGCUCAAGAAAACAUUAGUCUAGCAGUGGGGAAAACAAAAAAAAAAAGAAGACUACUGCUGAGUGUCGACUACUUCGAUGAGGGUCGUCUCGUAGUCGCUGGGGGCCUCAAAGCCAUGGAGAUUCAUGACGGUCGCAGCAACAUUAGCGAGGCCGCCCGUGGGUACGUCAUUGCGGAAUCUGACUCCAGGGUGGAGGCCUGGACCUCCUAUGGCAACUGGCACCUGCAGGAAAUUUAUAGAUAGGCAAUCAACAAAUUGUACAUAAGAAACUAUUUUUAUAGAACGUAGAUCACAAAAAAAGAAGAAAUAUUUAAGUUUACAUACCAAGACAUGUUAACGAUAAAAUGGAAUGCACAAGACCACCAAUAGAUAAUGCGAAGAACAUGACAUUGGAGGACUGUACACUUUGCAUGGCAGUUCAAAGGCCAUUUUGAAAUAUAAGAGAGAAAAGUAGUCGAAAAAUGUACUGAGACUUCCUCAACUAUAGGCCAAAUGAAAACGUGCUAACAAUAAAAUGUAAGUGCACAACACCGAGAGAUAAUGCAAAGGACAUGACAUUGUAUAGCAGUCCACAGGCCAUUUUGAAACAUAAAGAGUGAAAGAGAGUUUGAAAAUGUACUGACUACUGAGGCUUCCUCACUAUAGGCCAAAUGAAGGAUGAAUAACAGGCAGGUUUCUUAUUGCACGAGUGUUAAGACGAUUGUACUACCUAGUAAUAAGGUAGUUUUAUUGUGUAAAUAAAACUUUACAGUAAACUUACCGGUUGAAGAGUAUGCGAAGUAAGAAUUUGAAUGUUCCCACUUUUGUCUAGGAGAGGUUGGCCAGAUUUGUUCCGUUUAACCAUGUCCUCGGCAUUUCCAUGAUCUGCUGUGACAAGAUAUAUCCCACCAACUUGCUCUACGGCAUCCAGAAUCAUCUGCAAAACAUAUCACAUAUUGCUCACAUAACUUCAUGAAUGCACAAUAUAACUAGCUUUCUGAACUUUUAGAGCCUCUGUAAUUUGAACUCAGUACUUACCUAGUAAAAGUGAUGAACUACAAAUUAAGGAGCAACUAAAAUUAGGACAUGAAACUAGGUUCGCACCUUAACAGCAUCAUCGGCAGCCUUACAAGCCACAACAGUAGCGUCAAUAUCACCAGUAUGCCCCACCAUAUCUCCAUUAGGUAGGUUAACGCGAACCUAUAAAAAUAUUUUAGCAGUUAAUUGACUUUACACAUUAAUAGGAAGUUCAAAACAUCUAUCCUGCCAAAAGUAUAUUUCUCUACCUGGUCAUACUUGCCACUGAGGAUGGCAUCCCUAGCCUUCUCGGCGAUUUCCAAGGCCUUCAUCUUGGGUUUGACAUUGAACGUAAUUCCACUGUCGCUAGGAAUUUCAACAUACUCUUCCUUAGUCGCAUCAAAGUACCCGGACCGGUUUCCAUUCCAGAAGAAGGUGACAUGGCCAAAUUUGACAGUUUCACUGUUUCGAAAAUGUUAGGACAUUAAUGAGAACCAAUAAAACUAGCAAACAGAUAAGAUUUCUUUUCUUUUUUCCUUUUUUUUUGAGACAAAUACUAGGAAAUGAUAAAUAAGAUCUCAUAUCAAAGACAAUUCACAAAUAAACUAUAGAAUAUAGAACUAAAAUACAUGUUCAAAACUGCACCAUGCGAAGAUAAAAGUUCCUCCGCUUCAUCAAAAAAGUUCUAGAGGAACAUGUCUCAUCUCUGUGAAAUCUCCAAAGGCAAAGACUCAAUAGCAAAUAGUAAGCUAAAAAAUAAUAAAAUAGCAAAUAGUAAGCGUAUAAUAAGUAAUAAAAUACAAAACGUCAGAAACCAAUAAACUUUCCCAUGAAUAACUACACAGCAUUUCUAAUUUGGCUUUCUUUUUGUUCUUGCUUCCUUUUUGUUCUCAAACAAAACCUAUAAGUAGGGAGUUUGCAAACAAUUCAACAAUAGCAAAAUUAAAGGAAAUAUCCCCUAGGUGCCUUACAGAACUUGAGGUAAAACGGAAACAACACACGGUAACAAAGCGUAAGCGAUCACUAAUUUUAUGAUAAUUAAUACUUGCCUGCAAGCAAAAGUGCGGAUACCAUUGUGCACCAAGUAUUCACCAGAUGUCCUCUCUAUCUCUGGAGGGGAGACAAGAUAGCGGUUUGGGAGCUUCAGCUCACCAUCAUACUGAAGCAUUCCAGCAUACCGAAUCUUCGGGAAGCGAACACGAUCGAAUUUGUCGAAAUCUUCAUAUUCCAAUGCUUUGGCGAUCAUGACCAUCCGAUCAGCUCUGAAGUUGAAUGUCACAACUGCAUCACCAUCAACUAUGGGUCCCACAGCAUUGCCACUCUCGUCAACUAUAACGAAUGGGGGCAGAUAUUGAUCACUGGCUUUGGGUUCCGCCCUGAGCUUUUUCACGGCUUCAACCGCACUCUGGAAUUUGUAAGGUGCUUCACCAAGGACCUGAGCAUCCCAACCACGUUUCACAACACCCCAAUCAUUCUGCAAAAUACAAAAAUGAGCUGUUCAAUGCACAAGAUACAUGAGGAAUUAAUUCAACAGCGAGGUGGCUGAAUUUUAACAGAUGAAUGAUUCUGUAUAAUAAAAAACAGUAAAUGUGCAAGACAUUAUACCUCAUAGCGAUCCAUGGUGACAUACAUCCGACCACCACCAGAAGCAAUUCGUGCAUCAACACCUUUCUCACGUAGCGCCACAAGAUCCUUCUCUAGGGUCUCUACAAAGCCAACGCUUGAUCCAUCCAACACAUCACGGCCAUCAGUAAGAAUAUGGACACGGAUUCUUUUGGCGCCCUUCUCACUUGCACCUUUCAGAAGCAACUACAAACAAGACAACUAACAUACAUCAGACAAAAUGCAAAUAGUGCAUCUUAUUGACCUUAUUUUUGAAGGAGAAAUGAUCAAUCAUACCUGGAGUUGGUCAAGCCGAGAGUGGACACCUCCAUCACUCAAUAACCCAAUCAGAUGCAAAGUGCCUUGGUCAAAACAUUCCUUAAUGUACUUAAAGCCUUCUCCCUCGUAUAUUUUUCCAGAAGCAAGUGCAAGAUCCACCAGCUUAGCCCUACAAUAAGAAAAAGGAAAUGUAAUUUCGGCAGAUCAUAACAUCAAACAAGAACAUACAUAAACUCGGAAUUUUCCAACUCAAAAGGAAAUUUAAUUUCAGAUGAUCAUAACAUCAAACAGGAAUAUACAAUAUCCCAGAAAUUUCCAACUCAAAAAAAAGCAAGACCCAAUGACUGAACAACUGAAGUAAAAUAUUUUCAUACAACAAAACAAAAAUAUGCAACAAAAAUGAUCAGUUAAGUAGUGAAUUCUAUCUACAAGGAUAACUUUCACAGGGUUAGCACUUUACCCUUGAGCAAAAAUUCGUCCGGCACCAAGUGCGUUGUGACCUACUUCACUGUUACCCAUGUCAUCCUCACUGGGAAGGCCGACUGCUCCUCCAUGAGCCUUUACUAGCCUCCACUUCUCCGGUGCACCCUUUAUGAAAGAAAAUAAAGAGGUACAGCUAAUUAGAUUCUUCAUGGGAUAAAUCCUUCGAACCUCUGACAAAAAGAGAAACCGAAAAGCAAGGGAAAACACUCAUCCAACACCUCAAUCAGUAAUGGCUAAAUAGCAUAUCAUAUAUUCAGAAACAUCUAAAUUAUUAGUGAAUUCAGCUGCUGAAAUAAACAGCACAGUUCUGAAAUUGCACAAAUUGAAUACCGGAUUAAGUAAUAGGCGACAACCUAGCACCUCUCGGGGAUACAGUAAGAUAGAGAAGCACAAAGAAAAAUGCCCAAAGAUUCCUAGCAGAAGUUUCUUAUAACAAAACACAAGCAUAAAUCAUGCCAUACUAGAAGUUAUAUGAGAUUGCCGACCUAAGAUUACCAAAAUCAUCAAAUAGCAUCUAAAUUCGAGAGAUUUAAAUCAUCUAAUCUCUAACACCAGUUGCAUGCAAAAAUUAACAAUAUAUCGCCAUAGCGAUCAAGCCCUUAGCUUCCAAAUUAAGUCGUAUCCCUAUUAAUCAUAACAUGUAACUUUACGGAAACAUAACACAUGAAGAUAACAACUUAACAAAAGCUCGUCCAAAGAUGAAGUAGCAAACUUCACACAGAUCUAAAGUAAGAUCUUUUAAACAUAACUAUUCAUUAUAAUUCACACAACUAAGAGAAGCUAUAAAUAUGAACUCAACGGCAUCAAACUAACUUUAACAACUAAAUCAAACCCCCCCCCCCCGCCCAGAAAAGGAGCUUCUUUUGUGGGAAAGCCUGAACCUUUUUAAGCGAAUCCAUCGUCGGCGUCUCUGCGACAUGGAUGCAGUUAUACUUGUCGGGAUUCGCCUCGCCCCAUCCGUCCAAAACCACGAGGGCGAUCGGCUUCCCCUUCGGCAGCUUCGGGUGAUCCGCUAAUUUCCACGAAAAUCCGGAGCUUCCCAUAGUCCUAAUUCCCAAACAAAUCCAAUAAUAAUCAAAUCAAACCAAACCAAUCAACAAAUACUCCAAAAUUAACACCACAACAAAUACUACAAUCACAGUUUCGAUUGACCUAAAGUGGAUCAAAUCAAUCAACUAGGGCAUCCAGUAAAACCGGAUCAAAUAGGAGAAAGUUGAGCUCGAUAAAUAGAUCAAAUCGAAGCAAAGUACGAUAAACUUAUUGGAGAUUAGAACGAGUAAUAAGUGGAAGAGGGAUCGAUCAAAUACCUGUUGCGGAAAUGGAGAAAAAAAAUCGUGCUUUUUUUUUUUUUUUGAGAAAGAGAAGAGGACGAAGAAGGGGAAAUAAAUGAACCAAUGAGGCGCAGGGAGAUCCCAAGGGGUCUUAUAUCAUUAGGGUCGCUAUUUGUACCCCCGAAUAUUCGUCUCUCACCCUAGAGAAAGGGAAUUUGCAUUUUGAUCCCUAACUUUCUCAUAAGAUACAAAAUGGUACCUUUUUAAUUUUAGUUAGGUUAAAUACUUAAAUGUAUGUAUAGAUUAUUCUAAAAGAGCCCCUCAACUCCUAUUUUAGUUAGUUUUACCAAAUUUAAUAACUUCAAUUAUGUUUAGCAAAUAAAAAUAUAGAAAUUGAGGGGCGGUGUUUAAUAAUUUCUCAUAGUCGAGGGGUCUCCAUACAUUUUUUCCCCCCGCUGGGUGCUAACUAUAAAAUGCGGCGUAACUAUAUAACUUCUAAAUGCGGAGACGUCAUUGGACGGUCGGAUGAGGAGUAGCUGGCGCGCGAUGAUGCGUGCGGUGCGUCAUCCGACGGCUCAGGUCACGCGAAGGGUUUUGGACGGUUCCUCGUUCGCAUUCGCUAGAUUAGUCUCGACCGUCGAUCUGCAUUUGGGUCCCUUUCAUGGGACGGUCGCGAUCUCGUCUCACGUUUCCGUGGUCAGGAAUGUUUAUUUUUUUAAUUAAUUAACAAAUUAAUAAUUAAUGGUCACGUGAGGGGUCACGUGAUAAGUGGGAUGUGCGGUGGAUAUUCUUGGUGGUAAAAGGGCCCACUGUUUAAGCCUAACAAUGACAACGCACCUAGAUUUGAAUUUGACUACUUUUUAGAUUUUUUUUUCUUUUUUUUAUUUUUAUUUUUCCCUUUUUUUUUUCUUUUGAAUUCAGUGGGCUGAAUUUAAUUUUACAAUUCAUUGUAAUUGACUAGAUAUGAUAUUUUAAUUAUUAACACAUUAUCAAUUAUGAUCUUGCUCGUAUAUCACUCUUAUAUUAUAAAUUAAAAUUCAAGAACUAAAGUGUCACCUGUCUUAUAGUUUGAUGACCAAAAGUGCAACUUAUAUAUAUAUUUUUUUAACAAAAUUGGAACCAUUGGAUUUAAAUUCUUCAAAAUAUUGUUAAAAGACUAAACUUUAGCUCGUUUGGAAACAGACCCCUAGAUUUUUACCUUAUAAAAUAAUUCCUUAAGUCACUCUUCUCAAUCGAGCUAAAAACAGAAAAAAAAAAAAAAAAUAUGCUUCUUAUGAAGAAUAAUAAUUUUCAAAAAGUAUAAACGAUAGUUUAAUAAUAAUUUUCAAAAAGUAUAAACGAUAGUUUCUCGAUCAUGACGUUCUUGAGGAAAUCGCGCGUUAAUGCACAUUAUUAUUAUUACAAAAUUUUAAUCUUUCGCCCUUUCCCAUUCCCCGAAUUUAUUCUAGGCUUGACUUUUGUAACAAUUUUUCUUUUACAAGCAACAUUUGACACUACACAAAAAUUUUAAAGAAAAAUGAUGAGCUUUUGAAACCAAAAAGGAUAUAAGAUCUACUUUGCAACUUUUUUUGGAGUUCAUUGAGACUUGAGUUGUUCAAAGUUAAAACACAUCCCCCUUUGAAGCUUCAUAGCACCCCAAAGCCCCAAAAGCCCAAAAGCACUUCUCCAGCUUCAGAUUUUCAAAAAGAAUGAGAAAGUGCCAGCCAAAAUUGGGGAAGUUUUAUAAGAUAACAGCAAUUACAAGAAGAUCUAAAAUCAGAAAACGAAAAGAUGAGGAUUAACAUUCGCCAUAAUGUUUGCACAUCUUGAGGCAGGAAUAACAAGAAACAUAAUGUUCGCCAUAAGAUCGUUCUUGUCGACGGCAUUGAUGAAGGCAUGAGUGGCAGAACAUCAGCAGAUGGCUCCAGAAACUUCUAAUUAAACAAAACAAAGUCUGCAGAUAGAUGAAAGAAAUUGUUAGUUUUCGGAAGUAGAUUUGUGGACGAUUCUGAAACUGCAUGCGUUAUGAGUUUGACGGACAGAAUAUUUAUUAUAAAUGCAUGAAAUGGGUACUGAGAGUCUUUUAAGUUGGUUUACCUAAACAAGUUCGAUGUACGCCAUCGGUGCAUUGUCUCCCCUUCUCGGUAGGGUCCUGAUGAUUCGUGUGUACCCUCCAUUCCUUUCUCCGUAUCUAUCUUCCACCUCCGCAAACAAGGCGUGGACUAUCUGCUUCUCGUAGAUGAAACCCAGUGCCUGUCUCCUCUUAUGCAGAGACCCAUCCUUUGCCAAAGUUAUCAUCUUGUCCACAUACUUCCUCAUUGCGCUCGCUCUUGCUCUAGUGGUUUUGAUCCUACCGUGUUUCAACAGCUGAGUGGUGAGGCCGCGGAGAAGCGCUCGCCGCUGAUCGGGCGGUCUGUUCAGCUUCGGGACGCGUUUCCCGUGUCGCAUUGCAUAGAACUUGCUACCAUUGGUGAUUCCAAAAAAUCCGUGUUCAAAGCUUGCGUUAUCUGCGUAAUUGAGAAUAGAUCUUAAAACCUAGUUCUCUGGUUCGCGACAAAGAGUACUUUAUUUGGAACGCUGGUUUUUGUUUCUUGGCAGAAGGUACGAAGUUGUAUUAGAAUUUUAUUUAACAGUAGACAUGGUAUUUAGGUCACUUGACAGAUGAAGAGCUCUUUCUCUAGAAUAUUAUUUACAGCAAAGAAAAUAGUUGAAAAUAAAAACAGCCAAAAUCAUCAUACCGAAAAAACGAAGAAAAAAAAAAACAUAUAUAUGGGCAAGCAAAUGGAAUAAGCACCACUGAACUAAACUCAUAUAUGUAACUAGUAUCGGAUAUCAGCAUCAGCAGAGAACUCAAAUUUCAGAAGAAAUGGAUUUUAUGCACACCAGGAUCAAAAGAGUCUCACAGAAAUUGCUCAAACUCCAAACCUUUUUGAACCUCCCAAUGGACGAAAUAAAAUUACCGCCGUCCGGGGGGGGGGGGGGGGGGGGGGGNAAUCUUAGUACUCGUAUAUUCCAGCCAUUCAGAGUUCAAGUUGGACAUGAUCUAGCAAUAUGUUUAAAAAGAUCGAACUUUUGUUGAUACUGGCAACAAUAAUGUGUAGAUAAGUUAGAAUAUACCAAAUAAAUCCUAUUAAGGUCACAUUCGGAAGCUCAUAUAUCACAGAAACUUCGUUUGCGCAUGACAAAAAGUAGGUUCCCUGCCUCUAAUCAAUUCUAUACCAACCAUUUAUUUAGUUGUUAUUCCAGUUCAAUUCAAAAUUCAGCAACCAUAAAUUUCUCACAUUUACAAUAAAUUGCGCACCGUACAUAUGGUGAAAAUUUGGCAGAUGAUCUAAUCUCUUUUUUUUUUUACGUUAUACUUACCAAUUACCAAGCUCUCAUUCACCUCGAAUAUUUAAUCCACCACUAUAAACCACAAAACAAUUAUAUUCGAUUAAACUCAGAUUGUAAGUAUCUACUGAAACCCUAAACUUGUUUCAUCUCAUUCUAACUAAAAUAACAAUAAAAAAAAAACCUAAAUCAAUCAACUAACCCUAAAAACGAUCUCAAAACUCAACUAAAUUCACCAAAAAUUACACCCUAAACUCAAAUUGUAAGUAUCUACCGAAACCCUGCACUCGUUUCAUCUCAUUCUAACUAAAACAACAAGAAAAAAAAAACCUAAAUUAUCCAACGAAAUCCUAAAAAUGAUCUCAAAACUCCACUAAAUUCACCAAAAAUUACACAUCACGAAUGCGACAGAGGGUAUCACAACUAAAUUCACCAAAAAUUAAACCCUAAACUAAAAUUGUAAGUAUCUCCCGAAACCCAACACUCGUUUCAUCUCGUUCCAACUAAAAUAACAAGAAAAACUAAUUUAAAAUCACACAAUACAAAAUGCGAUUGAGGAGAUUACCGAGAUCGUUGGAAAGAAGAGGGGCCACGGGGGCGAGGCCGGAGAAGGACCGCAAGCGAUUGGUCGAUCCUUUGGGACUCGACACGAGCCGCGCCGAGCGAGGAUGUGGGGCGAAGCAGAGGGAGGAGUUAGAGGGGGGACAGGGGAGAGCGGAGCGGAGCGAGGCCAUGCUCCAUGGGGAGAGAGAGGAGGAGGAGGAGGAGGAGUAGGCGGAGGCGCACGAUGCCAUUAACGCCGCUAUUGGAGGAGGAGGAGGAGGAGGAGGAAGAAGAAGAUAACGAACACCCGGUUCUCGUCGGAGCGCUGGAUAAGGUGAUAGAGAAGAAUGCUAAAUUGCACUCUAGUCCAUAACCUUUUAGACCCUUUUAUUUAAGUCCUCAAAAUUUCUGAAUUUUACAAUUUAAGCCCUUAAAGUCUAAAACUCUAUUUGGAUGGAGAAAAACAAAAGAAAAAAAAUAAUUAUUAUUAUGAUUUUUUUAUUUGGACUAAAAUUUAAGAAAUUGAAAGUAAGAGAAAUGGAGUGCAAUGGAGCCAAAAUGAUUUUUUUGUCAUCCAAUUUGUUUGAUUUUAGUCGUGCCAACGAGACUUUGACUUUAAAUUUUGAAUGCAUUGUUUAUCUUUACGAAUUUAGUUAGCAUAUUGCAGCCAAAUUUUUAUAAUUAAAAUUUUAUUAAAAUAUGUAAUUAUUUUAAAUUUUAAAGUUAAAGUACCAUUGACUGGCUUACAUCAAACAAAAUAAAAUUAAAAUUUUAAAAAAUUAAACAGUCAAAUUAAAAUAGUCCAUAAUUCAAAUAAGUUCUAUAAUAGACAGCAUUUGGUUAGGGAAUGGGGAUAGGGACAGGCCCUUAUCCCCUCUUUAUACCUAAACGCUAAUUUUUCAUCCGAGAAUAGUAGUUCUGGUUAUUUCCACUAACACCUCCAUUUUCUAUAGAAAACUAUCUAAUAUUUUUUUUAUCCCCGGGAAUAAUCCAAUUUUCAUCCAAACGCUAUUUUUCUUAUUCCCAUACUUGUAUCUAUUUCUGUAAUAGCUAGUUCUUGUUUAUACCCCAACCAAACGGUACCAUAAAGUUUUACCUUUUUUUUAUAUACAGCACUUGACGACUCAAAAUGAUUUACAGUUCAGCGAAAUUUUAUACAUGUUUUUACCCUUUUUCUUUUAUCCAGCACUUGUGUGCCCAAUCAGAGCUUCUCACAAAAGCAUUUUUUUAAACUGAUCAGAACUUCUGUGAGAACUUUUCAGUUUGGUAGAAAGAAAGAUAUUCUGCUUUUGAGGUUUGACAGAGCAAAAAACAACAAAAUCUGAGCUGCUUCUGCUCCUCAAGAACACAUUACUGGAGCACCAGACGGCUUCUUCUUGCAGAUGCGAUCCAUAACAACCACAAAAGCCAUAAUCAGCCUGCAGUCGACCCCCGGCUGAACCACCAGGCUGAAAACGUCGUCUCCGAGCAGCGCCACCGCGGCCGCCGCCGUCGCAGAACCGCCUCCCGUAGCGGCGGCCGCCUUCUUUCGGCAUAUUCGCGCCGCUUCCUCGCCGUCUCUCCCUAAAAUCUUGCAGCUUCUUCGCCAGAAGCACCCCUCCACGCGGAAACUCGGCUUCGGAGGAAGAAGCACUUUCUGACGGCCAUCUGGCCACCCCAUGAACACCUCCGCGGCGUCGCCGCUCUGCAGAAUCGCGCACCGUCGCAUGGCGAAAAGCUGCAGCGGCGAAGCCAUCUUCUGCUUCUCCGCGAAGCCAUCUUCUGCUCUGUAUCCGUUCCACUGAUCAUGCAUGCUCAUCAGCUGCAUUAAUAAUAAUGCAAAUAUUUAGCUCCUUAAUCUCAAGUUUAAUAGCUAGUUAUCAGUAACACCAACUAUGCAAUGCAAUAUAGUAAAAAAUUGUUACUGACAGAGCAGAUACAGGUUUAGGCCAAACCUGGGGCCUCAGAGACAUAAUAGCCCUCCCGUCGCCAUCCAUGAGCAGAAGCUCCCCCGCGAAGCACUUUCGCCGCCUCGAAUAGUUGUCUACCCUGAAAGCCAAUCUUCCGUCGCUGUCGUAAACCGAGAAGCCGUCCGUUCCCUGGAAACCCAUGCUCGAUUUCUUCCACACCGUCCACGUCGAGGGGAGACGAUCCCCGCCGCUCGCAUUCGCGCUUUCCGCAGAUCCAGUACUCUUUCUCUCACCUGGAUGAAUCCUACCCAUAUUGAUGCAAAUAGGGAGAGAGAGAGAGAUAUAUAUAUAAAAUGUAGUGUGUUCAACACUUGGUAGGUAUUGUGUUAAGAGAAACAUGUAUACAUAUUUAUAUGAGAUGGUUUUGUGAACUUAUAUAAUAAGGAUUGGAACUUAGUGUGGUGCAUGGCAUGCAUUAACAUGGACUAGUGACUGGGGAAUUAAUAAAGUAGUACAAUGUAGAGAGGGAAUGAGAUUCCUGGAUAGGUUCGACUUGGCCGACAGGGAAAAGAGCAUGGUUUUUUCCUUCAUUUAUCACAAGUUCUAACCACCAAAUGACUUGUUCGAUGCUCAGGACAUAUUUGGUUCAGUUGUAACUUCUGCAAAAAAAAAAUUUUUUUUUUUUUUUUGAGAGAUAGGUAGCACGCGUGCUAUCCGCUUCGUUUAUUUCAUUUAAGAAUAAACUUAGCUGAAAAUGUGAAUCAACUAGGAUUCGAAUUAACUUAGGUCUCAGGUACCAACUACGAAGCCCUUUGCCACUUGCUCUAGGGACGAUCGGUUCUGCAAAAAUAUUUUUCAAAUAAAAAAAAUUUAUAAAAAAUUAAAACAUUAAAAAUAAUUUCUGCAACACAAAUGGAUUGUUUCGUUUAUAAGAGUCAAACAGUUGUAACUUUUGUUUUUUUUUUUUUUUUCCAAAACUAAAAAUAAAUAAAUAAAUAGUGGCUAUAGAAGUGCUUAACGAAUAACGAGUCAGCGUUUAGCUGGAAUAACAGUUUAAUAUUAUUAUUAUAUUAUUUAUAUAUAUUAUUUGGCAAGUUGAAACUUAUUUAAAUAUUCCACAAAAGGAAUUAAAGUGCGUCACUUUACACUUUGCUCCCAAACAAGCUAUAUAAUUAAUAGUUCUUUUUUUCCCUAACUAUGAUGUUAAAUAUAAAAAUAUUUAAACACCAUUCUCUAAUAGUUUAAGCUUUUAGAAUAUAACGAUUGUUUCACAUGAUAUCAAAACAGGAGAUACUGAAUUCGAGUCACGUCAGGUUCCUAACAUAUUAAUUUCUUCCAUUAAUUCAAGCCCACGUUAUGGGCCGACUAAGAAGUCUCGAGUCCAGACGUGCGGGUGAGUGUUAAAUAUAAAAAUGUUUAAACACCGUUCUCUAAUAGCUUAAACUUUUAGAGUAUAACGAAUGUUUCACAUAUAAUGUCAUAAUAAAGAGACCAAUGUAUCACAACUACAGUUGCAUCUUCAUUUGGGAUAAGGGAGAAUUAAAGCCUCCUAAGGAGAAUCUUAUUAGCGUACACAAUGAGCUGGGGCAUUCAAAUACAACAUGCUUUGUGCAUGCCAUUACAUGCAUGUUUCUUUUAGGGGUGGAUUUUCACCUCCCACAUUUUGUGCAUGCUAUGUAUGUCACUUUCGCAAAGAUGUUCGAAAAUAACAUUAUCCUUGUAAACCUACCUACUAACGCGAUCUCAACUGCUCAGCGUAUCGGAGUGCUGGCGAAAGAGUGGGCCGAUUUUUGUGGAGUCGGGUGGCGUCGGGGUGUGCUACACUCUUUGUUUUGACGCUUGUUUUUAUUUUUACUUUGCUUUUUAUUUUUUAGUUCUUUUUUUCUUUGAUUUUUUGUUUUUUUUUAGGUCUUAACUGUCUCACUUUAUGUAGCUAAAUUUAUUUAUCUAAUGAAUGAAAUAGAUAGCGUGCUACUUUUCUCUUAAAAAUUUAAAAAAAAGUUCGAAAAUAAGCGAGAAUGUUGUUCGCAUCCGAUGCAUCUGUACAUUCCGUGCACUGCAUAUUUGAGCACUUUAUCCUUGCCCACAAGCUUGGCAUGAAUUUGAGUCCACAUAAUGCGUGCAGUAAACUCUCGAAGCGGAUCGGAUUCGGGUCAAUGAGAGAAACGGAAAACUCGGGCCCGGCCCGGAUUUUAUCCCGCGUGAUAAAGUUUAAAAAUGCUUCAACUGUAACAAUUAAGUUCCUAACAUACCGACCGUUCCAAAAGUAAGUGGCAAAAAAUUUGAUGAUUGGUAUCCGAGACCCAAAUUCGAAUUCUAGUUGAUUCAUAUUUCCAACUAAGUUUAUUUCUAAAUGAAAUAAACGAAGCGGGUAGCAUGCUACCUAUCUCUUAAAAAAAAAAGAAGAAAAGAAAUUCAAAUUAUUGGAGGAAAUGUAUAGCAAUAUACACACCAAUUAAACACCUAAAACCAAGAAGAUUUUAUAUUAUGAAAACAUGUUUUUACAUCUUAAAUAAAUAAAUACACAUUAAACUGAGAAAAAAAGAAUUUAUACAACAGAGAACAUAACUAGAAAUAUUUGUCACCAAUUUGAAUGUUCAUAAAAUAACCACAUUAUCGCCCCCCUAAUUUUCCUAAUCUCUUUAUCUUAUACAUAGAGAGAGUUGAGCUCAUGUACUUUCAAAAGCACAGAAAUAUUUGUGCUGCACACAUGUUUCUGUGCUUUUUAUAGUGCUGCACUGAUCUUGAGGUGAUUCGACGAUUAAAAAGUUAUUUCUAUGCUUUUAAAAGNAUCUCUCAAAAAAAAAAAAAAAAAGUUCCUAACAUUUGAUUGCAUUAGCAUUUAGUCAUUAAGAUUUCAUCUUGAUGCUUCUUCUACAGUUUUGGAGAUGCAAACUGGCCGGAUCCGGAGGCGGUCUGACCAAUUUAGUCAGAAGCUCCAUCAACCCGGAUCCAUUUGCAUCCCUAUCUCUAUCGGCAGCAUAGUUAGUUAAUUCGGAUUCGGCAAAAAUUCGGUACGGGUAUAAUUCGAAUAAAAUUUGUCUUCUAAUUUUUAAAUUCGUUGAAAAAUAGGGCUAAAAAAUGGAUUAGUCAAUUAUUUGGAUACGUGAUUUAUACAGAUAUUAUGCGUUCACCAAUUAAAAAUUCGGGAUCAAAAAUUCGACUAUUAAAUUAAAGGGAAAACUUCAAACCCCCCCCCCCUGUGGUUUCGUGCAUUCUCACUUUGCUACCCUGUGGUUUAAAACGUAUCAAUUUGCCCCCCUGUGGUUUCGUUUUUAUCUUUUUGUUAUCAAUUUUAUUAUUAUUAUUUUUUAAAAUCAGUGAUAAAGUUAAAAUUAAAGGAUACUAAAGUGACUAUUCGAUAAAUAUAGAUGGUUAUCUGAAGUUUUUGUAUAUAAUUUAACGAAAUAUUAACGAAAAAGCUUCUGAAAAGAUAAAAAUGAAACUACAGGGGGGUAAAUUGAUACGUUUUAAACCACAGGGUAGCAAAGUGAGAAUGCACGAAACCACAGGGGGGGGGUUUAUGAAGUUUUCCCUAAAUUAAAUUGUUUUUCUCUCAAAAUUUAUACUAUUAGCAUAAAUAUUCAUAUUUUUAAGAAUAUAAGAAUAAAGAGCUACAAAACUAAGCUAAUUUAGUAAAAAAAUAACAAACUAUAUUAUGCCUCAAAAUAAAUAAAGGGAAAACUUCAAAUAGCCCCCGUGGUUUUGCACUUCCUAACUUUAGUACCAUGUUAUUUAAAGUGUAUCAAGUUAGUACCCUUGUGGUUUCGCACUUUCUCACUUUAGCACCUUGUAGUUUAAAGUGUAUCAAGUUAGUACCAUGUGGUUUCGCACUUUCUCACUUUAGUACCAUGUGGUUUAAUAUUUUGUUAAAUUAUAUACAAAAAAACUUUAGAUACCCUAUCUAGGUUUAUCGAAUAUUUAUUUUAGUACCCUUUAAUUUUAACUUUAUCACCAAUUUAACGAAAAAAACACCCUGAAAUAGAUAAUAAAAAGAGAAAAUUAAAACCACAGGGUACUAACUUGAUACAAAAAUGAAACCAUAGAGUACUAACUUGAUACACUUUAAACCAUAGGAUACUAAAGUGAGAAAGUGUGAAACCAUAUGGUACUAAUUUAAUACACUUCAAACUAUAGGGUACUAAAGUAAAAAAAAUAUGAAACCAGAUAUUUUUGAAGUUUUUCAAUAGAUAAAUAAUUAAGCAAAUAAAAGAUUAAGAUAGUUCAUAAACGAUUAAACUUUUUUGAUCCAAUAAAUUUUUUUUUUGGGAGGGGGUGGGGCGAACUCGCGCUUGCGAGGCCCGCGACCGCGAUCGCGCGUCUUUUUGGCCGAAUAAUUCGGCAAGCGAAUUAUUCACGAAUAAAUAUUAUUUACUAAAAAAACAUGUUUUUUUUCAAAAUUUUCAAAAAAAUUUGAAUAAGACCGUUUAAUUCGUUUCUUUAAAAAUUCGCGAAUAAUUCACGAAUUAACUAACAAUGAUCUGCAGUAGUGCCUACUUUAUAUUGUUGAAUUUAAUGGUGAUAGAUGACUUAGUUGAGAGCAUAAGAAUCAUCUAUGCAUUCCCGUUUUCGGAGAUUACCUCAAACAAUCACAUGCUUUUGCUUUAAAAGUCCUGGUACAACGAUACUGAUUAUAAACCAUGUAAAGUUACUGAUCAGCCACAGAUCACACCAAAAUUAGAUUAUAAAAGGAUACUGUCCAAAAACAAAACAAAAUUACAAGUACAAAAACCUCGGCUAGUAAUAACAGCAGUAACAAAAAUAGAUAGAAGGAAUAAGUGAAAAAGAAGGGGGAAAAAAAAAGGAGGAACUCAAUAAUAGGUUCCAAAAACCCUAAGAUCAUGAAUAUAAAUAUAAUAAUAUAAUGAGCUCUCGCCUGUUAAUACUCGAAAAGCAUUAUCAUUAGCUUCUAUGCAGACUCGAAAUGAUUUAAAGAAAAAACUCAAGAUAACUCUUAUGUUAAAAUUGCGAGGUUUCCGCUUCCGCAGAGUCAGUCUCCAGACAUGUAAGUCUUGCCCUCGUAGUACUUCCUCUCGCUCGCUUCCUUCUUCUCGUUCCGUUUCUGAAAACAGAAACACAUGCGAAACAAUGAAUAUCUGAUUAAAUUUAGGUUUUGAAGAAAUACGUGUCCUAUUAUUGAAGCUGCUGCGUACGACGGUAAUAAAUUACACCUUAACAGAGGUUACCCAAGUAACAUUGAAUUUGACCGGCGACAACUGGUAUAAGUAAACAUUUGUAGUAAUCAUUUAUUUUUGUAGUAGUAUUAAGAUCAUAUGCUAGAAAGUGAUUGUCAUCAACCGUAGAAUGCUGAAUGAUAAUGAAAGAUUAAUAUCGAGGAUGAUGGCGUGAUAAUAGUGUAGAUCUUUUGAUACUCUAAUGCAAGUGGAAAAUAAUGUUGAAACAAGACGAUAAUAUGGAAAAUUUUGAGGCUUGUAGAUUACUAGUGGUAUAGGAAUCUUAUUAGGAUAUACCUGAUAUGCCUCGUGAUUUGCAACAAUCCUCCUAAUUAUUGUACUAGUUGUGAUGUCUAAAGAGCUUUCUAGUUGCCGAUAGAUACCCAUAGCAAUUGGAACUGCAUAUGGAUUUGAUUCCUCCUGAAAAGUGAUCCGUAUGCUAUUCAGAUUUAUGACAAUAUGAAGAGGACUGCAACCUCAAAAUUUAUGACAAUUACCUUGAGAAAGUCCAUAUUUUCUGCAAUUGUUCCGUGAACAACCAAAGAGAUGUUAAACGUAGUAAUCUGUAAAAAACCACAUUCAUGAGUCAGAAUAUUCAGAAUAUCAAUACUCUGGUUGCAGCAAUAAAAUAGAAAACGAGCAAAUUCAUGCAAAAUCCAAAUUGAAUUGAAAUGAAGCAUACCAUUUAACAGCAAGUAAGAGAUCAGGUCUAACAAAAAUUAAUCAACAAAAUGUACAACCCAGAAUUGUCAAAAAGAACUAACCAUAUCUUUAGAGACCUCCCAUGGGGCACCAAUAAUAACUUCAUCUACAUAACGGCAAGCCAACACACUCAAGCUUCUCUCAUGAAGAUUCAUGAUUGGGCGGUGGGCUCCUCGAGUAGCACUGUACAUGGCAAAGCAAUAUUUAUUAUGUGUGUACUGCAAAAAAUUUUAAAUUAGAAAGAGAAGAACAAUGAGACACCCAGAGAAGCGGUCUAGGCAGAAAGCAACAGAAAACAAUAAAGAGGAAUUUCAUUGAGCACUAUUAAGGAUAUUAUAGCAAAUAAAAUUGUACAUUAUGAUGAUUCCGGAAGGGGCAGUCACUCCAUCUGCUAUGAUAUCUCACAUGAUUGUCAUCUGUAACUUAUGUAGCUGACAGUGCAAGAGCAUAAAAGGCAGAACCAAAGCAUGCGACACAUUUUGGACGAGUAGAAAUAACAAUAUAUUACCUCACAGUCUGAUCAGUAUGAAUGCCCACAAGUAAAAAAUCUCCCAGUUCUCGAGCCUUCCGCAAUAUCUGUAACACAAUAUCAAUAAGUUACAACAGAGAAGCAACAAUAUUCUGCACAAAAAGGUCGGACAUUUUAAUUCGUAAAAUAGCUUUGUGAAGCAUCACAAAUAAGCGAUAGCUCAAAGCCUAACGCAUUUGGCUGUUUCCUCAUGAUUGUCUAUUUUUUUAUGAAGUAUAAAGCAAUAUGAUUAGUCACUUUCAUAUAAAAAAGAUAACGCCUAAAUGGAUCUCAGUUGGAUGAGCAGCUUACAAGAGUAAAGAGGGUUACAGAUAAAUCCCAUUGAUAUGAGCAAUAAACAAUAUGAAUGGCAUAAAUGAAUAGAAAGUCCCUCUAAAACUCUUAUGAGCUUUUCAACAGAGUGUAUAAUAAGUAUAUUCAAAGCAGUUGAUGGUAGGAUACAUAAUGAGACACUUGUUCAACUGUCUGACUAGUGGCAAGAAAUAAACAGGUACACUUAUGAACAAGCCAUCUUCAAUAUGAAAUUGACACCACCUUGUGCGUGCGCACGCCCACGCGCGGGUGAGAGAGAGAGAGAGAGAGAUAGAGAGAGAGAGAGAGAGAGAGACCUCCACAUGUCCAGCAUGGAACAGAUCAAAUGCACCAUCUAUGUAAAUAAUGCGAGCAUCUGGACCAGGACCCUGGAUGAACAAAAAGAAGUUUCAACAUACAUUUCCCUUAGAGCAUUCUUGUGAUAGUCACAGAACAAAAAGAAGUUUCAACAUGGAAAAAUACAAAGUUUCAAAACACACAGACCAGAGCAUAUGACCGGCAUGGAACUAUAAGAAGUAUUAACAUACCUUCCCAUUAGAGAACUGCACUAUUCGUCGAGACGUAGGCAGAAAAUGGGAUAUACGAGUUCCACUUGCAGAUCCACCAUCAUCAACCUUCUGACCAUGACCGUGGCUAAACUGCCUUUGCAAAGAAGAAUGAUUAUGACUAUCACCAGUAGAUCUCUCCCUUACACAAAGAAGCAUGCGACCUAUUGAGCAACAAAGUAUAUUUAUCUAAGCAUUCUCGAAUUAGAGGAAGAAACAGAGAAGAAUCUUGAAAAGUCGAAAAGCUGAAUUCUUGAUGCCAAAAGCGGUAGUCACAGCCCACAGUACAGUCCCAUACGGUAAUUUUUAAAGCGAUUAGAAUGUCAGAAAUGCAUGCGAUAAAUUAAAAGCAUCUGCAUGCCCUGAACAAGUCGAAGUUUUAUAUUUAAGAAGGAAAAAUACUACCUAAAGUAAUCUACACACAGAGGCACAAGAUAUUAUUCAAAAAGCAACUAGAAUGUUAACCUGCAUGUUAAUGCUUCUGGAAAAGGUGCAAACCCAGAAAAAAUUUAAAAUCACAAAAACAUGUCAUUGUAAAUCCAGUAUAUUAGCCAAGCAAAAUUUUAAACCUAGAUUAAGCAGGCAGACUAACACCAAACUUUCUUGAUUAUCCAUCCCAAAUACAAGAUAUGUUGUACUCCAUUUAAUCAGGUCAAAUUUCGCAGGAACACAAACUUCCAAAAAUAGAUGGAUAAAAUCAGGGAAAAGAAGAAUAGAAUCAGUACCAACUAUGUCUGUGCUUGACACUCCUUCAGUUCUUUUAAUCUGCUUAUAACGGCCAGCCUUCUUGGCAAGGGCAUAUGCAUCAGUACCAUCAGGGAGUAGACAAGGAUCAUCCCCAUGAAUAAUAUAAUCAAUAUUAUACUUAUUGAACAGCUUAUUCAUAAACUCCUCAGUUAUGGCAUAAGGAGCAUCUGGAAUGACUUCAUCCACCCAUUUUACAGCCGCUACCAUGAUCAUUCUGUGAGCAAAUAAUUGGGAAAUCAGUUGGAACAAUUAUAUAUGGAGGGGAAAGGGUCAUAUGCGGUUUCAGUUUAAUAGUUGAUGUACAGAAGAACGCCAUGCACGUGGACAAAUUCAUGAAGAUGCCUCAUUUUUCAAUUCAUGUUUUCACUCCCCCUUCCAGAGGAAGAGCCCAAAAAUUAAGAAAGAAAGAGGGUGCCAAGAUUACACAAUAUCAUCCAAUGCUUGGGGAUUGGUAUUCUGAACAGUACUAUAAGAAUCAGUACUGAACAUCCCUCUUGCAAAAGUACAGGGUCCCGUAUGCAAUUACGUAUUUUGGUUGAGGCAAAACCUACAAUAUCCAGAAGAACUAAAAAUCGAAAAUUGAGCUACAAAAACAAUAUUAGUCAAUAUUAGAUCCCACUGAUUCUUAAUUGCAAAGAAUUACAAAUACACAUUGAGCUCCAAAACUAAGAUCUAGUAUAAUAAGGAACUUUAAGACAAAAAUACAUGUUCAAAGAGAACUAUCAGUGCAACUUGCUCCCGCAUAAGACAACUUUAGAGUUUUAGAGCUUGGUAGUGGGCGAGAAACAUGAUCUGCAAAGAAAUUUACCGGUCAUAUCUAGCGUAACAAGAUUAAACAAAAUAAAUGCUAUAUUUAAAUUGAAUAUAUAGUAUAAAUUUGGGGGAAACAAGGAAACUUUUUUUUAAGUUAGUGGAAAGGGAAACAUAUACUCAUGGAUCUAUUCAUGCUACUUACUAUCCAGAAACACAAAGAUACAAUAAGAUUCAAGAGCUACCUUUCAUGGCAUGCAAAGUAUUCCAAAAUUAUCACAACAACGUAAAAAUUGGAAUAGAAAUAUUGCUAAAAAAAUAGAAAUAGAAAAAAUAAAGGAGCAGAGAGGGAUCAAUAAAACAAGCAAUAAAAUGAAAACACAUCCUAGAUCUAAUCAUUAUAGAAACGAAGAUCAACAGGAAUUCCCAAUCAAAGUAUUCGAUACGGGGAUCGACCUUUCGUGGAGCGGGGUCACGGGGGGGCCCUUGUUGGCCGUGAUCUCGUCGUCGCUGACGACCCCGACGACGAGCUCGUCCCCGAGCGCCCGCGCCUGGCGCAGCGCGUUGCAGUGCCCGUAGUGCAUCAUGUCGAAGCACCCGUCCAUGUACACUCGCACGGGGCGCCGCCGCCGCCGCCGCCGGCCCCCCCAGAGCGGCGGCGGCAGCUGCAGCGAGGGCGGGAGCGAGAUCCCGACCUGCACGGCGAGGAGCGACGCCCCGAGCACGAGCCCGCCGAGGAAGAACGCGGCCACGAACUUAGACGGCGUCGCGAGGUCCUUCACGGCUCCGCCUCCGCCGCCGCCGCCGCUUCCGCCGCCCUCGGAAUCCAUGGCGCAGAGGAGGAGGAGGAGGAUUCGGAUCUAGGGUUUCGGAAAACCUAGGGCUCGCGAGCUCCCGCCAUUUGGAGGCUUCGAGGAGAGCACGAGAGUGGAAAAGAGAGAGAGAGAGAGAGAGAGAGAGAGAGAGAACGAAGGGUAUGGAACGGGGAAUGAGAAGGGGGUAAUUGGAUUAAUAUAGACCGUACGAUGGAGUGAGAUCACAGGUGGAUUCGUUGGGGACUAAUAAAUUAGUGUAUUAUGAGCCGUUCAUCAAAUAAAGAAUUUUUAAAAAUGCGAUUUUUUCUAUCUGGGGUAAAUUUUAAUUUGCGUAUUCAUAUGGACUUUCCCGAGAAUUUUUAAAAUAUUUGUAUUUCCAUUACUUUAAAUAUUGUUUUUGUUACUUGAAAUUUUUUAUUUCCUGUAAUUGCUUUUUGGUAUUAUUUACCUAUCACACUCGCAUAAAUACAAAAUUAUUAUAUAUAUAUUAUAUGUUUAUUUUUAAAAAAAGUUAAUGAAAAAAUAAAUUUAAAAUUGUACUUUCUACAUGAAUUUGUGAAUUACUAAUCAGUAACAAGAACUAAGAAUUCUUAUUUAUUGGUGCAUGUAAUUGUACAAAAAAUUUGAGUCUAAAAUAAUGGAAUACAAAUAAAAAUGAAAAAAAAAAUGUAAAACCAAAGGAAAGCUUUGCUUUUCAAAUUCAAAUGUUCAACGGAGAUAGAUAUAUAUUAAUUCAAAUUAUAUAUAUUGACACUCACAUGUACAAAACUAACUUAUAUAAAUAUAAUUUUGACUAUUAUUAAUGUACACAUAAAUAUAAAAAAGAAAAUCACAAUUGCAUGCGUGGGAUAUGCUAAUGCGAUGCUUGGCACCAGAUGCUGUAAAAAGCGUGUGAAUUAAAAGUACGGAUUAUGAUGCUUCUUGCAGUGUGGCCGCAUCAAUGCAAUAAAGAUUUUUCUUUAGAAAAAAAAAAAAGAAUAAAAUUUACUCGCAUAAGAUGCGACACACUUUCUGUGAGACCCCAGAUAGUCAUAUAUAUGAGAUAUAAUAUGGCUAAACUCUUAACCCGGCUUAAGCAUUUUGGGUUGUGGCAAGGCCCAAGAGGUUAAGAGAGUUAAGCGUGUUGGGACGGGAGUAAUCCUAGGAUGGGUGACCCCCUGGGAAGUCGGGGCGUCAUAGAUGGUAUCAGAGCCAAUUACCAGCCGGAAGUGUGAGAUGACUCUCGGCUGAGCCAGGGUCUGGAUGACGGGCUAGCGAGAUGAGUCUCACAUCGCCUGGUACUUGUGAGUCUGAGCCUGACGAGGACGUCAGGGCUUAAAGGAGGGGAGAUUGUGAGACCCCAGAUAGUCAUAUAUAUGAGAUAUAAUAUGGCUAAACUCUUAACCCGGUUUAAGCAUUUUGGGUGGUGGCAAGGCCCAAGAGGUUAAGAGAGUUAAGCGUGUUGGAACGGGAGUAGUUCUAGGAUGGGUGACCCCCUGAGAAGUCGGGGCGUCAUACUUUCUCUUUAGAAACAAAGGAAUGAAAUUUAUGAUAAAUAGUGUUCAGAUUAUACCGAAUCGUAUAUGAUGCAAUAAAGAUAUUUCCUUAGAAAAAAUAAAAUAAAAUUUACCUGCAUCAGAUGCGACAAACUUUUUCUUGUAGUGUUCACAUUGUAUUGAAUCGUUUUCCACUAAAUAGGUUUUGAUAGCAUAGUAUCAGAGCCAUCCUUAAGCUUCUUUCCAAGAGAAUAUUGUAAGUUUGAUUCUCUCAUAUUCAUCAUUUUGUAACAUAUAUUCCCUUCUAUUAUCACCUCUUUGUUCCUUACUUGUCAAUUAUCACUGAGGGCAUACAUAGUUCUCGAUCUGAUCAAAUUUGUUUCUUUUUAUUUCACAUAUAUUUCUGUCUCUAUUCAAAAAGGCUUGUUCACUCAGAUCGAUUUUUUGGGUAGUCGAAAAAUAUAUAUUUCUCUCAAUCCUCAUUGAGGGUUUUAGAUCUUUGAUCAAAUUUUCUCCGGUGCGUAUCAUUCUCACUAAAGGCAAUACUACCGGAAUAAGUUGUCAGAUAUUACUCACAUGCUACGAAAGUUCUGACUGCUAUGUGAUUUGAUAAUAUAGUAUAUUUUAUUUACGAAUUUUUUUGAAAAAAAUUAUAUAUAAUGGACGGCUAUAGUAUACUUUUUAGGCUGUGUUUGGUUCAGGUAUAAGUAAAAACUGUUUAUUCCAAAAGCAGAUAUAAGUUCAGAUAUAAAUGAUUUAAUACUAUAAUUAAAAUUAAAUUUAGACUUUAAUUAAACUUAUUUCCACUUAGGAAGGAACAAGCUUGUUUUAGAAAAAUGGCUGGAACAGCACCAGUUUAUUUCAGAGACCUAAAAUUUACUGCUCUCGAAUAUCAAAUACAACGCUAUCAAAGAAAAUUAUCUUAACAACAUUAAUUAAUUCAACGUAAAAGGGGAAGUGAUUAAUAGCAAUGCUUCAGUUUUUCUAAUUCUAGUUGAUAAUGCUGAAGCCUACGUACCACAGCUUCUAAUACUUUCUAAUAAUUAUAAAUAUUCUUUCUUCUAUCUUCCAUUCCAGCCAACAUUGAAAGCUGCCGGCGGCCCUUUAUGCGUUCCGGCCACCACUGACAGCCUUUGGUUAGCAUUAUUCAAGUACUGCUGCACUUGCUCUCCGGAGCUCAUGUCUGGCCCCCCGCCGACGACUCCCCCCUCUCCGCCGCCCGCCCCCGCCACCGGAUCCCUCAUGUACUGCUGCACCACCAACACCGACACCAUCAUCGCGAAGUCCGACGACGCCAACAAGUCCCCGAUCGGCCCCAGCUCCGGGCACUCGGUCCACUCCGUCAGCCCCGCCGUCAUCGCCCCCCCGGCCUCCCCCUGCCCCCUCCCCACUAUGUACAAGUCGUGGAUGCUCUCCAUGUUCCGGAUGGCCGUCACCGUCUCCUCGCUGUUCCCCACCACCUUCUCGACGUACGUCACGGAGUCGUUGCCCACGUUCUUCACCCUGAACUCGUUGACGUACUCGUCGUCGAGCUGGCGCUCGUGGCUGCCGUCGGUGACGAUGGUGAUCACGCGCGAGUCGCGGGCGGCGGCCUGCUCGUCGGGCGGGAGGAAGCGCACCACCGUGAGGGACACCACCGGGUUCUCGACCAUCCGCCAUGCGAAGGCCAGCGCCUCGCGGUCGUCGGGACCGCCGAAGAAGAGCAAUGCCACGUGGUGCGUGGCGGUGAGGCGCGACGCGGAGGCGCUGAGGCCGCGAUCGACGAGGACGCCGACCGAGCAAGGCGAUGACGAGAGGAUGUUCUCGUUGAGGGUGCGGAUGGCCGGGUUGAUCGCCUCCAUGCCGCCGUCGACAGUCUGCUGUUUGUGGAACGGGAGGACGAUGAGCGUCACGUGUUUGUCCUCGGCGAGAAGGCAGACAUCCUCGUGCAUCGUCGAGUAGGGAGAGACUGUGGUGAGCGUCUGUAUGGAGACGCCGCCGGCGUGCUGCUCGUAGCUCUCGAAGGCGGCGAAGAUGUGGUCGUUCUGGGCGUGCGAGCCUGCAGCAGAAGAUUUGGAGGAGGGGCGACGGUGAUGCUUGACGGCGGUAUUGUGGACGACGAGCAUGUUCGAGGCUCGGCCCGUGAGCUCGACGAGGUGGAGGGCGUAGACGAAGAUCGGGGAGCGCUUGGUCGGGUUGGAGAGGUCGAGGAGCGAGAUGAUGGAGGGGACGUUGCGGGUGGUGUGGACGCAGACGAGCAUGCGGAGCUCGGCGUCGGGCUUGGAGCGCUGCAGGUUUCGACGCUUGUAGCCCAGGAGGCGGCGGACCGGGUGGUGCACGGCGGUCACCACCGGCGUCACCAGCGCCGUCAUCAACGUCGAAACGAUAACCAGCACCGCAAACGACUCAUCGUCCAGCACCUGGAGGAGAGAGUUUUAUCAUUACAAUAAAAGUCGAACACAGAACACUCUGCUCUGAUACCAAAUUUUUAUAUUCAACAGUUAUGGAGUGUUUGAUAGAUAAUACCUCUUUAUCCCUUCCAAUGUUGAGUAUGAUCAUCUCGACGAGGCCUCUAGUGUUCAUCAAGAAUCCAAGCGCAAGCCCCUCGCGGAAGGGCAUUGUGUAGAACGCGGCGAUCAAAAUGGUGCCCAUGAUCUUUCCGACGCUCGCGAGAACGAAGACGAGGAUGAGAAGCCCGACGGUGAUGGAGUCUUGGAUCUUUCCGACAUCCGUCCGGAGCCCGCUGAUGGCGAAAAAGAGCGGCAGCAGAAGCCCGGUCACAAAAUCUUCCAACUUCUCAAUCAGCGCAACCCCUAAGGGGCCGUUCGGUAUCACGAGGCCGUAAACAAACGCUCCGAAGAUGGCGUGGAUGCCUAUGGCGUCGGUGGCGAUCCCGGAGAGCAUGACUCCGGUGAGGAUGAGGCAGACAUGGAAGUCGCUGACCCCUUCGCCUUCGGGGAUGCGGCGCGUGAGCCACCACAUGGCGGGGCGGACGGCGUAGAAGCAGAGGAGGACAAAGACCACGCCGGCGAGGAGGACCCAGAGGGAGGAGAGCACGCUGGCGUGCGUCUCGGAGACGGCGAUCGAGAGGGCGAGGAGGAUCCACGCGCACAUGUCGUUGACGAUGGCGGACGACAUGGCUAGGCGGCCCAGCUCGGAGUUGAGCAGCUUGAUCUCGGCGAGGAUGCGCGCGAGCACGGGGAAGGCGGUGACGGAGAGCGCGACGCCGAGGAAGAGCAGGAAUGAGGCCUGGUGCACGUUCUUCGCGAUGUGGUGGCGGAAGACGAAGGAGGUGGCGGUGCCGAUGCAGAACGGCAGUGCCAUCCCCGCCGCCGCGAUCACCAAUGCUUUCUUCCCCGACCGCCGAAUUAUCACCACGUCCAUCUCCACGCCGACCAAGAACAAGAAGUACAGCAAGCCGAGGUGCGCCACCGUCUCGAGCGUCAGAAGGCUUCUCUGGGGGAACACAUUCUCGCCCCAUUUUUGCGCCCUACCCAUCACCGACGGCCCCAAGAUUAUGCCAGACUGUACCAAAAGAAAAGGUUACAAAACAUGCAUAAUGACAUGCUCAUAGUAGAGAAAUAGUAUUUACUAUCUACUUUCUAAUUCUUAGAUCUAUAGCAGUAUCGUCACCGGACUGUAAACUCUAUGCGUUCAAGAAAUGAAAAGUAGAUAGCAGAAAGGGAGCGAAUUACGUACAACGAUCUCGGCGAUGACGCGGGGCUGGCGGAAAGGCUUGAGAAAGAGCACGAGGAGGCGGGUGGUGAGGACGAUGACGACCGUCUGCAGGAUGAAGAGCGGGAGCGCAAAUUCUAACGGAUUGACGCCCUGCCAUAUCCCGCUGGUGGUGAUCAUCGUCGGGGAGUAGCAGAUGACCAUGUUGUUCCCGGCACGGGUAACAUUCUUGAACGGAGUCAUAGUGAUGUUUCUGGAUUUCGUUGCCAUCUUCGCUCAUGGCAAUCUCCUUAGCUACUACGCUUGGUUAGAUAAAAUAUAAAAAAAAAUGUCUCCAAAAUCAAAUAGCCCUAAAGCAUUAAUUGAAGAACAUUACUUAUCAUUCUUAAGGGGACAAAAUUAGAAAUUUGAGGAGUUAAAUAGCAAAAUUUUAACUUUUUAGUAUAUGUUACAUAGAAUAGGAAAAGGAAAUGGUCAAUGAGUGUUCAUUGAUUGGUUUGACUUGUACUAGUGGUCAAUGAAGUUUUUAAAUGUUUUGAUUGGUUGUCCUAGAAUUUUGGAUUUAUGUGGUGUGGGGGGAGGAUAGAGAAACGUGGAAAGAAUUGAUGGAGAUUGUUGUUUGAUGGACCCGGUCCAUGUUCUCAGCCAAUCAGAAGUAUUAAUUUGAUUGAGUGGCCUUCAUGCUCCCCUUGUAGACUUGGUCUUGUGAUAAAUCCUUAUUUCACUCCAACCUCUUUUUCUAUUUUCCUUUUAAUUUUAAUUGGGAAAAGAUAAGUUGCCAACAUGAACUGCAACACACUUUUUGAGUUAUUCUUUUUCUUAUUUUUGAAAAUUCUAAUAUGUUAUGAUAAUAAGAGUUAAGCUGGAAUGUUGUCGGUAACAAACGGACUCUAUUGUCAUCCAUUUAUUUUCGAUAAUGGAGUUUCUAAAUCGACGAUCAACACCGUUGAAUAUAAUCUAUACCACUUAAAAUAUUUAAAAACCAAAUUUCAAAUCUUUCGACAUCAUUGACCUAAUAAUUUGGCUAAAUUACAGAAAAUCCCCCUGUAAUAACCCGCUUUUUCACUUUCCCCCCCUGACAUUUAAAAACCUACACUUUGUCCCCUUAUAAAAUGAAAAAUGUUCACAGGGGGGUUACGGUGUGUAAAAUGACCAUUUUGCCCCUCGCCAUUGUUGUCUUCUUCCUGAGCUUCCUCAGCCGCCCCUUCGAUCCGCCGGUUUUCCACCUCAAUCGGCCACGAUUCCUCUCAAAUUUCUUCUCCACCUGCUCCCCUUCUCCUCCUACACCGUCGCCGCCCAUCGAUUUCGGCGAUGGGUGUUGAUGGAGAGGUAGACAGGGACAACGAGAGCGAAGACGAGGCUGCGGAGGAGGACGAAGGGGACGUGGGCGAGGGCGAAGCAGUGGAGGACGGCGAGGCGGCGAGGCGGCGAAGCGGCGAGGCGGCGAGGCGGCGAGCCGGAGGGAGCGAAGCAUCCGAGAAGAGGCAGAGGGGUAUUUUCGGUAUAAAAAAAUAUUUUUUAACAGAACCCAUAACGGAACCCUAACGGAAGGGGUGAAGUGCACAUUUUUCAUUUUACAAGGGGGCAAAGUGUAGGUUUUUAAAUGUCAGGGGGGGAAAGUGAAAAAGCGGGUUAUUACAGGGGGGUUUUCUGUAAUUUAGCCUUAUAAUUUUAAUGGUCGAUAUGAGGCGUUUUUUCGUUUAACGGUAUAAUGAUUUUCAAAUCAAUUAAAUUUUGGUUAGAAAAUUCUUUAAACUAUUUAGAACAAAAUUUAUACUCUCCAUCUUAAUUACAAGAUUCUUAUCAUCAUUAUCAUUCAUUCUUAGCCAUUUAUUUUUAUAUCCACUUGGUAGACAAGAGAACAAUAUCGAAAAAGUAUGAAAUGCGAUUUCUAGAUACUUCAAAGAGUAUAAAUCAUGUUUAAUGGUGCCGAUCGUCAAUUUGGAGGCUUUAUCAUCGAAAAUAAAUGGGUAACAACGGAGUCCGUUUAUUACUGAUAACAUUUCAGCUCAACUCCUGAUAAUAAUAAAAUAUUUUAUUAAGUAACAGAAUAUUUUGAUUAAAUAAUAUUCUAUCAACAAAGCUAAAAUAUUAUUAAUUAAGAAGUACUUUUUAAAUAAGAAUAAUUGGUAUUUUAGGUUGUAAACCUGAUUUUUUUUUUCUUUUCUUUUUUUUUUAAUUCAUGCAUCUUGCAUGCAAUGCCUUAUAGUGUUAGUGUUAGGCACAAGGUUCAUACAAUUUAUACCUUUAAUAUUACAUUGAACAAGAGCUCCUUGAGCACCCAAAACAAAAUAGGUAUAAAUUUUACACACUCUCUAUUAAAACAAGCCAUUUUUUAACAUCAAUCUUAUUAUUUUUUUAAUAUUAAAAAUAUCAAAGGGUGUCUAAAUUUUUGGAUGGGACGAUAAAAAAUUUACAUCUAAUUUUUGAGUGUACAAAUAGUAUUUUUCCUUUAAUUUCGUUUUGUAAAUUUUGAAUACCCUUCUACCAAGCAGUAAUUUCAUCAACAUUCCUUCAGAGUUCAAACUUAAAUAUUUAUAUUGUUUUCAAAUGCCGCUACUUUUAGAAAUAUGUAUUAAUUUGAUGGAUUAGUUUUAAAAUUUUAUUUUUGCUCUCCGAAAAGCUAAAAACUUAAUUAUGAACUUACCAUCAUUAAAGCAAUUUUCACAAUUUUAAUAUUUUUUUUAAAAAAAUAAAUAAAAUAGAUAGAUUGCACACUUAGUAAGCAAUUAAAAUUAGUUUAUAAGCUACAAAAUUAAAAAUUAAAUUCUAAAUAAAAAAUAAAAAAAAUAACAUGUAUUAAUAAUUUGCCUUACAAGGAAUGGUUGACGAUAAAAUAAUCAUUUUAUCAACUUAACUAAGGGGCCGUUUGGUUGCAUAUAGUUGCAACUGCAUUGCAGUUGUAAUUACAUGUAAAUACAAAUUUCGUGUUUGGUUUGAUAUAUUUAACUCCAACUACUACAGUAGGAAUUGCAGGAGGGGGCUCAAUUGCAGCAGUUCGAACUACUCCCAAAUUGGCCGCAGUUCCAACCACAGCAGUUGGAGAGAGUAACUUUAAAUAAAAAAGUAUGCUUACCUCCUUAAUAUUUUUUUAACAAAAAUUAUUUUUUUUUAUAUUAGAGGUAAUCUCACCAUCAUAUAUAUAAAAUAAUAAAAUUUUAAAAAUUAUUUCUCAACUGCAUGCAAUCAAACAAAUUAUUUAUAUUUGCAGCCCUUUCUAUUAUAUCCAACCAAACAUAAUUUAUAUAGUUGUAACUGCUGUAUUUCCAAAUUCAUGUAUCUCUAACUACACUGCAUUUAUAAUUACAUCUAACCAAACGGCUCCUAAUAUUUAGGAAAAACUUCAAAAACCCCCCUUGUAGUUUCCAUUUUUUUCACUUUAGUACCCUGUGGUUUAAAAUAUAUCAAGUUAGUACCUGUGGUUUCUCACUUUAUCAGUUUAGUACCCUGUGGUUUAAAGUGUAUCAAGUUAGUUCCCUGUGGUUUUGCACUUUAUCACUUUAGUACCCUGUGGUUUUAAUUUUGUAUCAAGUUAGUACCCUGUGAUUUUUUAAAUUAUAGGGUACUAAAGUGAUAAAGUGUGAAACCACAGGGUACUAAAGUGAUAAAGUGAAAAACCACAGGGUACUAACUUGAUACACUUUAAACCACAGGGUACUAAAGUGAUAAAGUGAAAAACCACAGGGUACUAACUUGAUACAUUUUAAACCACAGGGUACUAAAAUAAAAAAGUGUGAAACCACAGGAGGGUUUUUUGAAGUUUUCCCUAAUUUUUAACUCUCUUUUAACCUGAGUAAGCUUAUAAAAGUUCACACUAGAAGCAUUUAUGAUUAAUCAACAGGUUGAGACUCCAAAUUCAAAUAGUCAGAAAUGAAAAAUACUAUCUGUACAUUAAAAAGAAUGAAGAGUUACAAAAAUCUUUAUAUUUGUCGUAAAAAAAAAUAAAAAUUACAAGACAAUGACUCAUUAUUGGCAUUUGCACGAGAGUUUACGAUUUAUACCUUAUUUUUGGGCGUAAAAGUAGCGGCACUUGGGCUACCAGUGGAUUAGGCCACGCAAACUCCGAACAAGAUAUGGCCCAAAAUUAGAGGAAAAAAUAAUUAUAGAGCCAAUAAGACGACAAAUUCAUUGAAGAGCUCAUUAACGAGAUCUCAACGAGAUAGUCAGAUAAGACAUAUGAUUCGCAACACAACCAAAUUUUGAAGGUCGCAUAACGAGAUCUAUUUUAUAAAAAAAGAAACCUAAAUGGCGAUCAACAAAGCUCAUUUACGAGAUCCCAACGAGAUAGUUGGAUAAAACAUACGAUUCAUAACACAACCAAAUUUUAGAGGUCGCCUAACGAGAUAUUAUUGUUGACGGAAAAAGAAACCUAAAUGGAGAGCAUCUCUUUCUUAUGCUGAAAUUUGUACAAAAAAUUGAUAGUUUAUAAUAACUUUCAAAAUUUGUGCGGAGUGAAUCCUUAGUCCCACAUAUUAGUCUCAAAAAAAGCUUGUAGAAGAUCUUCUCAACAAAGCCGCGAUCAUAUGGAAAAAAAUAAAGGAUUAAUUUUAUGCAGAUCCCUACAAACAUAGUAAAUGACAAAUAUAUUUCUAGAAAAUUUAACUUUCAUAUGUUGUCUUUACAAAUGUCCUGAUAUUUCUAAAUAUUUUCCUACCGUUAGAAAAAUUUAGUUAAUCACAGGUUAAUUAAAUACUUAACCUUGAUUGGUUUUUGACAUUUUACUUCUCUUAUAUUAUGUUGUUAUGAUUUUUAAAGAGAUAUAUUUGUGAUUGCAAAAUUGAAAAUAUAAAUAGUUUUCUAACGAUUCUCUAACGGUAACAAACCAGAUAAACAUAUUUGAAAAUAUUAAAACUUUUACAUGGACAACAUAUGAAAGUUGAACUUUGUAGAAAUAUAUUUGUCGCUCACUAUAUUUACAGGGACUUGUAUGAAAUUAACCCAAAUAUAUAUAUAUCAUAAACUGUAUCUAAUAUUUGAUAAUUUUUGUUUUAAAAUCAAAAUCUAUAUUCUAAUAUCACUUUUUGUGUUAAUUAUAGCCAUAUGCUCUAUUUCUUGUAUAAGGUCCAACUAAUAUGAAAGCUUUUAAAAUGUGCUGUGCUAGUUUCCACCAUUCAACUAAACAAGCAUUUAUUUCUUUUUUAACCAACCCCUGGCACCAUAAAUCAAAAAUAUGUGGUCAUUUUUAUUUUUAAUUAUUUUAUUUAUUUUUAUUUGUGGAAAAAAAAAUGUGUGGUCAUUUUUAUUUUUAAUAACUCUAUUUAUUUUUAUGCGUGGAAAUUAGUUAGGUGUAAUGUGAGAGGUUGUCCACAUCACAAAUCACCAAAUUAAAAGUGGUAGAUGACCCAUUUGAUCUAUAUAAUUCAUUUGCUCUGGUAAUAACUAUUUGGUCUAAAUUAUAUUUUUUGUCCUCAAAUUAAGAAGCUUGUAACACUUUAUUCUUUAAAUUUUAAUUUAUUAUGACUUCUUAGCUUGAGUUUUUUAAAUUAUUAUUAUAAUUAAGUCCACGUACAAUCUUAUUCAGUUGAGUAAAUAUUAAUGUGUCGCCAAUAAUGGUUAAAACGCCGCACCAGUUUUAGUCAAUUACAUUACGUUGUGGGACGUAUUUACAGUAAUUUGCUAUGUUAAAGCCAAGAUUAGAACGAAUUAAAAACUUAGUUUGAGGACCCAAAUUAUAAUUUAGCCUAAACUAUUUUCAUUCUAUUCAUGUAUAUUGCAUGUUCAAUUAGGAAGCGUAUUAAGUGCGUGCAUUGCCAAUCGAAUGAUAGUCGGGUCGGUAAAAAGCUGUUUUGUUUUUGGAAAAAGUAUAAAAUAAAAUUUUUCGAGAAAAAAGUUUUUCACAAACUCGGGCAACGAUCGAGCCUCCUCCGAGGCACGUACCGUCACCCACCGCAAGGGCACAAUAGAACCGUAGACUACAACGUCUUUGCACACCCGAAGAUUCGUCUUUGUCGGCCUUUCCUAAACUAAAGUGAAGAGUCGGAUUUUCGAUCGGAUUGCGUCAGCACGUUCAGCACGACUGGGGCAUUGAAUCUACAAUUUCUUUUCGUCCGAUUAGGUCGCCGAUUCACGACGGAACUUAUCCUCUCACCAAAAAGGCAAAACUACGCACAAAUACAUAAAUUAUAUGUAUCUCUAGUUUUCUCGAAAAUCGUACGUCAGAUCUAAAAUCUGUCAGCGCCAAAGAUUUCGGAAUAGUUGAAUCAUUGAAAACGAACUAUUGGAGUGCUAUGAACGGAGUCCGAUACGUAUCAGAAGUCAUCUCCAUUGAUCGGCCUCUCCGAAAAACCGAAGAUAGUUCGUCUAACUUUCUCGAUUUUGCAUUUUUAUCCGAAAAAGACGGACUCUUAUUCCAUUUCUAUAUGCUUUCUAUAGAUCCAACUUUUUUUUCAAUCUCACAUCCUUUGGUUCUAAAAAUAUAUAUAUCCUCUUUUUUUUCAAAUUUUUUUAAGGAAAAUGUGUUUUUAUUUUUUUUAUUUUUUUUCCUGAAAAAUGGGGGACAGAUAAAUAAGCUUAUUAAAUUUAUUUAUUAUCUGGUCUAUAAUUGGAUUGGUAUUUUGAUUGCAAAUCAACAGGUUGAAAGUUCGAUCCCCAAUAUGUCCCUAACAUUUUUUAAUUUCUCAUUUGGGUGCCUAAACUUUUUUUUUUUUGUUUCAAAUGUGCGCGCUUGUCCUAUCAACCUAAAUCUCGUUAUUCUCAAUAUCUUCCUUGGCACUUACGACUAUCUUAUCUUUGCGCAGGAUAUCUAUUGUCUCUUUUGCAGCAUCUGACGAUAUCUUUAGCGUCGAGUCAGAAGUGCUACCAGUUUUUUAAACAAACUGAUAAAAAAUUAGUGGCGAAGAUUGAUUAUGGCUGUCAAGCGACGACAAUAAUUUAUAUGACUAGGUAGAAUUUUCUUUUUUUACUAGAGUUAAUAUGGCUUAUUUUGUCGAAAUUAUCAUGAAUUUGAAUAGUUCAUACCUAAUUAAUUGAAAAUAAAAAUUAAAAUAUUAAUGACAUAAUAGUAAAGAAAAAGAUUUGGACUCCAAAGUGCAAAAUUGGUAAAUGUUAGGUACUCUUGGUGCAAUUAACCCAAAAACAUAAAAAAAAAAUUAAAAAAAAAUUAGAAUCGAAUACUAAGGUCAACAUCAAACGUGUAGUCUAAAAUAUAAAAGAUAUCCAAGUCAAAAUAUAAAUCAACUGCAGGUCUUCUUCGCAAUUUGCACGGGCCCAACGGUCAAAGAGAACCGUUGGGUUUGAAUUUUGACGUGCCCUGUUUUUUUCUCUUUUUUUUCUUUAAUUUAACAGUUAAUAUUUUUUCUAAAUUAAUUAUAUUGAUAUGCAAAUGGUGCGUGAUUCAAAUAAAUUUUGUACGUUUUUAAUAAAUAAAAAAUAAUAAUCUAAUUAAAGAAUAAUAUAAUAAUGUUAUAUUAAAUUAAAAUAUAUUUUUAUAUUUUUAAAUAAAAAGAAAAUUUUUAAUUGAAACGUGGUUCCUCUUGCAUUAAGUAGAUGUUAUGUGACUGAAAAGACCCUCAACUAUCCUGAUGUUACACUUUGAUCUGCUUCUCACCUGUAGUUCUUAAAUAUUUUUGUAUAUAUAUAUAUAUAUAUAUAUAUAUAUAUAUAUAUAGAGAGAGAGAGAGAGAGAGAGAGAGAGAGAAUGCUAUCGAUAACAAACGGGCUCCGUUGCCACCCAUUUAUUUUCGAUGAUGGAGCCUUCAAAUCGACGAUCGGCACCGUUGAAUAUUAUCUAUACCACUUGAAGUGUUUAGAAAUCAAAUUUCAUAUAUUUUCGAUAUUGUUCUCUUAUCCAUCGAGUGGACAUAAAAAUGAACGGCUGAAAAUGAAUAUUCUUUAAAAAAUGAUAAUAGGAGUCUUGUAAUCAAGAUCAAGAGUAUAAAUCUCGUUUUAAAUAGUUUAAAAAUUUUCUAACAAAAAUUCAACUGAUUUGGAUAUCUUUACGCCGUUAAACGAGAAAACGCCUCAUAUCGAUCAUUAAAAUUACAAAUUUUAAAACCUUUUGAUCACUAGGCAGAUGAUGUCAAAAAGAAUUGAAAUUUGAUUUCUAAACACUUCAAGUGGUAUAGAUCAUGUUCAACGGUGCCGAUCGUCGAUUUGGAGGCUCUAUCAUCGAAAACAAAUGGGUGGCAACGGAGCUCGUUUGCUGUCGAUAGUAUUCUAGCUCAACUAUAUAUAUAUAUAUAUGAAAAAACUUCAAAUAUCAUCUAUAUGGUUUCAUAUUUUUUCGUUUUAGAACUCUGUGAUUUAAAGCGUAUUAAUUUAAUGUCUUGUGGUUUUACCGUUAUCUUUUUAUUAUCGAUUUCACUAGUUUUUUUCAUUAAAUUAAUAAUAAAGUUAAAACUAAAAGGUACUCAAGUAAAUAUUUGAUAAACUAGGUAAAAUAAUUGAAGCUUUUUGUAUAUAAUUUAACGAAAUAUUAACGGAGAAACUGACGGAAAGAUAAAAAUGAAACCAUAAAACACUAACUUGAUACACUUUAAAUCAUAGGGUAUUAAAAUAAGAAAGUGCAAAAUUAUAGGGGUGGUAUCUGAAGUUUACCUAUAAAAUAUAUGAUACAUAAAUUUUUGUCAAAAUUUUUUUUUUUUUAUCGUGUUUAAACUAAACUGCAUGUAAUAAGUAAUUGUUUAUGAUAAGAAAAAUUAGAUUAACACAUAAAAUAGUUAUACAUUUCACGCCCUUUUUUGUAAAUAAAGAAAAGAAUUUGCAAUACCUCAAUUUUAUUUAUUUAAUUUUUUUUUAUCUUGGUCUCCAAAAAACAUAAAAAAAGAAAAAUCUAACCUAUUUUUUGAUUUGACAAGUUCGAUCGACAUAUUUUUCUCUUUACAAUUUUGAAUUGAAAAUUCACUUUUUCUCACCUCUUUUGUUGACCUGGGAAAAAAUCAAAAGUCAAAAAAAGAAUUUUUGGCGGAGGCGCAACGUAAGCGCCAAACGAAGCAUUUACAUUGUUUGAACAUGUGAAGAAGUCAAAAAUAGUAGCAGCAUGAGAGAAGAAGGUUUUUUUUUUUUUUUUUUGAGAGAUAAGUAGCACGCUAUCCGCUUCGUUUAUUUUUAGAAAUAAACUUAGCUGGAAAUAUAAAUCAACUAGGAUUCGGAACUUAGGUCUCGGGUACCAACCACUAAUCCCUUUGCCACUUGAUCUAGAGACGGUCGAUCAUGAGAAAAGAAGUUGAGAUUGGAAAAGUAGCUUCAAGGUGUGAUUUGUUGAACGUAGUAGCUCAAUUUUUUUUUAAAAAAAAUAGUUAAUUCACAUAAUUUAAUAUGACAUCAAAGCAAUAGAUCAUGGGUUUGAGUCCUGCCACGCUUCGUUAUUUAAUUUUCUUCUAUUUAAUUCAAAAUUCACAUACUGUAUCUAUCCGAUAGUCUCAAACUAUAAACAAUUAUGGUAAAAAUGUAUAAAGUUUCUCUAAACUGUCGCCUGUACAUUUUGAUUCAACUACUUGACUUUUAUAAGUUUGAUUUUGAUACCCAAUAUUUCGAUUUAUCUUAUAUAAGCCAUUUGAUUACUUUUUCGGUGCAAGUUUUAAGCCAAUUACUUAUUCUAAUAAAAUUAUAGUUACAUAAAUUAUAUAAAAUACACUAAUUAGACCCGUAAAAAUAAAACGAUACAUUCAAAUUUUAAAGUUUAUCAGUCAUAAACAGCUCAAAUCAAAUGACUUAAACAAUUAGAUAGCUGGAUCAAAAUUGGUCAUAGUUCAUAUAUGUUCCACACAUUAAAUUAGAGCAAAAGCUUUAGCACAAAACCUACUUGAUUCGAGAAAGAGGUUAAAAUUUUUUAAAAGAUUUUAAUUAUUUGCUAAUUAACAACUAAUUAACUGAUAUUUUUCAAGUGGAAAAUACAGAGCAAUUUUGCAACAUUCUAAAAAGAAAAAUUGUGAAAUUUAAUGUUCUCACAAGUUUAUGCGCUUCAUCAUCAAUUAAACAAAAGGCACAGCACAAAUACUACGUGACCCUUUUAGACACCAUACACUAUUGCUUCUAUUUUUGCCUAAACUUUGUACUAAAAUUGUACUUGUUAAGUAGAUGACAUAUUUAAUUAUGCCUAUUUAUUUUUGUCCACCAUUUCACAAUUUCUCACAUUCCAACAAACAUAAAAUUGAAUAGAGAAUAUAGUACUCUAAAGUUGAGGAUAAAAUUCACAAUUUUUUUUUGACUUGGUAUGCAGUUACUUUUGUUUUAAAAAAUAGGGUUAAUUUCAUACAGGUUCCUGCAAAUAUAAUGAAUAGCAGAUAUAUUCCUACAAAGUUCAACUUUUAUAAGUUAUUCCUGCAAAAGUUCUUAUGUAUUCAGAUAUGUUCCUACCAUUGAUCUCCGUUAGAGAAAUCUAGUUAACCACAAUUAAAAUACUUAAUCAUGAUCAGUUAAAAAGGUAAAAUGAUAUUUUUACCAUUCUUCAUCUUCCUCUCCUGCUUCUUCUUCUUUUUCCGCUUCCUCUCCUGCUUCUUCUUCUUCCUCUUCUUCUUUGUAUCUUCAUUUUCCUCCUUUUCUCCUCUUUUUUCUUCUUCGUCAUCGUCGUCGAUGAUCCGAUCGUCGUCGCUGUCGUGGUGCCCGCGUGGGCCGUUGU